rnacentral:lncRNA from 1 species
AUACCAUGUUUGCUCAUCCAAAAAACAUAGCUUAAAAAUGCCAUAGCUUAAAACUGCCAAUACCAUAUUUGGAACACUUUUGAGUAAGUAUUCCAUUUAUGCUAAAACUUAAAAACACAUCUACUAAUGCCUAAAUAUAAAGCCUAAUCCAACCAAAAAUAAAAGAUUACUUUACUCAACCCACCACAUCCAGUCCAUUUGGCCCAAUUACAAACAGAAAAGAAAAAAAAAAAAAAAAGAAAAAUCAAUUACUAUCUUUUCUUCUCUCUUCACUCAAUCCACUGAAAUUUUAGACGAAGAGCUUUUACUAUCGUCCUCCUCCGCCACCGCAGCCAACGAGAUAGAGUUUCGGCGGUUACUAAAUGCUUAAAUAAGUGUUGGUAAAUUAGCAGCACUCUUUUAGGUUAUAGUGACACUCUUUAACUGUCACUAUAUACCUAGCGACCCUACAUAUAGCAACACUUUUUAAAAGUGUCGGUAAUUUUAGCUAGCAGCACUUUUUUGACAUUUACCUAUAUUUAAAAGUGUCGCAAUAGACCGUUUUUUUUGUAGUGACUAGGCUAGCUUUUUACAUAUCUUUUUACUUAUAUAUAUAUACCCCUAAGGAAACAUCUAUUUGCAUAAACUACCCUUGUAAUAUCAGGAUUUUUAUGUAGGCUAAAGUACAGAAAGCUCUUAUAUAAAUAAAUACUUAUUUUUGAAUUGAGCUCGUAUGCUUUUGAAAGUAUCAAGUCAUCGAUGCUUAUAGGUUUUCGGCUCUUGGAUUAAGAGAUGUGCGGUUAGAAUGAUAGUGGUCUUUUAGCGUUCAGUGAGUGGUUGGUUGAAUAGUAUAAUCUAACAGGUGAAAAUGGUCAAAGGAGUAGAUCGAACAGCGAAAAAUUUACAAGCACCAAAUACUUUGUGCUUAUAAAAGCACCAUAGCCGGACUCCUUAUUUUUUCACUUUCCCCUUCAGUCUUUUAAAAACCUAUAUUUGGCCAUUUUAAAAUUUUAAAAAUAUUUUUAGAGUAUAACAGCAUUAAUUGACAAGGGUAAAAUGACCAAAACGCUAGCUCUUAUUUAUUCUGGAGGAAAAAAAUAAUUUUUUAACAUAUUUCUUCCAUUUAUAGGGUAUUUUCAGUAUAUUUAAUUAUAAAUUAUUAAAAACUAGCAGAACAAUGACAAAAUCGUGAUGGAGUGGGGCUAAGUGCACAUCACCUUACAAUUUUGAAAGGGCAAAAUAUAGGUUUUCAAAAGUCCGAGAGAGAGUGAAAAAGUAAGUUAUUUACUGGGAGAUUGUAUGUAUUUUAGCUUUUUAUGUAUGUCCUGACAUUGUAGUUUCUUACAAACGCACCCAUAUCCAAUGACAGGAAAUCAUUUAUUAGAUACUAAGAGGUUCUAUAUAUGAAGGUAAAAUUGCAUAUGACUUGUUUAAACUAUAGAUUAUUUUGAGUCAGUAAUCCAACUUUUAAAAUUUUUUUUAGACUAAAUUACAUAAAAUCUCCCUGUCAAAAUUCGAUUUUUCACUUUUCCUCCUGUCAUUUAAAAACCUACACUGUACCCCCUUGUAAAAUAAAAAAUGUUUACAGGAGGGUACGGUGUGUACUGUAAUGAUAAAAUAAUCAUUUUGCCUCUCACCAUUUUCGUCUUCUCCCUCAUCUUCCUCAACAGCAGCCUCUAUCGACCAUGGUUCACGCUUUGAUCGGCCGCGGUUUCUCCACGGAUCACGCCUCAUCUUCCUCCUAUACCCUCGCCGCCCCUCAAUUUCGGCGACAGUAGGUUGGAAAUCGAGAUGGGGGUGGGUGGAGAGGUGGGUAACGACAACGAGGGCGAAGGCGAGGUGGCGGAGGAGGGCAAAGGGGUGUUUGUGGGAGCAGACAGGAAUGUGGGCGAGGGCGAGGCAGUAGAGGAGGGCGAGACGACGAGGCGACGAGGCGGAGGAAGGCGAAGCAACAGGGAAGAGGGCGGAGGGGUAUUUUGGGCAUAAACAAUUAUUUUAAAACGGAACCCUAAUAGAUCACUAACGGUAGGGGGCGAAGUGCACAUUUUUCAUUUUACAAGGGGGUAAAAUGUAGGUUUUUAAAUGACAGGAGGGGAAAGUGAAAAAUGGCGUUUUUACAUGGAGGUUUUCUGUAAUUUAGCCUUUUUUUAUUUUACUAUCCAACUUUUCUAUUCGUUUCAUUUGAGUCAAGUAACAAUAAUUUGACUUCAAAAUUUAAGGUAAUUACUUUCUUAAUACAUUUAUAGUUGGGAGAAGUUUAUAGGGUAUACUAGUUAGACUUGUAAAGAUAAACAACGCAUUCAAAUUUUCAAGUCAAAGUUCCGUUGGCUGGCUGAAAUCAUAUAAAUUGAAAGGUUUGAUAGCAAAAUUAAAAUUUUGAAAAGUUGGAGAGUCGACUCAAAAUAAUCCACAAUAAAGAUAAGUUCCAUUAGUUUUAAAUGUAAGUAUAUAUUUAAAUAGAUAAUUUCGUAGGGAUGUAUGUGUAAUAUAUGUUAAAAUAACGUGAAACGACCAUUAUUCUUCGAAAAUGUAGUAAGACUCAAACUCAUGACCUUCUACUCUGAUAUCGCUUUAAAUAAUGUGAAAUGAUUGUUACUCUCUGAAAACUUUAACUACGAGAGAAUGGUUCUUGUUUCUGUACGCUUAUAUUGGAAAAGAAAAAAAAAUGCCCCCUACAGUUUAAUAUUUUCUCACUUUACUAUUCUAUAGUUUUGUUUUUCUCUUUCUAUUACCAUCAUCAUUAACUUUUUCGUUAAACCAGUAGUGAAGUUAAAACUACAUAAUAUUAAAAUAAAAAAAUUGGUAAACCAUAGGGGAGUAUUUUGAAAUUUUUUCCACAUGCUUUAAUGGAGAAGUUAAUAGAGGAGCUGACAUAAAGGGAAGGAAAAGUUAACACAUAUAGUACUAAUGUGAUACAUUUUAAAAUACAUGUUACUAAAGUAAGAAACCGUUAAACCACAUGGGUUAUUUGAUGUUUUUCUUUUUACAUUCAACAUGUAAUAUUGUUGCAAAGAUAGUGAAGAUUUAGAAACUUGAGAGAGACUAAUUAUAUAAAACUUCAGUGGGGAGAUGAUCCACUCUCAUGUGUUAGUUCGCUUUCUAUUCAAUAGUUCAUUGAGUAUCUUUUAAUACUAAAAAUUUAUAAAAAAAAAAUUUAAAACCCUAGAGAGAAGGAUUAUAAUUCUUGGAUAGAGAUUAGGAUUAUAACCCUUGGAUAGAGAUAAAAGUGACACGUGGCGACAGAUUGGGGCUCGUUAACGAGACGUCAUUGGGGGAGCUUCCUGCUCAAGUUUUCCCUUUUAUAUUAAUUCAACAUGUAUAAGUAUGUCGCGGAGAUGGUGCAGAUUUAGAACGAGGGAGAGACUAAUGGAUAGAACUUCAGUGGGGAGCGUUCCAACAAUGCAUUGCUGGGGAGCCAUCGAUUCGCUCUCAUGUGUUAGUUCUAUCCCUAUCUAGUAAUUCGUUGGGUAUCUUAUAAUACUAAAUUCAUAAAAAAAAAUUUAAACCCUAGAGAGAAUGAUUGUAACUCUUGGAUAGAGAUAAAAGUGACACAUGGCGACGAAUUAGGGCUCUUUAACAAGAUGUUGUUUGGAAGCUCCCCACUGAAGUUUUUUUUCGAAACUAACCUUGUGGGUGGAUCUGAUGCUCCGCGGCCUCCGAUCGGACGGCCACGAUCAUCACGAAGAGCAGCAUCAGCAAGAUCCAAGUGAUAGGAUGAGGACUCUUCCCCUUCAUUUUGUCUCUCCUCUUUCUCUUAAUUUCUCACUUGCACUACAAUGAAGGAAAAAUGAGCAAAUGAAAACCUUCUACAUUGGAAACUAUUUAUAAGAAUACUUGGAAUCUUUAUAGGUAUCUCCAUGGGUUAAAUAUGCUACUACUUUUGCCAAAAUUUUUUUACUUUGGCCACCUUCUUUUUAGGUAAAUCGUACAAGGAACUUACCUGAAUGAUGAAUCAUUUUCAGUUAACUAUCCAGUUAUUUAAAAUUUUGAUUCUACUAUCCACUAUUUUAAUUUAUUUAAUCUGAAUCAGUCAACGGUAGUUUGACUUACAAAAUAUGAUUGCAUCGUUUAUCUUCACAUUUUAGUUAGUAUACUUCGUGCAAUUUUCGCGAUUAUAAAUUCAUUAAAGUAAUAAUUAGUUUAAAUUUUAAGCUCAAAGUAUCGUCAACUGACUCAAAUCAAAUAAAUUAAAAUAGAAAAAUUAAAAUUUUAAAAAAUUGAAUAGCCAAUUCAAAAUUGUCCAUAAGUUCGGUACGUUUUCACUUUUUCAAAAAAAAUAAAAUUUACACCUCCUGAGCUAUUAAUAAUAUGUCGAAUUGGUCCACUCCAUUAUUAGUGGUUAAGUUCACCAACAGAAUGAUAAUGUUUAAACAUUUAAUCAAUGCAUUUUUCUUGCAAGAAACUUGGCAUAAGUUCUUUUCCACAUGAAAAGAAUAUCGUACUAUAAAUUUAAGCUAUAUUUUGAAAUGUUCAACUAGAUGUUUUUAUUACACGGUACGUUUCAGCUCGUGAGCCUCUCGCACUUUUUCAUAUUAUCCGAUGUGGUAUUAUUACAGUGUCACAUAUAUAUACUUCUUUCACAUUAUCCGAUAUGACCCUACUAGCUAGGGUGUCACAUAUAUAUGCUCCUUUCGUUUUAGAUCUUGACAUUCUCGUGAAUCCAAUCGCACAACCAUCGAAUGAUGUGAGACUUACCACACCUUUUUGGUUGGUGAAGCACCCCGAUACUAACCGUAGUGAAUGAGCCCACUAACAUCAAUAACUUAUUGGGCCCAAACUACUAAUAAAAAAUACUUAAAUCCAAGUUACUAGUUCUAGCAAAUCCAUCACAUAUAAAUCCCUCAUAUUUUUUCACAUUAUUCCAUGUUGGACUAUUUUGGAGUAUCACAAAAUGGGCCAAUAGUCUUGUUUUUUUUAUCAUAAAAAUCUUACGUGAUAGAACUUAAAAGCUUUUGUGGAGUCUUAUAAUUCUUUAAAAUGUGGGAUUAUACAUCUCAUUUUUAGUUUUCUACUCUCUCUCUCUCUCUCUCUCUCUCUCUCUCUCUCUCUCUCUCUAAACCCAUGCAUGUGACUUUUGAAGAGAGGAUUCUGGCUAAACUUCCAAAACCUCAUGGUUUUUUGGAUAUCUAUGAAUUAAUGUUUUCCGGGAAGGGCAUAUAUAACUGGGAGAUGAGGUCAAAGAAUAUGUAUCAUAAGAAUAGGCCAAAGAAUAUUAUAUCUAGCAGUGCUCAUCAAAGAAUUGGAAUUUAUGCAAAUUAGUCCAUGAAGACCCCCAAAUUAGGAUGUGAUACCUAAGAUCUCAUAGCUCAGUGGUCCAUUUUAUAAAACAAUAGGAGAAAAUUAACUAUAUUAGGAGUUUGGAAUGACGCGAACUUAGAACCUUCUGCUCUAAUACCAUAAUAAAUUAUAUGAAACAACUGUUGUUCUCUAAUAAUUUAAGCUGAUACAGAAUGAUGUUUUUAUAUUUAAGUCUCCCCCUCACGUCUGAGCUCAAAACUGUUUUAUAAACCCAUGAUGUAGACUUGAAUUGUAAGGACUGAGAUUUUUGACAGUGCGACUAAACUCUCUGUUGAUGAUGUUUAUGUGUGUAAUUUAAUUACAUAGGCACUCGUCAAGUUUCAGGAGAAACUGAGCUAAAAUGGAGAAGAUACGCGAUUUUCAGUUUUCACUUAAGUGAAUAGUAACUCCGGUUUUCCGGGGAAGNACUCUCUGUUGAUGAUGUUUAUGUGUGUAAUUUAAUUACAUAAGCACUCGUCAAGUUUCAGGAGAAACUGAGCUAAAAUGGAGAAGAUACGCGAUUUUCAGUUUUCACUUAAGUGAAUAGUAACUCCGGUUUUCCGGGGAAGCCACGGAGUAGAGUCGGCUUCUGGUGUGUAUCGGACUCCGUUCAUAUCAGUCCAAUAGCUCGUUUCGACCGGUUCAGCUGUUCUGGAACUUGUGGCGCUGAUGGAUUUUGAGUUUGAGGCACGGAUUUCGAGAAAAUCCAAAAAUACAUGUUUUAUAUGUAUUUGUGCGUGAGUGUUUCCUUCUAUUGGAAGAAGGUUGGAUUUUGUCGUGAAUCCGUGGUCGAUCGAGAUGAAUCGAAGGUGUAGCUUUGUUGUCUCCGAGGUGCUGAUCGCACUGGUGCAAUCCGUUCGCAAAUCUGACGGACGGAUCUGCGGAGAUCGCGCGUUGAUCGAGGAGAGGUCGGUGUUGGCAAAACGGUAAUUUCGCAAAAGUCGCGACAUUUUAUGUACCGUUACGCGUGAAAUCGCACGUGGAGGGGUAUUCGCGCGUUUUACUUGUGCUGUGAGGGACUAGGAUCAAAUUGUUGAGUCUUGGUGGACUUUUUCGCAAGUUUCUCCUUGGUAUAGAUUCAUUCUAGGGUUUUCUUGGAACCCUAACCCGUCUAGCCACUUCCAGCUAACCCUAGCCGCCCCCUUGCUUUCCUUGCCCUAGCCGCUCGCCUUCCGGUCGCUGCCGACCAAGUCCGGCCGGCCGCCGCCGCUGCAGCACCACAUUCCUCCCUCUCCAUCUCUCUCCAUCUUCUUUUUCUUCCGGGUUGGAGCUCGGGCCGAGGUUAUGUUGUCUCUUGGCACCUUGUCGACGUAGCCCCGACCCCUCGGCGUCCCUCUCCGCCGAUCGCCGCCGCCCUGAGCCGCCCGGAGCGCCGCCGCUGCCGCUCCAGCCGCUGCUGCAUCCUGCAGCUUCCCAGCCCGAGCCCAGGCCGGGUCUAACCCGCGGCCUCCCCGCGCGCAGCCACCGCAUGAGCCUGCUCCCGCCGCCGUCCUCGGAGUCUCGGCGGCCCUCCCCGCAGGUCGCCGGCGCCCCUGCGGGCCGCCACCGCCGCCUCGGCCGGCAGCAGUCGCCCCAGCCCGAGCUGAGGUCUCUGUGCGCCCUCUCCUCCGCGCCGCAGCCACCUGGGGUAGCUUCCGCGGCCGUCUCCUGUGUUCCCCCCGACCUUCCCGGCCGGUCGCCGCCGCCCUUCGGGCCGUCGCCGCCGCCCUGAACCCUGGGCGCCGCCGCCCAGGUCUGCAACCGAGCCUAGCUCGAGUGGCAGCGCUCGAGUCGUGGGCUGCCGCUGCUGCCGCCCGCCGCCUCCCUUCUCCUCCUCCGGCAUCUGGGGACCCGCCGCUGUCGUCCCCGACCUGUCCCGGCCAUCGCCGUCGCUGGGAGGAGCCGCUGGACCGUGCCCUAGCUUGUGCGGGCUCCGCUCGUUCCGCCGUCGCCGCCGCCACUCUCCGCCGCCAACCGAGGUGAGCAUCGUAUUCCUCACCUCCCCCGCACCCAUCUCUGGCCUGCGCGAACCUCGGCGUGCCGCCGGAAGCCGGCCGGAGCAAGCUUGCUCCGGCCAAGCCCAAAAUAGGGCUGUUUGUGGGUUGUUUGUUGUUCUGAGCGACCCGAGCCUCCCCGAUCCCUACGGAAGGGAGCACGGUGAUCGUGGCAAAUUGCCGAUCAUCGUGCUCACCUUAGAUUCUGUUGGGGAGACUCCGUUCUGCUGUUUUCGUUGUGUCGACCCCGUGGAGCCUGUUUGGCUGCUGUUUUGGGUUUGCGCGCGCUUAUCCGGCGAUCCGAGGCUGUCCUGAUGCCUCCGGAGGUGAGCACGGUGAUCGUUGGUCUGUGCCGAUCACAUCGCUCACCUCACUUUGGAUCAACAGUGUCGGGUCAGCCCUGUUUGGCGCGAUCUUCCCUGACUGCGCGCUGUUUGCAGAACUUCGGGUUGCUCCCGCACUUCCCACAGUGACCUGUUGCGCUCCAGACCGUGAGCACGGCCUCCGGCACGUCGAGACCUGUCAGUACGUGUCUCGGCGGAACUUCGAGGUCAUCAGUUUGUGAGAACGAGUCAUAGGAGCCGCCCGAUUUACAUAAAAUGAUGGAUUUUAUAUAAACAUAGGGGCUUUUGUGCAAUUGUACUCCUUGUGGCUACUGUGGGCAGCGUGUAAGAGUGUGUUUGACCUCUGGACUGAUUGUCCAUGAUCCUGUAGCUUUCGUGGAAAUCGAAAGAUCGAUUUCGGUGCGUUUUUCGGCAAAAUUCGUCGAAAGAACGCGAUUUCGGUUCGGAUUCUUCUCGACGGUGUUUGUUUGCUCUGUGUUUUGUCGCUGAGCCUUGUUGGCUGGUCACCAUCAUUAUUUUGUAGGUUCGAGGAUGAUAGGUGAGCGACGGAGGGUUCCGGUGUCGAAAUAGACACUUUCGGGAACCCGGAUUUGUACAAUUAUCCGGCGAUAAUUGUGUAGGGGUGUUACCUUGUGUUUGCUGCCAAAACACCCAAAUUGGAGUGUUUUUGGGCAGCAGGUGACUUGUGACACGAGUCGGUGAGUUUCGGGACACUUAGUGGGUCCCGACGGCGUCACGGUGUGGUUUUCGGGACUUCCGGCGAGUUACGGUAAUCGGUAUUGGGAAACCUAUCUUCGUGGGAUUGUUUGUGGUUAUGCUUUUAGGGUUUCUUAGUUGUGGGUUAGACACUAACCCAGUUGACCCUCCUUAGGUCCAGUUGACGUUCUUUUGCAGUCAGGAGACAGACGCGACAGUCGUGCAGGUGGGUACUUCGAUCCGAAGUCGGUACAGUGGUGCACGCUCGGUGAUAUCUCUUCUAUCCCUGUUCUUCUAUUGCUAUUUUCGUAUUAUAUAUUGAGCUUGCAUCCCCGUUGUUUCUAUCAUACUCUACUCAUAUGUUCUAUGCUUAGUAUCAUGUGUAGGAGUAGAGUAGUUUAUCCCUAUGUGAUACUGGUAAUCUGAUUGGUCGGUUCUCGUACUUCGUUCGGUGACUUGAUUGGUCGGUUCUCGUACUUCGUUUCGGUGACCUAGUUGAUCGGUGCUUUUAUCUUAUAUCUGUUGACCUGGUUGGUCGUGUUGCACUAUGUAUUGGGUUGGUCUAUUUCUUGACUUCUGUCGUUCGAUGACUUUGAGGUCGGUGGUACCCUGAGGUAGGAUUGUCGGCUGGUGCUGACGGUAGUUCUGGACUAUAUCGAAUACACUCCUGUGACAUAUCGGUCGGUUCUUACGUUCGUACUUUUAGUUGACAUCGAGCAGUAUCUAUAUACUAUCUUUAUUUACCUGCCUAGUUGUUCUAUGUGUAGUAUCCUGUAUAGGGUAGAGUAGAUGGCAUUCGUAUAUCACAUACUUGUGACCUGGUUGGUCGGUUCUCCUUUUUGCAUCGGUGACCUGUUUGGUCGUUUCGUUACUUUCCGUACAUUGACCUAUCUCGGUCGUUCACGUUGUUGCUUGAUGACCUACACGGUCGGUAUGCCCAGAGGGGAGUGAUUGUCGGCUGAUUGCCGACGGUUGGCUAUUGAUCAUAUCCGCAUUGAUCGCCACAGCUCGAGUGCUUUCACGUACACCAGCGGUGAUCCCCCGCGAGGGUGUUUUCUUUCCGGAAAAGUGGUCGUACAUCCGACCCGUGAGCCCAGCGGUGUUCUCUUUGUGCUAGGUGUACAUGCCAGGUGUGAGCAGAUAGUGGCUUUUGCCUGAGCGUCCUUAGACCGACACGAGGUUAGAUUGGGUACUUUUGGACUUCUUGUCCGGUUGACGGCAUAUAGCUAUAGUAGCGGUUGUUGCAUAUGUACUUCUAGUUCUUUCUUUACAGUUGUCUUGCUACUAUAGUAUUGAUAUCCUUUGUAUGCUUGCAGUUGUACAUUAUAGUACGGUAGUUGUGUUUUUAUAUAUAUAUAAUCAUUCGUUCAUAUCGUUGCUACAGUAUAUUUUACUUACCGCAUACUGUUGGUUAUCUCUCCUGAUCCCGGUGAUACUCCUCGCCUUCUUCGGCUUGUGGUACCCACUAGGAGGGGAGACAUGUUUACAUGUUCUCACCUCCCCCACAAUUUUCAGGUAUCGUGGGCGAUGAGUAGUGGGACGAGACGUGAGGUACGCGUGUAGCGGUCGAUAGAGCUUUCGACCCGGGUUAAUUCGGUUUACUUUCUUACCCUUCUUAUUUUGGCUGAUGAAUAGUUUAGUUGAUUUAUGUGGUUCAGUGUUUAUUUACAUUUGAAAAUGUGGAUUUCUGGAUUUUGUAAAAUAAAAGGUUUUCUACCCCUCGUGGUAGCGUUUUUUUUAACGAAUAAAGGUUUCCGUAUAGGGAACAGUUUUCAAAAGAAUUUUCGUGAAUUUCUAUUUAAACACUGAAUGUAAAACUGUGAUGUGAAUGGUGAAUGUAUGAAUGUAUAGUUAUCUUUAUAUUCAUUUGGUUGUGGUUGUUUCCUGGCUAUACUCUUGUACUUGUGCGACGCCGUGCAAAUACAGGGGAGACUCUAUCCGUGUGAACAGUGGAUUCCCUGUAUUUGUGGCGGAUCUGGCAUACCCAGGGGUCAGGUUUGCAAAAAAAAAAAAAAAUUUUUUCCGCUGUGUUUUUAACCUAAAGGGACCCCGGGGCGUGACAUGAAUUAAAUAGAAAAAAAUCAAUUUUGCUAAUACGUGACUCAAACCCAUAAUCUCCUACUUUGAUACCACGUUAAAUUUUAUAAAAUAACUAUUAUUCUUUAAAAGAUUAAGCUGGUAGAGAAUGGUCGUACUUUUAUAUUCUUAUAUUUAAGAAUCUACAAUACGCUUUGAGCAUAUCUCCUCAUCACCAUGUGUUUACGACAAAAAUUGAAAAGAUCUAAUGUAUCGAAUGAGAAAAUACUGAAAAAAAUAAAAAAGAAAGAUGGACAAAUAAAGCAUACAAGUAAUUUACGUGGUUUAGCCAAAAGCCUACGUCUAUGAAUGAAAAAUAGGGUGAAGACUAUAUAAUAGAGUCAAAGCAGAGUACAAAAAAUGUCUUUCAUAAAAAAUUCUAGUCCCAAAAUAUAUCUCAUAUUCUCUCUCUCAUUCGCCACAGCAAUUCAUAGAAUACAGGAUAUAUUUACAUUAGUUGCUAAAUUCUAGUAAGACAAAGAAUAAAAUCAAAUAAGAAUAUAUUCUUACUUAACUAAAUCAAUCAACAAACUUAGAAUAAUGGGUUAUAAAAACUUGUGGCCUAAGAAUUUAAGACCUAGACCAUGUAGCAUCAAAUUAAGAUGGUAAAAAUAACUAACUAGAAGAGAAUUUAUUUUAUUGUAUUGGCUAAAGUAUAAAAAAAUUUCGUAUAAAUAUCCACUCUUUUUAUUUUUUUUCUUUGACUUUCAAAAAUCUAUAUUUUUCUACUCAAAAUUUCAGAAAUAUUUUUAGAAAGUUAUUAUAAUAUUAAGGGAAAGAGCAAAAUGAUGAGAAUGCCCUUAACUGUUUGGGAGUAAAAAAAACAUUUAACAUAUAUAUUUCUGCUAUUUUCAGGGGCACAUUCUAUAUAUUAAUUAUAAAAUAUUAGAAAUAGAUGGAACAGGGAUGUAACCUUAAUAAAGGAAAGUUGAAUGUAUCAAAUUGAAAUCUUGAGAAAACAAAAUAUAGAUUUUGAAAGUCAAAGAGGAAAAAUAAAAAGGGAGAUAUUUACAUGAAAGUUUUCUGUAUUUUAACCUAAGUUAUUUUAUUUUAUUUUUUGAUAACUAGUUCCAUAGGCAUGCACAAUCUCUUCUAAACCAUAUAUUAAUUGAAAAAUUAAUGUACAUCUUCUAAGUAUGUAUGCAGAGAAAAGGUAGAAAACUAAGGAUCUGUUUGGUUCCUUGAAAAAUACGUCAGAGAACCUUUUUCAGGCUAAAAAAAAAAAUCGUGUGUUUGAUUUGCAGAAAAAAUAAAUUCACGCACACAGAAGAAUCAUCUCUAUCUCCUAUUCAUCAUCUUCAACAUCUCAGUCACUUUUAUCAAAUUAUAUUAUAUAUGCCAAAAUAUAAUUAAAAUUUAUUUUUAUUUUAUUAUUUAUUAUUUAUAUUGUAAAAAGUUUGUGAGUAUUAUAUUGAUACAUUUUAAAAGGUUCGUAUAUAAUCUCACCCUCUUUUUGUAGAAAAUAAUUAUAUACCAAAAUUUUCAACUAAUCAAACAAGUAAAAUAGAAAUGAAAAACUUUUUUUUCUUACCAACGAAAAAUGCAUACAUGAAAAAUUAUUUUUCUUUUCCAUCGAACCAAAUAACAGAAACUAGAAAAUUUCUUUUCCAGAAAAGACUUUUUUCUUCAUAAAAUAGUUUUCUAUUAUUUUCCAAAAAGCCAAACAGGCCCAAAGCAAAUGGAUAAAUAUCAAUCGCUAACUAGACAUCACGGAUACAGACACGGUCACAGGACACGAUACGACUCAAACGCAGCAACUGAGAAGCUUUCGAAAAAUUAGAAUACGGGCAUGACAUAAAAUAUUAUUAAUAUAAUAGAUAUAAUAAAUAUAUUUUAUUAUAUAUAAAAGUAUUAUUUUUGCUAAAAUGUUAUUAUAUUUCUCAGAAGAAUAAAAAUUAAUAAAAUUGAACUUAUUGAUAGUUCAUAUAUUUUAAGAAAAAAAAUUCUCCACAUAUAUAAUUUAUUUAUAUUAUCCAAAAAAAUUUAUAUGUAUUAUAUCAUCUUAAAUUAUAUAUGCAUAAAUAAUAAUAAAAAAAAAGAACAUUGAACAUAGUAUCCAAUCCUAGAUAUUUAGUUAUGCUCCUCGACUACCAAGCGUACAAGUUUUCUGAAUAAAUUAAAAAAAUAUACGGAAUAAAAUAUUCAUAAAUUCAAGCGUGAUCAAAAAAAAAAAAAAAAAAAAAAAAAAAAAUGAAACACUAAUUUUUAUUUAGAAAAAACUUCAGAUAUUGUUCCUGUGGUUUAUAGCUUUUCAGUUUAGUAUCAUGUCAUGUCAUGUGGUUUUAACUAUAUUACUUAAGUAUUCUAUAUAUGAUUCGGUAAUUAUCUUCCCAAUUAAAACUUCAAACAGCCGCAAUCAUUUUUUCACUUUACUAUUCUCUAGAUCAUAAAAUAUAUUGUUUACAAAUUUUAACACUUUAAUAUCCUACCUAACGGCGAGUUCACAUGGUGAAAGAACAAUAAAAUGAAUCAUAUGGUAGUAAAGUGAAACGUUUCAAACCACACAGUGCUGCACCACGAGGGGCUUUGUAACGACCCAAUCCACUAGCAAUAAUAAUUUGUUGGGCCAAACCACAGGCCCAAAAUGUUUAAGCCCAGUUAUUAUUACUAGCGUGUAGGUCUCAUAUAAACCGAUCGGAAUCAGCCCUGUUUAGACCCUGACGUCCUCGUCGGGUUCAAACCAGAUCACAGACAAACAAAUCAGGACCAUUACUAGGUGAUGUGAGAUUCUAGAGGUGGCUCCUACGGGUUCAAGAGGUGGCUCCCACCAAACCCGUUGGUGUAGCACUUUGUCCCGCAUAGCACUUAGUUCUCACACUUUCGGCUGAUAUUCGGUUCUGAUACCAAUUGUAACGACCCAACCCACUAGCAAUAAUAACUCAUUGGGCCAAACCACAGGCCCAAAAUGCUUAAGCCCAGUUAUUAUAACUAGCGUGUAGGUCUCAUAUAAACUGAUCGGAAUCAGUAUCCCAUCCGAUGUGAGACUAUUGGGUGCGUUACAGGCUUAGUUGUAAUUAUUAGAUUUUCAAGCUUAAUGGCAACUUUGAUCAUAAACAUCAUUAAAAAGAAGGCAAAUACGUUUUAAACAUGCUUCAAGUUGACAAAUUACAAAAAAUUUGUAGAAAAAUAUUACAUGCAUUAUUUCAAAUAAUGUCAUAAUUUAUUGGUUGAGUGAUUGGCUGUCAUAUAUUGGUUUUGUCACUCCCCUCUAUGAUCAAUUUUAAAAAAAAAAAUUUAUGGGUUUUAAUAUAUAAAAAGACUAAGAAACUUUUGGAUAUAGUCAAACUUACACGUGUCCACGGAUCGGAGGCUCUCUAAAGAAGCAUCAUUGGAGAGCUUUCCAUUGAAGUUCUAUGACUCUAUCCAAGCUUUAAGCGUAAAACUCGAUAUGCGCAUCCUAAACGGAGGGCUCUACGAUAAGGAUGUCAAUUGGUACAGAUAUCCGAGAAUUUAUCCGAAUCCGAAUUUUAAACAUAGCGGGUUUAACCGAUGCUGAACUAGUAUGAUUUUUCUUACACAGUUUACAAAAAAUCAAAGCUCGACAGACUCAGGUUCAAGUACGGAAAACCAUACCCGACCCGGACCCGAACCCAAAAUCAAAUUCGAACAAAAUCCGAACCGCUUUUACAUUAAAUUAUAUAUUUUAAAAUUUGGUAAAGUGAAAUGAUUGCUUUCUAAUUCGGAUUUUCGGGUUCGAUUUCGAGCUUGUAUUUUCUUGCCAAGUUCGGUUUUGAUUAUGAAUUUUCAGAAUCCGACAACUUCAAAUUCAAAUUCGAAUUUCAACGCCGGUAAUCGAGUUAAACACGUUCAUGUUCUUAAAAACCCAUCCCAAAUCCAACCCGUUGACAUACCUAUCACAGUACUAUACUAGUUAAUAUGUAGUACCCCUAUUGCACCUAUAUCCUAAUAUUUUCACCAAAUAGUAAAAGAUUAUUAACUCCAAUUGAGUUAAGGGCGUGUUUGGUAAAACCGAACUACACUCGACCGAAGCCACGAGUUCCGUCCGUAGGCGGAGCUCGACUUCGCUCUCGUCGCAGGCAAAGUCGCCAGUUUGCAACGUACGUGAACUCGCAACUCUGUGAGACGGCGUAGGCCCCACGGAAGUCGAGUUUUGCGAUUCUGUCCAAAUGUCGGCAAACUUUGGUUACGGGAACUCAGACACUUCAACCCCGAGUUCGAUCAAAACAGACACGCCCGUAAUCGUCGAAUGUGACUCCAAAUCUAGAGCAACUGAGUUUUCGUGCCGAAUCAGCUCGAAAUCGCGAAACCCGACCGAGUCGAGGAAACUGAGUCCAAGUUUCGAGUCGACUUGCCGAGUUUUAGUACACUUUUUAAGACCCUAGAGUAUCAAUCUCACCAUUCAGAGUGUCAAAGAAAACAAAAAAUGAUGCAUAAGGAUUCAACUCAACUUAACUACCAUAAGUAAAAGGUUCAAAUGUAUAGACACACCCUAAACUUUAACCGGUUUUGAAAUGAACCCCGUGAACUUCUUUUUAUUCGACUUACACCCCCCACCCCCUACUUACUAACCGUUUGAUUUAGCUCCUUCCACAAGUAAUUUUGAAAAUUUUAAAAACUUUUCAGAAUCAAACGGCCACGAGAGAUGCAUUUGACCUUCUUUUUGAGUAAAAUAAUUGUCAAUCAUGUGCAUCACUUAAUAAUGGAAGUAUCUAAAUCAAACGACCAGGAAGUAGAGGGGGGUGUAAAUCAAAUAAAAGAAAGUUCAGGGGUCAAUUUCAAAACAGGUUAAAGUUUAGGGGAUGUUGUGACAACCCUAUAGGUCCCACAUCUGAUGGAAAUAAAAUUGUCAUUGGAUAUAUAAGAAAACUCCACCCUAAUAAUAAUAGCUAAAUGCAAGCAUUUUGGGCAAGCAGUUUGGACCCAACGAGUUAUUAUUCCUAGUGGACCAGAUCGUCACUGGUCUCUUUUUGUGCUACAAGUAAUACAGAGACCUGAACACAAGCAUAUAUACAAUAUCUACAAUAUCAGAUGUCUCGCAAAUUCACCGACGACGAAAUUGAGAUUUCUCGGAACAUAUUUGAUCUCCGUACGCGACUCGAUCGAUCAGUAGAGCCUAAUCUUUGCGGUUAUAUUGCUUUGGCAUAUCGGGCAGCGCUGCAAAUCUCUUCCGCACUCGUAGCAGGUCUGAAGCCGAAGAGAAAAAGUAUUUAUCAGGCAUAUAAUCUGAUGAUGAUCAAAAUAGUACAGAAAGAAAGAAAGAAAAAGAAUUUAAACACAUUUCGCGCGCGCACCUGAUGUCCGCAGCCGAACGCGAAAUCCUUCGAUUUCCACAAGCAAAUGGGGCACAACUGCAUGUAGAAAAUACACGUAAAACUUUAAGAACUUGUAAGCAUUUCGUUGGACUAGUCGAGGUAAGGACAGCCUAAGCAGAUCUGAAAUAACCAAAUAACCGGACUCAAAAUAGAAAAAAUACAAAACCUUCAAAAAUAACCUAAAAAAUGCAACAAAUGAAGAUCUAAAUAGUUGAAUUCGGAUCCCAAACUAGGCCGAAACAGCUUUGCGGUUCGACGCAUAGAUCUUGAGAAGUGUUUUUCGAGGCAUUGCACACUGGAAACAGACAUCCAAACAAAAAGUUAUGAUCGUUUAAAGAUUUUCCGCACCAAUUGUAAAAUUUGCCAAACUGAACGAGAUUUUUGGCCUUGCUUGGUGGAGUCAUGCUUUUUCAGGAACUCUAAUGCUAAAUUGGACGCAUCACGAAGGCUAAUGCAUCACAUUUUGGUGAUCAAAAUUAUUGUAAAGGUAAUUGUUGCAGAUCGAGCUGCCUUAAUUCUGUUACGAAAAGCAAUGAAACUAGAUCUUGAUGCUCCGAUCGGGUAACACGAUAGAUUUUGGUAAGGGCAAAAUAGUCAUUAUAGUAGAGUGGGAAAACUUCAAAUUGCCCUCCUAUGAUUUAGCAUAUUUUCAUUUCGGUACUCUGUAGUUUGAAGUGUUUCACUCGCUACCCUAUGGUUUUACUUUUGUCUCACCCUUAAAGACCUGCCAUUAAGCAACAUACUAAGUCGAUAUAUUUUACAAACCACAGGUCGGCUAUAUGAAAAUAUAGAUAAGCAAAAUGCUACAAUUCGUCGCCCUGUGGCUUGUAAAAUAUAUUAAUUUACUUCUCUGGUUUAUAAAUUUUAUCUCUUAAGUACCCUACUUACCGGCAGAUCUUAAUGGCGAGAUAAAAUUAAAACCACAUGAUAGCAGAGUAAUAUUUUUCAAACCACAGGGUACCAAACUGAAAAUGCGCUAAAUCACUUAGGGGGCAAACUGAAGUUUUCCCUAGUAGAAUAUAGUGGAAUUUGACUAGAUCAGGGGUAUACUUGUGUGUUUUAUAUAUAUAUAUAUAUAUAUAUAUAUAGAGAGAGAGAGAGAGAGAGAGAGAGAGAGAGAGAGAGUCCGGCUGGGAUACUAUCGAUAGCACGAAGCAUUUGGUGCUAUCAAGGUUUUCUGCCGUUAGAUUUAUCUCUUUUAUCACUUUCAUCCGUUAGAUUAUACUAUUCAACCAACCACCCACUUCAACCCUAGGGAGCUCAUAUCAUCAUAAAUCGCACAUCUUUUAAUCUAGGGCAGAAAACUUAAUAGCACCAAGUCAUUGGUGCUAUUAAUAGUAUCCAGCCUAGUUCUAUAUAAUAUAUAUAUAAAUAUAGAGAGAGAGAAGAGAGAGAGAGAAGAGUUGGACUGGGCUACUAUUAGUAGCAAAAUUCCAUUGUUGCUACCAGUUUUUUAGCCUUUGGAUCAACUCUUUUCAUCAUUUCUAACCAUUGGAUUAAAUACUAUAACCCAGUAGGACCACUCAACCCUAGGGGGACCACUCAACUCUAACUGACUAAUAUCCCUAACCCUAUAAUUUUUCAUCCAAGGAUUAAAAACUUGAUAGCAAAAAGAGAGUUUUACUAUUAAUAGUAUUCCAGUCUAAUUCUAUAUAUAUAUAUAUAUAUAUAUAUAUAUAUAUAUAUAUAUAUAUAUAUAUAUAUAUAUAUAUAUAAUUUUGGGGGCUAUACAAACAAGAAAAAUGCUUCUUGUACAUCCGAAAAGAGGGUCUAGAUCUUUACAACAACAUUCUAGGGUUGAUAAAAAUCCAAAUGGGUUUAGUAAAAAAAAAAAAAAAAUUAAUGUAACGCCAAGUAGAUAAUUAAUGGUCCACUGGAUGGAGUGGGUGUAAGAUAUACACCCCACAUUGAGGUGUACAAGUAGUAUUGCUCUACAAACAAUUACUCCUAGAAAGGAAUCUUCUUUACAUAUAUACCCCUGCAAAUAUGAAAAUUAUGCAAAUAUCACUAAAAUGUUGGCAUUGAAACAAGAAAGAAAAGGAAACAAACAAAAAAAAAAAAACUUAUGUAACCCUAGCAGGGUAUGUGCGCAAAUAAACUGUUACCAGAAAAAUCGAUCGGGCACGAAAAAUUCUCAAUAUUAGUACAAUUUACAUAUUUGUAGUGGCGUAUGCAGAAAAGUGUUGGCUAUUUAUUAUUGGCUAAAAUUGGCCCAAAUUUCUGUCUUGUGACAAUAGGCCCAGACGACCAAUAAGUUGAGUUAGGUUGAGUCUAAUAAGUUGAGUGGGGUUGCUGUCUACAAUAGACCUAACGGCAAGAGAUUCAAUAAUAGACCUAACAUUCAGGUAGAUUGUAUCAGGUUGAAACCCGUGAAGUACUGUGGUUGAACCCUUGAGUGUGAUGGGUGCACCCUUCCUAUCAGCAUGUAUUUUUUGAGAUUGUUGAUUAGUGCUUAUGAUCGACAAAAAGGACCAAAGAAAAUGGAUGAAUAAAUACCAUCUUUUCUUCAAGAGAAUUUUCCGAUGCGAAAGAGGCAGUAGCUCUUCUAUUUGCUGCAGGAGUUUGCUCGAAGCUGCUCGAUCGCGAAUAACUCUUCAUACUUGGCGGCGGGAGACAAUGCCUCUCUGGUUCUCCACGUCUUCGACUAAAAUGAAGUUAAAAAACAGAAAAAACAAAAAAAGAAAAGAAAAAAAAAGAGUUUAAUAUUAUUUUGCGCGUAGUUAAAUUAUAAUUUUCAAAUGAAGUCCUUGAACAGUGGUUAAAAAAAAAAAAAAAAAGAUUUUUAAGUACCCUAGAAGAUUCAGGUCAAUUGUGGCUUUGUACUGUGAAGGAAUUUCCAUCAAUGCCCCAAGGGCAAAUUCUGCCUCCUUUUUGUCUGCGGGGAUGUUUUUCGACAUAAUCUCCGUAAAAUUCACAAACUGCAUCAAACCACGAAUGGCAGAUUAAAUCAGAAACUAUUAGUGCAAAAAGUACUUUCAGAAUAAUAUAUAUAAUGCUACUAUACAAUCAAUAGUAUAGGGGCUCCGGUAUUAAUCUCGUUUUGACCUUAAGGUGUUCAAAUUGACGAUCCACACAAUUACGCAUGAUAUGCAUAUACAUACACAUACAUACGUACAUACAUAUAUAUAUAUAUAUAUAUAUAGAGAGAGAGAGAGAGAGAGAGAGAGAGAGAGAGAGAGUAGGGCUACUAUACUCUUAUGAGUAUUGGGCCCUUCGUACUCAUAAGUUGUUUUCGAUGAUGGGGCUUCCGAAUCGACGAUCCACUCCGUUAAAUAUGAUCUAGAGUAUUUGAAACUUAUAAAAAAUAAAUUUUGUAAUUUUUCGAAAUCAUAAUAAAGUCAAUCAAAUGGGCAUAAAAUAAACGAUCAAAAUCGAACGACGUCCUAAAAAUGGAUGAUCGGAUCCUUCAAUUUAAGAUCGGAGUUAUUGAUCUUUAUCUAAGUAGUGAAUAGAAUUUUCUAUCAAAAAUUCAACCUAUUCCAAUUCUUUUACACCGUUAAACUAGCAAGUAUCCCAUACCGGCCGUUAAAAAUUGUCAAUUUUGUGAGCUUUUGAUCGUAAGGUAAAUGAUGUCAAAAAAUUAUGAAAUUUGAUUUCUAUAAGUUUUAAAUGCUCUAGAUAAUGUUUAACGGUAUAGAUCGUCGAUUCAGAAGCUCUAUCAUCAAAAACAACUUAUGAGUACGAGAGCGAUCGUACUCAUUAGAGCACAGUAGCCGGACUCUAUAUAUAUAUAUAGUUGAGCUGGAAUACUAUAGGUAGUAAACGAGCUCUGUUGCCACCCAUUUACUUUCAAUGAUGGAGCCUUCAAAUCAAUGAUCGGCACCAUUGAACAUAAUCUAUAUCAUUUGAAGCAUGUAGAAACCAAAUUUCAUGUUUUUCCGAUAUUAUUCUCUUGUCCAACUAGUGAAUACAAAAAUGAACGGCUGAAAAUAAAUAUCCUUUAAAAAGUGAUGAUAGGAGUCUCGCAAUCAAGAUCAAGAGAAUAGAUCUUGUUUUAAAUAGUUCAAAAAAAAAUUUAAUAGAAAUCCAAUUGAUUUGGAUAUCUUUACACUGUUAAACAAGAAAACGUCUCAUAUCGACCAUUAAAAUUACAAAUUUUAAAACCCUUUAAUCAUUAGACCAAUGAUAUCAAAAAAUUUGAAAUUUGAUUUCUACAUAUUUCAAGUGAUAUAGAUCAUGUUCAACGGUGCCGAUCGUCGAUUUGGAGGCUCCAUCAUCGAAAAAAAUGGGUGGCAACAGAGCCCGUUUGUUCAAUAGCAUUCCAGCUCAAUGUACUAUAUAUAUAUAUAUAGAGAGAGAGAGAGAGAGAGAGAGAGAGAGAGAGUAGGGCUGACUACAAUAGUCUUAUGAGUAUAGGGUCCUUUUAUAUUCAUAAGUCGUUUUCGAUGAUACAUACUGUUAAACAUGUACAUGAUAUAGAGCAUUUGAAACUUCUAGAAACCAAAUUUCAUAAUUUUUUGAAAUUUAUGAAUUAUGAAUUAUCAUUUGUGCUCUCCGAAACUUAAGCUUAAACAUGUCUUUUCUUACGGCAAUGAGGUACCUAAAUAGACGAUCAACAUUAUUAAAUAUCACCUAGAGUAUUCAAAGAUUCUACGUUUCAAAUUUCGUAAUUUUUCGAAAUCAUUUGCCUGGCAUUUAAGAUUGUUCCAAAGUUGACAACUUUCAAUGACUAAAAUAGAGUUUUGAAAUCCAGUUUCUAGAAAGUUCAAAUAACCUAGAUCAUGUUUAAAGAAAUCAAUCAUGAUUCGAAUGCCCUAUUUGCCGGAAAGAACAAAUAAAUGGACCUGGAAAUUAUCAAAUGACCGGGCGGGUAUAUUGUCGUCAAACUCGCGCAUCAUGUCCCACGGUCCGUCACCGACCCCAACUAGAACAAUUGACAAGGGAUAUUGGCUACAAAAGUUUCAAAAGGGCAAAAAAAAAGGGGGGUUAAAUGAUGAAUUAGGAGAGAAAAUGAAGAAGCUCUCUCUAAAAGUCGAAUUCGAUAUGCACCUAGCUUUGACUAUGGCAUUCAUCGUAUCUCGUUCUUGCGGACUUAGUUGCCCGUAUUGCGUAUCAACACUUCGCGUCACCUAUUGAUCCAAUAAUUAGAGUACAAGAUUACUUUGUUAGCAGAAGAGACGAUUGAUAGAAAAACAAAUAUGCGAAGAAAUUAAAAGAAAAUGAAAAAAAAAAAGAAAAAUCAUACCUGUCCGUCAGCAAUUAUGAGAAGAACAUGGUACUGACCACCAGUAUUGUCUACAAUUCCGAUGGCCGUUUCGAUUAUUGGCGCAAACGACGUUGGUCCUGUCGUAUAACAUGUUUUCAUAUAUUAAGGCGAGAAUAACAAGAAGCGCUUAUUUUACACCUCGAAAUCAUACAAGAAUUGCACAUAAAUAUAUAUAUACCAGCUAAACGAAGAUUUGGGACGAUUUCUUUGUAUCUUUGUAAUGCUUCUUCGAAUCCAUUACACGGUCGGUUAUCCGGAUAGAAACUGAAAACCUCCUGAUCAUGGGUCGUUGCUGCACGAAAAGGUAAAACUUAUGCAACUAGACAGGCCAGAAAAUUAGCUCCUGAUCUAAGUUUUGGUUUCUGUAAAUGUGCGUAAAUGUUAGUUCGUAUACGUGAGAUUUAGAAUAAGAAAAGGUAUGGUAGCUUACCAUCGCCGAAUCCAAAGCAUGGGAUGAGAUUAUCCUCGUCGAAAGCCGAGAGGGUCCUCCCGAUAAUAGAUAUCGCCUGCUCGUAUGGGUUUUGGACGCCUCCGAUAUCGUGCAAGCACCGUCGAUUGAAUGAAAUUUUGCCUAGCAGCAUUGAAGCACCAACUGUUUCAAUCUUGCGAAACUAGAGCUAUAGUGUGAUAACCAUUCGAGGGAUUUAGCUUUGAAUAAGUUCAUUUUGACUCAACAAAAAAGGACAGGGAUAAAGUUGCCAUAAUCAUUUGAGAAACAAGCAUUGCAACUGUUUUGUUUUGCUCAGAAGGGCAUGUAAGUGUCUAAAAAUGGAGGUUUACUUUAGUUUGGUGCCGUGAUCGUUCGGUGUAUCUCGUUUUGUUAUUUGGAAAGGCAUGUAGUAAUUAAUUGACGAGGAGUGUGAAAAUAUGUCUAUAGUUCUUUAGUAUGUACAGCAUCUAAACCUACUAUUUUGAAUUUCAGAAUAAUUAUAAUUCACCAAUCAAAAUUGUAGGUAAGAUUUUCAGUGCCCAUCGGCACGGGCCGCGCACAUUGUAUCAUACUGUGCCAACAACAUAUCAGUACGAUAUCACCCCAUGCUGAUGGCAUGGCUCAAGAUCAUCUUUUCUUUAACAAGUAGUUAGUUCAUUAGAGAGAAAAUGAUUUGAUAACGAUAUAUAAUAAGCAAUAAGAAUUAUAUUGGUACCAAAAAAAUAUAUAUAUUUUAUGUCAUAGUGUGUCGGCACACAGGUUUUUUUUUUUAACCGGCGCACAUCGGCUCAGCACGGCACACCGUGUCAACCUGACCCCGUGCCAUGGCUCUUAAACCCUUUCUUGUAGGUUGUAACCAUAGAAAGAAACCCCAUGUGCGCACAAUUUAUCAUUGGAUAAGUUGCUCUGACAUCCGAAAAGAACAUCUCACAUUGCAUGCCUGUUUUGCUUAUUCAAGGGGUUAUGCUAAGUGAUUGCUACAAAAAGAUAACGUAGGCCAUUCCCCUGUCCAUUUCCUAUCAGAUCAAUCUUCUGGGUAGAUCUAUCAGAGCUAAUCCUUAGCACCCCUCCCACCCCGCUUUCCAAGAAGUCAUGAAUUUGAUUAUGACAUCCGCUGUUUUACGGCUUAUAUUCCUGUCAACUAUUCCGUUAUCUCUUCCAUUCCCUUUCCAAUCGGUGCAAGUAGCUUGGUUCACCUGAUGUCCACUAGGCAUGUCAGCACGGGUGUUAAGACUUAAUCCUCGACCAUUUCCUACUAAACCGAUUUUCUUGGUAACAGCCUACAACCACAAAGUAUAAAAGGUCUGAAACAUUUCCUCGGUAAAUGAUAAAUCAAACCAUAAGUAGAAUAUGCACUAUCCUAAAGUAUCAUGGUUACAAAGACCUCGCAAUCGACUAAAAUCUAACCCGUAAGUUGCAAUCAAGGAACAGCGUUCUCCACACGGCAUGUGCUUAUCACUAGAUAACUUGUAAAUCACGAAAGAUUGAACAAGCUGGAACAAUUUAUAAAUUUGACACUGCUUUCGCUCCUUAAGUCGAAAUCAUAUAGGACAACCAAUGGCCUGUUUAGCCAAACUGGAGCUUAACACAUAAGUGGUGUUUGAAUAGAGAAGAGGCAUCUUUACAACUUCUCACCGCAGCAGCAGCAACAGAAGUUCAGAUUGCGCAUUUUGGGGCCUAGAAGCUUACUUUAGCUCUUGACAAAAAGCAGUCAAUUUGUUAGCCAAACACCUGCUUUCUAGAAUAAAGAAGCUGUUCCAGAAACCAGGCCAAAUAGUGACGAAACACAUUCUAGUAAUCCAAUCCUGACCACUUACUAAAGUAGUGUUUGUUCCUUUUUUUUUAAGAAAAAGUAAAAGAUAAAGUACCUCAAUCAACUUCAAUUAUUUAAUAAAUGAAUUAACAAGCAUAAGCUAGCUACUACCGAAGAAACAAAAGAAUAUGUUGCAGGAUAAGUUUCUUUUGUUAACCUGUCCAUUCAUUGCUUUUCGUAAAGUCGAUUCCCACAAUCAGAUUUGAAGAUUCCAGGCCUGCUUGCGCAAGAGCUUCAGUUACCUGAAUCAACAUAAAACAAUCUAAGCACUCAGGAAAAAAGCAAAAGAAAGGCACUUUUCUCCACUUUUAACUUGAUAAUUCAAAUUGAAUCAUUUAAGAAUGUUUGAAAGAAUAAAAUGUGUUCUUAUUCAGCCUUUCUGACAAAAAACAAAGCAAGCAUAAAGAUCAAACAAUAAUUGAAAGCAUUUUAGAGGUUAAAUUGUGUAUGGUAAUAGAGACCAACAUUUCAAAAACUCCGAUUUUACAACCUAAAAUUACAUUGUAUUACAAAACUUUUUUCCCAUGAAAGCCGCUAAGUUUUAAGUGAACUCGAAGGAAUUUUCCAAACUAGAUAUAUAACCAUAACCAUAAGUUUUAACAAUGUCUCAACAUUUCAGUUUCUCCUACAUUAGUCGGCACGUAGACUAUUAUAAGAGAAUAAGUACUAUACUUGAGCUAGAGAAUGGUAAUUAUCCUCGAUCCUCGAAUACUUUCCCUGCAACCUUCUUCUGGUCUCAGGCUGCACAUCAUUCUCUCCGUAGGAGGCGUAUCUCGAAGAACUGUAUCGCGAUGACGAACCCCCGUAAUCGUAAGAUUGCUGACGACGGCCGUGCGAUUUGGAUCCACUUAGCCCCAUUCUUUUUUGCAAAAAUUUGUUCAAAAUUUUAUAGAUUUAUGAAGAUUAAGAGCCCCCCCUCUUCUGACCCAAAUAAUCUGCCAGUUUAAGAUUAUUUCACAUGUAAAUUGGAUGUAAAAUACUUCAAAAUCUGCAGCUAAAGAACAUAAAACUAAUGUCAGCGUAAAUGAUGAGGAGAGAUUUUGACUUGAGUUUUUCCAUUUGGGGGUUUUGAAUUGCUUAGAACACUUUUCCAUCAAUUUUUUCAAAAAAAUAAUAAUAAUAAUAAUUAUCUCCAUAGCUCUCUCAUAAUUAAUUACCUCUUUUCUAACCCUAUGAAUGAUUCAGAUUCCUUUUUUUUUUUCUUUCAGAAACCCAAAAUGAGAAGUUCUUGCCCCCAAAAAAAAAAAAAAAAAAAAUUCAAGUUUUGUGGAGUUGAAGUGAAGGAAACAAUUUAACUUAUAAUGCAAAAUGAGAAAUUUAGCCAGAUUUUAAAAACAGCUAAGGAAAUUUGACAAAUAUUUUUCUUUUUUACCAACAUUUUCUGAACAUAGGAAUAUACCCUACAUCAUAACAAGGAAUUGAGUUUUUUUUUUUUUUUUACUUCUUAAAAAAAAAAGAAAAAAAAAACAAACAAACACAUCAAAGGAUUUUUGUUUUAUUACACUAUCAUUCAGUGGCAUCAUGAACCAAGAUGGUUCAAAAAAAACAAAGAUCAAGAUCAAGAUCAAACACCAGUAAAAGACCAAAAUACAGAGACCCAAAAAAAAGGAUUCAAAUUAAUUUUCCUCAAAAAGGAUUCAAAUUAAAGAAAAGAAAAACAAAAAAUCCUCUAAAUUAGCAGUUUAUCAACACUUACCAACUCUCUCUCUCUCUUAACACCUCCCCAUGUUGAGGCCUCUUCUGAGGAAGCAAUGAAGAGAGACAGAGAACACAAGCAAGCUAAAGAAUAAAAAAACAAAAAACAAAAAAAAAAAACUACACUUUUUUCUUAUAUUCAUUAAAAAAGGGAGACUGGAGGGGCCAAGUCAAGUCCAAUGCAGGAUUUUUCCUCAUAGGUUUCUUGUGAGAUAUAUAUAUGUACUAAGAAAAUGUAUUAAAAUAAUUGGGAAUAUGUAAAUAAAUGGUUCAAAAAAGCUAAGGUGGAAAUGAGGUGAAAAUAGGGAUGCAAAUGGAUCCGGGUUGGUGGAGCUCCGCCCCGAUCCGCCCCGAAUGGGGUGGUAAGUGUGAAUAAAAAAUAUAAAAAAAUAUAACCCGCCCCGAAUCCGCCCCGAUCCGCCAAGUAAAUGGAGCGGCAGGUGGAAGACUCUUUUCUUCCUUUAAUCCGCUCCGAUCGGUCAAAAAUCCGGCUCCCGCCCCGAUCCGUCCCGAAUGGAGCGGUAAGUGGGAGCCAAAAAUAAAAUGAAAAGUAACCCGCCCCGAAUCCGCCCCGCCCCGAUAAGAAAUGGAGCGGGAGAUGGGGGAACUCUCCCGCCCCCAGAUCCGCCUCAUUUGCAUCCCUAGGUGAAAAUUACAUGUAGGGUGAAUUGCAAUCAUUAUUAUUAUUAUUAUUAUUAUUAUUAUUAUUAUUAUUAAUUAUUAAAGAGUUGACUUGGUUUGUAAUUAAUAUGGUUGGUGGACUGUAACUUACACUUGGGUUGAUUAUAAGCUACAUAUGACACCUGGAGGAACUGGGAAAGAGUGAUUCUAUAAGCACAUCAAAGCUUGAGCUUUUUAAAUUAUUGCAAUUAAAUUCUACGGCACAAAUUUAGUUAAUUCAAUAUUAAUAUAUUAUUACUAAUGUAAAAAUAAUGCAGUCGUAUUGUGCUUAAUGACCGAAUAAUCGUUAAGAUGUCAAAUUACUAUCGUGUCAGUAAAACGUUAAUAUUUAGUCAACUAAAGUCGGUAGUGAAAUUUGAUUGAAACACUUAAUAAAAUUUGAGUAUAAAUUCUAAUAAAUUAAAGGGAUAAUUGCGAAUAUAUUUCUCAAUGCUUCUGAAAUAUUUGAUAUAUCCUUACUUUUUUUUAAUUUUAAAUAUACCCCUCGUAUAUUUUUUCGUUUAUUCAAAAAUACCCUCGCUGUUGGUACCCGUUAAGUUAUCUCGAAUUAAACUGGGAUUAAAUUUGUCCUAGAGUGAAAAGUUGUCGACAUACCAUUUUUGCCCCCGACUUAAGGGCAAAUACGAAAAGUUGGUGACAGUAAAAGAGUAUAUUUGAAAUAAAAGAAGUUCAAAUACUUCUUUUUGCUCCCGGCUUAAGAACAAAGAACAAAGUUUGUGAUGCGCGAAGGGUAUAGUUGAAAGAGUAAAACAGUAAUUUCACAUAGAUAACUGUUAUUUUUAAUAGUUUACUAAUAUAAUCUAACUCUACGGAUACAUUUGAGAGAAUUUGAAAUGUUAAAAGGUAUUUUUAAUAUUAGCAUUCUAAGAGGGUAAAUAAAAAAAAUAGGAAACCUUGCAAGGGUAUAUAAACAAUUGUCCUUAAUAAUUGCCCCUAAAUUAAAAUGACAGGACUAAAAUAAUUUAACCAACCCACAAAUAAUUUAACCAAUCAUUCCUAAAAAUGAGUCAAUUCUGUAAGGAGAGGGACAUUCAAUGGCAAUUCAUAUUAGGUAUAAUUAUCUAUAUACCCCUCAAAGCUUUUAAAAUAUUUUAUAUAUUUCUAUUUUUUUCAAAUAUACCAUUGUACAUUUCUCCGUUAUUCAAAAAUAACUCUGCUAUUAGUACUCGUUAAAUUAUCUCGAGUUAAAUCUGAGUUAAAUUUCUAUCAAAGUUAAAAAAAAAUCAAAAUACCUCUUUUAUCCCUUAAGGACAAAUAAGAAAAGUUGAUAAUAAUAGAAGGAUAUAUUCUAAAUAGCCAAAAGUCAAAAUACUUUUUCUAACUUAAGGACAAAUAAAAAAAAUUAGUGAUGGUUAAAAAGUAUAUUUGAAAGGACAAAAGAGUAAUUUCACAUAGAUAAUGAUUGUUUCUAACUGUUUGUUAACAGAAUUAAACUGUAAGGAUAUAUUUUAAAAAAUUUGAAACGUUAAAAAAGUAUUAUUUUUUAUAUUGGCCGUCUAAUUAAGGGGGGUAAAUAAGAAAGUCUAGAACCUUUUAAGGGUAUAUAAGCAAUUGUCCAUUCAUCUUAUUGCCCCACUCUUUCUCCGUCUACGGACCGAACACAGUCCCAAAAUCCGAACCUGACAGAUUUUGAAAAUUCAUAUUUAAAUUCAAACCCAACCGAAAACCCAAAAUCUGAACCUAAAUCCGAAAAUUCAAAUCCAAACAAUUAUCUCUCUUUACCGUAUCUCAAAACAUAUUAUAUGAAAAUUCAAUUUUAAAAUACUAGUUCAAAUAUAACAUUAAACGUUCAUAUAUUAUAUAAUAUAUAAAAUCAAUUCGGAUUAGGGUCAGGCUCAAAUUCCGGACGUAUAUAUAGGAACAAAAUCGAUACCCGAUUUCAAAUCUGUACGAUUUUUAUUUUUUAUAUCUGUGUUUAGCAUCUGAUAAACCGGCCUUACUCGAAUUCGGGUCUAGAAAAAAUUUCAGAUAUUCGUACCCAUUAACGUACGUCGCUAUCUCCACCUAAUAAUUGCUUUCUUUAAUAAGCAAAGAAAAGAAGAGACCUUUCCUUAGUUUCUUUCACCAAUUAUAUCAUAGCUUUAUGUCUAAUUAAUAAUAUUGAGAAAAAGAAUUAAUAUUUACAAAGCUAUUUUAUACAUUAGGGUUAAUUUCGUAUUUACCCCUCCUCCAAUCCUUAAUUACACAUAAACCCCUAUAAAAUUAUCAAUAUCAAAAAUACCCUUUUAAUUUAGAGAAAUUAUCAUAAAUAUCCAUAUUGACAUUAAUCCAUCUGAAAAUUAUAUAUAAUUUUUAUUUUUUCCAUCUUCUAUUAUUAAUACUUUUUUUAAUAAACUAAAAAAUCUUUUGCUUGGAAAUAUUAUAAAUACAAUUAAAUGUAUAGUAAAAUAGAAAAAAACUAAUUAAAGCAAAUUAAACUACAAAGAUAAUAAAACAAAAAAAAAAUCAUACUAAUUUAGAAAAAAUAAGAAAAAGGUUUACAAAAGAAUAUAACAUAUAUUUAGUUUUAAUUAAGAUCAACAUGAGAUCAUAUGAUAUUGAAGUAAAAAAAUAAUAAACUUCAGUUUGAUAGAAAAGCCAUUCACAAACUAAAAAAAAAAAAAGAUCAAGUCAUUGUUAAGUUAGGAAUAAAUUUGUUAGCCCCACAUAAUACCACAAAUUAUUUAUAAUUAGGUAUGCAUAUGGGCAAAUUAGUUUAAAACUCUUAAUCAAUGUGAUGGAGGAUAUUUUUGAUAUAAUUCAUUAAUUUAUAGCAGUAAAAAUAAUAUUGACAAUUUUGAAAUAAUAUUUUAUGAUAUUUAUAAAUUUUGAGGGGUCCGUUUGAAAUUCUCUCUAUAUAUUGUUUGUAGUGCAAAAUACCCUAAAUCGCGACAACGUAUAUACGAGUUGAACUAGAAUGGUAUCAGGAGCAAAUAGGCUCUAUUGUUAUCAAGUUAUUUUCGAUGAUAGAGCUAGCUUUUCAAUUCGAUGAUCGGCACUGGUCAAUUUGAUCUAGACCAUUUAAAUAGUUUAGAAUCGAAUUUUAUAUAUUGUCAACACUAAUGACCUAAUGAUCAAAGGAUCGUAAAUUUAACAAUCAAUAUGGGGUAUUUGCCUGUUUAACAGUGUAAAAAAAAAUUCAAAUUAGUUGAAUUUAUGUCACAAAUUUUUUUAAACUAUUUAAAACUAUUGGGAAUCCGGUAUCGCCCUGGUGCUGGAUUUUGUGAAUCCGCAACCUACUCCGAUACCGACGGUUGUUAAUUCGGUACUGAUUGUUGGGAUUCCGCAACAGAAGCGUCGAAUUAGAUUUUUAGCAUAAACUUGUUCUCUCAGCAGAAGCCGAUACAAUCAUGAAAGAGAGAAAACAACUAAAUAGAAAAUAUGCGAGUAAAAUAAGAUUCAUUAAAUAAGAGAAGAUUACAUCUGACUCCUCUUCUUUAACAGAGUAGUUACAACCCGAGCCCUCUUUUUGAAUCUCUCCUAUCCUUCUCUCGUCUUCUAUAAACCCACAAAUAAGACAAUUCUCCACGUGCACCCAUGCAUUAGCUGCACUCAACCAUGACUUUCUCUCUCCUGGUACGGUUUCACCUAAGAAAGCACUCUCUUUCUCACCGUACUCUCUACUCCAAAGCAUCCCAAAAAGUGUUUUUCUAAUGUAUCAUCUAAAACGUACGUGAAUCCUAAUCCAAUUAGGAUUCCGAUUAUGAUUAAUAUUUAAAUCUAUAUUUAUUUAAAUCUAGAUUUAUACUCUAAUUAAUAUUUAGAUCUUAAUUUAUCUCCAACAUAUUUAAAUAUUUAUCCUAAUCUAGUUAGAUUCAUACUCUAAUUAAUACUUAGAUCUUAAUUUAUCUCAAACAGAUUUAAAUAUUAAUCAUAAUCCAAUUAGGAUUCAACUACAAAUCUAACAAAAUCCUAACAAUUUAAAACAAGAUCUACUCCUUGAUCUUGAAUACAAAAAUUCCAUCAUUGAUUUUCGAAGGAUACUCAUUUUCAGCUGUUCAUUUUUGCAUUCACUGGAUACACAAGAGAACAAUGUUGAAAAAAAAAUGAAAUUAAGUUUCUAGAUACUUUAGAUGAUCUAGAUCAUACUCAACGGUGCUGAUCGUUAAUUUAAAAACUCUAUCAUUGAAAAUAAAUCAAUAGCAAUAGAGUCCAUUUACUGCCGAUAGUAUCCUAGCCCAACUUGAUGUAAAUAUCAAUUAGUGAAUUCAAUUUUUUAUGGACAUAUUGAAUCUGUUUUAACCCAAUCAACUUUCACCAACUACACUGUAGUUGUGUGUAAUUACAUACAUGGGACAAAUAUGAAUUAAAAAAUAAAAAAUUAAAGUCAGUCAAUGGGUAAUGAUCUAAUUCAACAAUGGAUAAAAAGCUACAUUUAGAUUUCUAGAAGGAAUGGGAUUGUAGGGAUUUGUGAGAGGGGACGUGCCUAACCACCAAGAAAAAAAAAAGUUAAAAAAUUAAUAUUGGAGUUCGAAGGGUUAUGUGUCAAUGUGGUGGGCCCAUGUUGAUAAGCUCCCAAGUUAGGCACUGAUUUGACCUGUGCAGAACUACUCGUUGGUGCUAAUUAUUAAUUUUAAAAAAUAUACGGUGCUUACGAGUCUCGAUUAUAACUUGGCUCAAGCAGACUUACUCUAGUUCGAACAUGACUUGAUCCAAACCGGCCUCUUGCCAUUUCGAACGCGACUCAGUCCAACCUGACCUUCCGCUGCAAAGCAGAAUACUAGUUUCUUUAAGCCAACUUACUAUUCUGUCGGAUUUAGGGUUUAAAAUUUAGAACCGUCCCUAGAGCAAGUGGCAAAGGGCUUGGUAGUUGGUAUCCGAAAUUCAAGUUCGAAUCCUAGCUAGUUGAUUCACAUUUCCAGCUAAGUUUAUUUCUAAAUGAAAUAAAUGACGUGGAUAGCGUGCUCCCUAUCUCUCAAAAAAAAAUAAAAAAAUAAAAAUGUUUAGAAUUAAAUGUUUAUGGUGUUCACAUAUUUAAGAGCGUAGAAUAAUGAGAUUCAUAGUUGUUGUCUGUUAAAAUAAAAAAAAAGGAUUUUAAUUUUCACUUCACUUUGAAAUAAAAAUGAUCCAAUCUAUUUAUCAUCCAAUCUGAUCCAUUCGAGAGAAAACCAUUAUCUCACAUAUACCUCUCCCUUCCUCCUCUCCCUUUAUCAGUCCUCUUCUUUAAACAAAUUCCCACUUUCAAAGUUCUAGAUAUCCAAUUAUCUAUUCCGAUUUUCAUUCCAAUAACGAAUCAAACAGUUUAGUUUCAAACCAAAAACCUCACUAAACCAAAUCAAAUAAGACAAUUUGAUUCGGUAUAUUUACUUUUCAAAAUUGGAAAAAAAUUUUGAAUUUGGUUGUUGGUUUCUGUUCUAUUUUGACACAUCUCUUAAAUUUUCUAUGCAUAUAAUACAAUAUUACUUUCACAACAAUUUAUUAAAAGUUGUACGGUCCUGAGUUUUCAAAACUACCCCUAAAAAUUUUAAAAAUAUCACAUUUGCCCUUGAGAAUUAAAAUAUCACAUAUGACCUUCUAAUGUAAUGAGUCCUCUCAUUAUCUUACAAUACGAAGCGUUACCCUAACCUUUCAAUACUGGUUAAGUUUUAGAAUACCAAUUUUAUUUCUAAAUAAUUUCAAAAUUUAUAGCUUGAUUUUUUAAAAAAAUUUAAACUUCAAUCUAAAUUUUGAUCUUACGUUCACCCAAAAUUUAAAUUCUAAUUCUGACUUUAAAUCUAAUUUUGAAUUUGAAUUUUAAAUUCAAAUUUAGCUUUGAAUUAAAAUUGAGAUUGUGUACUUAAUUUUACUUCCAAAUCUGUAUGUCGAAUUAGAUUCAAUUUCAAACUUCCAUUUUGAAAUUGAUUCAUAAAAAACAAUAAUAAUAUAUAGCCUAAGUCAAUAUCAAUUGAUUCAUAAAAAACAAUAAUAAUAAAUAUAUAUAUAUAUAUAUAUAUUUUUUUUAAAAAAAACAAAGGAUAUUUGGUUAGGCCCCGUUUGGAUCGCGGGAUAAGCGGGGAUAACGAAAGUUAUUCCCGUUAUUCCGCCAAACGGGAUGAAAUUUGGCCGGGAUAUUUUAUCCCGGUCAAACCUUGCUAUUCCCGGUUAUCCCGGAAUAGCAAGGGAUUUGCUAUUCCACCAUUUUAGUAGAAUAGUGCUAUUCCAAUGCUUAAUUUCAAACUUAAUUAAAAUUAUAAAUUGAAUUAAACUAAAUUAUAUAAAUAUAAUAUGUUAUAUAUUAUAAUACAUUAUUUUUAUUAUAAAAUUAUUAAUUGUACUAUAUUAAUACAUAUUAUUUAUAUUUAAAUAUUAUAAUAAAAUUUAUAAUAAAUUAUAUUUAAAUAUUAUAAUAAAUUCUUUUUAUUAAAUUUAAAUUUAAGUAGAAUUUUUAAAAAAUUUAUAAAUUUAUUAUAAUAAAUUAUUUUUAUUAAUUGUUCCCACCACUAUUCUUAUUUUAAAAUUUUAAAAAUUAAAAAUUUAAAUUUUUAAAAUUUAUAAUUUAUACUCUCAAAAUUAAAGUUUAAAAUUUAAAUUUAAAAUUUUAUAUUUUAUAUUUUUUUAAUUUAAAUAUGAUCUUAAAUUUAAAGUUUGAAAUUUAAAAUUUAAAUUUUUGAAUUUAAAAUUUGAGAUUUUAAAUUUCAAAGUUAAAAUUUUAAAUUUAGAAAUAUAAAUUUAAAAAUUUAAAAAUUCAAAUUCAAAUAUAAUAAGUGGAUAAUAUCAUUAUUUUUUAUUUACAAAACCCAUUAUCUUUCUUAUUCCAUCUUACCUAACCAAACGUAAUUUUUUUAUUCCCAGGAAUAACCCAAUUUUCAUCCAAACGCAAAAUUGAUUUAAUCCCCGCUUAUACCUCAAUUUAUACUUAUCCCUGGAAUAGCCACUUUUUCCUUAUCCCCGAACCAAACGAUACCUUAGAGUUUGAGCCUUUUCAUAUGUAGGAUUAGGUCAAUGUUAGUUUCCCACGCGGUUCAACCUGUCAAUGUCGCACCAACGAGUCAAAUUCAGCCUAGUUUGGCAGCGCGUUCUUCAAAUGUAUCAGUUUUCAUGCUUCAGAGCUUCAACAUCACAAAAACUACAUUAAGGGGCUGUUUGGUUGCAUGCAUUUUCAACUGCAUUGUAGUUGAAAAUGCAUGCAUCUAUCAAUUUUUUGUUUGGUUUGGUGCAGUUAGGCCCAACUAUUGCAGUUGCAUCUGCACGAGAAGGCCCAACUGCAACAGUUGGUACUACAACCAAAUUGGCCGUAGUACCAACUGCAGCAGUUGAGCCGGAGUCGGCUUACCCAUUAAAAAAAUAAACAAAGUGUGAUUUUUUUUUUCAUACACUCUUUUUUUUUUAUUUUUUUUUCUAAAAAUAUAUAUUCAAGAAAUCUGGUAAGAUUUAGUAAUGUUUGUUAGGGUCAAUAAAUUUUUUUCAUACGAUUCUUAUUUUUCAGUCUGUUAAUUUAAUAAUAUCUUAAUUUUCAUUUUGAUCAAAUUUAUAAUAUAUUUACAUUUAAAAUUUAUUGAAUUCAUAUAUAAUUUUGUAAUAUAUAAAUUAUAUAUAGAUAUAAAAGUCUUAAUUAAUAAUCAAAAUAUAAUUACGUUAUGAUCAGAAGAGGUAAUCUCACAUUUCUAUCUGAAAAUUGACAGAAUUUAUAAAAACAAAUCUCAAUUGCAGACUGCCAAACAGAAGAAAUGUAACUGUAGCAGUUGCAACUGCAUAAAACCAAACCGACUAAUAAGUAUAGUUAUGACUGCAGCAUUUACAACUGCAUAUACUUCCAACUACACUGUUUUUACAACUACAUCCAACCAAACGGCCACUAAAUUUCAAUGCUUCUAAUACCACAAAAUGAUGGCAGAAAUUUCCAGUAAAAAAGCAUGAGGGAAAAUUCUUCGACGGUAGAGAUUUUCACUUUUCUUAGGGCUCUCAGGCAAAAUAGAUGCGCUUGAAGAACUCAUGUUCGGCAUCUAUCAUUUUAAGACAGACAGACGUGUGUCUCAGUGCAGCACACCCCUUUCUACCAUCAUAUAACAUCACAACUCCUUCAUAGUUUGGUUAAAUGGAUCUAAUGAUAGAUAAUUUUGGCUGAAUCAUAAAAAAAAAAAAAAAAAAUUCCUUGCAUUUUCGCCCGAGUCCAAUUCCCUCGUACACAAAAAUUGCAUCAAACUCUACACAUUAACACCGUCUCAUUUAAGUCGGAAAAUAGACGCUCAAUGAUAAAUUCGAAUGUAAAACUUUAUAAAAAUUAAUUUGCAGAUGAUAGUAGUAAAACUUAUUAAAGUUUAAUCGUAUAAACUGAACAAAUUGUCUCAUAAAAGAGCCAAUUUUAGUCAGAACUACGGCCUAUUUAGGCAAAAUUCCAGUUUCUGCAGUUGCGCUUUCUCGUACAGUUCCAAUUGCAACAGUUGAAUUCAAAAUAAUUAUAAUUUCAGUGCAGAGUUGCAACUACCUGCGACAAUAGAGCCUAUAAUCGGCUUUAUGUCUCAAAGCUUUAGGUUCAAUUUAUGGAAUAAAAUAUAGAGAUUUUCAAUUCUCAUAUGUACUGUGACAAAUUAUAAAAAAUUAUUUUGGAUCGUGACAAAUUUGGGCCGGGCAUAGAUUGGCCCGACCCCGCCCAAAAAAAGUCGGAUGCGUAAAUUUGGCCCAAUCCAUCUCUAGCGGGCGAAAAUGUGUAGCCUGAUUUUUUUCGGAUCGGGUCCAUUAGCCCGAUAUGUCGCCCAACCCAUUUACACCCCAAUUGAGAAAUUAAUUGGGUUAAUUAUACCAUUGGUUAUAAAAGGCUCGGAAAAUAUCCCAGGAAAUAAUUCAUUGUGAAUUAAAUUCGUCCGUAACUCCACUUUCCCAAUUGCGUUAUUAUUUGACUUCGCCCUAAGUGGUAGCAAAGUUAAUUACGGAAAGAAAAAAAAGAAAAAAUUAAUUAAAAAAAUGUCGCAACUUUUUUUUAUCUAUUUAUAUACUAGCAUGAAAUUUUUUAAUGAAAUAAAUAAAAAAAUAUAAUAAGUACAGGUCCUAAACCACUUACUUUCUCUCAAACAAACAGCAAUAAAAAAAAAAAAAUUCAAUUCAAUUCAACUAAAAGUCAUUUUCGAUCUAAAACUCAAUUACAACAGAAGCCAAAAUCCGAACAAUUCAAUUCUGCAGAAAUUACUUUUUCAAAAUUUAGGCCAAACGGUCCGUAAUCUAAUCUGGUGUGCUCUAAAGCUCUCUCCCAUUUUAAUGUGGGCCACUUCCACCCACUAAUUAUUAGAGCAUAUAUUUUUCCAAAUAAAAAAGAAGUCAAACACAUAGUCAAAGCUGAUUUUUGAUGUUGACAUGUUUGAUUCAAUGAAUUUGAUUACAAAUUUGCUUACUAAAUUUGAACAGAUCCAAUAAUCCCAUUUACAACAAUGAUCACCUGCAAAAUAUUUCUCUCCACAUGCAAGAAUAAAUAAAUAAACAAUUAAUUAAUUAAUUAAUUAAUUAAUUAAUUAAUUAAAUCCCAGUUUCAACAUUCUCAAUGAUUACAAAAAUGCAGUAAUAGCAUAUAUUAUGUAGCAUUAAUUGUAGAUAAACCUUCCCUGAACAAGAGAGUAAUAUUGAAAGGGUGACAUGGGCCAGGUUGUGUGUUAUUCCCUCUUUUUGUGUUUUUUUUUUUUUUUAAUGUGCCAAAUGCUUGUGCUUAACUCUACUCACCCAAUCUACAAGGAAUAAAGUAAUAAUAAUAAAGUGUUUCAAAGUUUUGAUGAGAGUUAGGGCAACUUGUUAGGCUCUAAAUCUCGGACCUGGACACGAUUAUACGUAGGUAGUAUCUGGUGUAAGAAAAAUUACCUAUUGAAGUUUUGGGCAUAAGUCCGAAUACCUUAUAAUUAUCAAGAAUUUGACCCGAUCUUUGUAGGAUCAUUGGCUCUUACUAUUAAUCCCAAAAGUUUGAGUUGUUAGAAAGAUAUAGUUAAUUCAUUCAAAGUUUAUAAAAAGGGCAUCUACGGAUUUUGAUUCAGUUAUGACUCGGCCCAGUUGGCCUCCGUCACUUCGAAUAUGACUUGAUUCAAUCCGGCCUCCCGCCACAUCGAUAAGCAUAUGAAUAGUCGUACCUAAUCUUAAGUGAAUAGUAUACAAAUAGUUUCUAUCCAAACCCACUCAUAUGGAUCUGAUGGGUACAUUAAAAACUUAGGUACAGAAAUCCGAACCCAUCGCAGAGUUGAAUAGGUAGAGUACUUUCUUUUUUCUAUUCAUAUUUGGGUACUUAAGUACCGAAAUAUGAACUAUCCAACUUGAAAAAUUUUGAAGGCUAAAGUGAAGUUGGAUAUAUAUAUAAGUUCAGCAACUGGCAUUGUAAUUUGAUAUCACCAUCUUAACCUUCUUGCUCAGUUUUCAUAAUAGAGCCUUGUGAUAUAGCGCAAUUUUGUAUCGAUGUUUUGUGUUAAAUGAUACGAAACAUAAAGUACUAUGCUUUAAUAGCUUAAAGUUUUAGAGAAUAACGAUUAUUCAAUAUAACUUAACAUAGUAUCAGAGUAUGAGGUUCUGAGUUUGAGUCCCACCAGACUCAUAUUCGUUGAAUAAAUAUAUUAAUUAGAUAACCUGAGACCGGUACCAUGUUAGAUUUUAGGUUUUUUUAGUCAUUUUUAAUUAAAUUGAUCUCUUGGAUAACAUGGUAUCAGAACUACUACUAAGCUAACAGCGAAAGCUUAGGAUUAGCUCUAAUACCAUGUUGUAUAAAAAAAAAUCGUAGCAGAAAACAAGCCAUAAAAUACAAUUAACAAUUUUCUCUGUAUACAAGUAAGCGAAGGACUUGUUCGCCUUUGCUAUAGUGUUAAUAGUUAUUUGAAUGAAUUACUGUCUGUGUAGUGCUGUUAAAAGAAGCAUUAUAUGAAAGUUUUUAUUCGAUAAAUUUUCUCUGUAGUAGAAGAAGAAUUCUAAGCAGAUGCCUUAUAAUUUUUUCUUUUAAUUCCUGCCGCAGAGACGCCGGAUUCUUUUAUUUGCCAAAUUCUCUGCUAAAGGUAACUAUUGCAAAAAUAAAAGUGACGCUGAAAUCCGAUAGAAAACAUCAUAAUGGUAACGAAGCAUCGAUGCGAAAGGAUCUCAUCCACUUUGAUGAGAUAAACAUCUAGAUAGGGAUGCAAAUGGAUCCCCGUUGAUGGAGUUCAUGUCCUAAUCCGCGCCAAACGGGGUCGUUAUGUGAGGGCCAAAAAAAAGGAAAAAUAAAAUAACAUGUCCCGACUCUGUCCGAUCUACUAAAAGAAAUGAUACUCUUUCCUUUCUUUGAUCUGUCUUAAUCUGUCAAAAAUUCGCUCGUGUCCCCGGCCGCCCGAAUAGAGUAGUAAGUAGGGACAAAAAUAACAUAAAAAUCAAUUCGUCCCAAAUCUGUUCUGAUCAACUAAGAAAACAGAUCACGAAAUGAAGAUCUAUCCUGCCCCGGAUCUGUCCGGUUUGCAUCUUACAUCUAGAUACCUUCUACAUAGAGUCAUAUAAAGUAUGUUCACAUGUAACUACAAAAUAAAGAAAAGACAAUGAUAACAUCUAUCACCUUCUUUUUUUUUUUUGGAAAAACUUCAAAAACCCCACUGGUGGUUUCAAUUUUUUUCACUUUAGUACCCUAUGGUUUAAAAUAUAUCAAGUUAGUGCCCUGUGGUUUUUCACUUUAUCACUUUAGUACCCUGUGGUUUAAGAUGUAUCAAGUUACUACCCUGUGAUUUUGCACUUUAUCACUUUAGUAUCCUGUGGUUUUAAUUUUGUAUCAAGUUAAUAUCCUGUGGUUUUUUUAAACCAUAGGGUACUAAAGUGAUAAAGUGUGAAACCACAGGAUACUAAAGUGAUAAAGUGCAAAACCAUAUGGUACUAACUUGAAACACCUUAAACCACAGGGUACUAAAGUGAUAAAGUGAGAAACCAUAGGGUACUAACUCGAUAUACUUUAAACCACCGGAUACUAAAAUGAAAAAGUGUGAAACCACAAGGGGGUUUUUUAAAGUUUUUCCUUUUUUUUUUUUGAUAGUGAUAACAUCUUUAGCUCCAUUUGAACAAUGGAAUCUUCGACUAAAAAGCUCCACUCUUUUGAUAAUGUCCAACUUAGGCAACCACAAUUGAGACAAAUGGGUGAGUCAACCAAUGAGUGCUCCAUUAAUUGGUCUAUUGGGAACAUAAAUUAUUGUUUGCACUUGGUGCAUCUAUUAUCUUGUGGACCACACAUUAUAUUUCCCCCAACCAAUGAAACAAUCCAACCCCCAACAGUCGAAAAUACAGUCGAUUCUAUCAGCUCUCCAUAUAUUCUGUGUUUUCUAAAUGAUCGAUCUGAUAGUAAAUAAUCCACUCAAAUUUAAUAAGUUAAAAAUGGAAUUCAAUCAAAAAGAAUAUAAUGCGAGAAUCAAAUGCACAAACCUCAUAGAAUGCCUUUUAUUUAGCCUAUGUGUGCUUAUUCUAUGUCACCAAAAAAAUAGAUCUGAUAGUAAACAACCUAUGAAAAAUUGACAGAUGAGAUAAGAAAUGGGACUCAUUAGUUAGAAUAUGAAUACAGGACCUCAAUGAGCGGUGGGAUUUAAGUUUUGAAGCGGUAAACUUUUACCACAUUUAACAACCUGCAAGUACUAAAUAAUUGUGAUUGAAGUAUAUAAUGAGAUAGAAGGCCCGAAGAGUAUAAUGAUGAACAAAUACGCCCGGUGCAUGCAAUAAGUAUUUUAGAUUACACAUGGGAAUUUGUGCUAAUCUUCUCUUUGACCUCUAUGGAAAGCCAUAAACACAAGCUAGCCAUGAAAAAAUGGCUUUCUCAUUAAGGAAUUGCUUUCUACUUUAGAGGGUGUUUUAAUUGAGCACAUGGGUGUUUGGGACUUCAGUGGAGUUAGUGCUACAAAGGCAAGUUACAAAACCAAGUUUCAUAAUGGUUUUUAGGUGCCAAUAGGUUAAGGUUUUUAUUUGGAUAGCCAAAAAAAAAAAAAAAAAGUCAAUUUUAAAGGCUUAGCCUAUUUGAUGAAAAUAACUUCAGCGGAAAGCUCCCAAAUGAAAGUUCGCUGACGAAUUUCCGAUUUGCUGCCAUCUAUCAGUUUUUUCUCUAUCCAAAUAUUAUGGGGUUAAUUACACCAUUGAUCCUCAACCUUUAUAGUAUUUUUAAUUUGGUCCCAAGUCUUUUAUUUUUUGCAAUUGAGUCCCUGGACUCUUGAUUUUAUUGCAAUUAAGUCUUAGCUGUUAAAAAAUGUGUUAAAAUUAACGAAAUUGCCACAUCAGCGCCUACUUGUCUAAUUUGCUGGUACUGAUAUGGCACCUCUGUGGCACUGAUGUGGCAAUUAUGUUAAUUUUAAUACUUUUUUAAAAGUUGGGACUUAAUUAUAAUGAAUUCAAGUGUAACGGCCUAGCCCACUAACAAUAAUAACUUGUUGGAUCCAACCAUUAGCCCAAAAUGCUUAACCCCAGUUAUUAUUACUAGUGUCUAAGUCUCUUAUAUACCCAAUCGCAUUCCCAUUCAUAUCCAAUGUAGGAUUAUAUAUCCAAUCACAUCCUCAUUCAUAUCCGAUAUGGGAUUAUAUACCCAAUCACAUUACCAUUCAUAUCCGAUGUGUGAUUAUAUACCCAAUUACAUCUAUAUUCAUAUCCGAUGUGAAAUUAUUGAUCCGAUGUGGAUUAUUGAGGCAACCCAAUCACAUCCCUAUUCAUAUCCGAUGUGGAAUUAUUGAGGUGUGACAGACUCCCCCCGUUAAGACUCUGGCAUCCUCGUCAGUUCAAUCACACACACAGCCCAAGAUCACCAGGCGAUGUGAAACUUAUCUCGCUAGCCUUGUCAUCUAGACCCUGGCAUAGCCGGUCACCUUAUUAAUCAAACUCCGGCAUUAGCCUGUCACCUUGUCUUUCAGACCCUGACUCAACCGAGACUCGCUACACAUUUUCGGCUGGUGAACUGGCUCUGAUACCAAAUGUAACAACCCAGCCCACUAGCAACAAUAACUUGUUGGGCCCAAACAUUGGCCCAAAAUGCUUAAGCCUAGUUAUUAUGUCUAGCCCAAUCAAGCUUAUAUACUCCCACAUCUAGCCCAAGAUCAUCAGACGAUGUGAGAAUUACCUCGCUAGCCCUAUCUCAGCCAAGACUUAUCUCACACUUUCGACUGGUGAACUGGCUCUGAUACCAAAUGUAACAACCCAACCCACUAGUAAUAAUAAUUCGUUAGGCCCAAACCACCGGCUUAAAAUGCUUAAGCCCACUUAUUAUUACUAGUAUCUAAGUCUCUUAUAUAUCCAAUCACAUUUCCAUUUAUAUCCGAUGUGGGAUUAUUAGGGUGUGACAUCAAGAAGUUAGGAACUUGAUUACCAAAAAAAAGGCUUGGAACCAAAUUGAACAACAGUACAAAGCUUAGAGACCAAUGAUGUAAUUAAUCCAAUAUUAUAAUCCUCCUCUAGAGUUUUAUUUUCUAUUAUUUUUUUCUGAAUUUUAAUACUAAAGAAUAGGCAAUAAAUCUUAGACGGAGGUAAAAUUGACAUGUAGCAGCUGAUCGGAUGCUCCCGACCGCUUUCUGAAAGGAGCUCCCAAGUAAAGUUUUAUCCCUGUUAGUAUUGGAUCAAAAGAAAGGGACAAAUAUUGUUUAUUUAAAACUGAUGAAAAUAAAAAUGUCAGUAUAAAAUUAAGAGCAAUGUUAUGAAAAUAACCUCAUUAGAGUGAUAAGAAUAAUUCCAUGCAUGGGGAUGUUAAUGAAUGUGAUAUCAACAAUUUUAUCUGAGUCCAAAUUAACCUGAGUAGAACGAGGUUAUCCAAUGGUAAAUGUAUAUGGUUUCAUAUACGGGUAUAAAAAAAAAAAAAAUCUGAUCAAUUCAAAUUCAAAUUCAAAUUCGGAUAUGAAUUUUGUUAGUAUCUCAUCCAGAUCACCUGAACCUGAGUGAUGAAAAUCUAAUUAAUAAUAGAUUUUGUUUGCAUUUCUAAUUCUUAAAGUUGAUAAGGUUUUAUUUGUUUUUAUGUGGAGAUUAUGAGCUUAGCUAACUCCUUAAAACUUGGAACAAACCUAACAAUUUUUUUAAAAAAUUUUGAAUCUAUAUAUAAUUCCAACAAUUUAAUGUUUUUUUCAAAUAAAAUAACUACUUGGAGUUUGUAUUAAUUUUAAUCAAUUUUUGGGCCAAAUUUUUUUAUUGGGUAAAAUUGCAUAUGUAGUCCUGAAACUUUUCUCAAAGUUUUAUUCUGAUCCUCAAACUUUUACGCACAAUAUUUGAAGUCCCAAACUCUUAUAAAUAUCUCUUUUUAGUUAUUAUUAUCCUUAUUUAUUAUUACAUAAAUAAAUAUUAUCUACACAUAUACCAUCCAUUAUCGAACCAUAAAUUCUCAUCUCAUAUUUUAAAAUUUAAAAAUUAAAUGUUUAAACUAAAAGUAUGAGAUGGACGAGGGGCCAAUGAAUCCAUUAAUAAAAAAAUGAACUAAGUUUGAACAAUAUCUUUGUUUAAUUUUUAAAAAAAUUGAAAAUUUUAGAUGCUAAAAUAUCGAAUAUAUAAGGUUGAGAACCAAAAUAAAAUCAACUAAUAUUUCAAAGACUAGUACGAAAAGUUACUCUUUAUUUUUUUUGUAGAUUACUUUAUUUGUGAAAAUUAAUAUAUACUAGUUAAGGUAUUCACGGCGGGUAGUUAAUAUUAUAUUUAAUUUAUAAUUAAUAUUAGAAAGUAUAUUUUUAGUUAAAUAACACAAUAUUAAUAAAUUGUCAUUACUUAAAAAUAUUUUUUUUUACUGCUAAAUAAAUUUCAGAAUUAGUAUUCAAACAAAAAUUCAAUAUAGAGAAGCAAAAGAGAAGGAGAAACAAAUAUUUUUUUUGUUCACAGAUAGAAUAAUAUUUGAUGAAAAUUAUAUAAUUGAGAAUAUAUAAUUAUAAAGUGUUCACGGUUCACGUCCGAAAUAAAAUAUUAUCGUUAGUUGAAGCUUAAUUCGGUUUAGAGUUUGGUGCUUAUACAAAUUAAUACAAUCAUUCAAUGUGGAGCCCUCUGUCACGCCCCGGAUUACUCGUUCCCCCAGACACACCGACAAAUCCGCCGUAUACAAAAAAAAAAUUUAUGUAUACGAAGCAAUAGCUGUACCUGUACCUGUGAUCAUAGAAAACUACAACUAGUAGUAUACAGCUGCUACCAGAAUUGAAAACAUGCAUAAAUAAAUAUCGGGUUCACCAUACAUACAAGUCUCCAACAUACAGACAUCACUCGCCCCAACGAGUAUCCAACAUCAGUAUGUACAUGAACCAAAAGUCAAAACUAUCUGUAGCUGGUACUCUUCUAGAACAGCAACAAGACUGUAAGGGAUCUAGCUCGCAACUCCCUUUCCACGAUCAAUAUCAGCGAUAGCAGCAGCCGCAGAAGAAGGCUCUACAGAAAGGGGUCAACAACUGGGUAUGAGAACUACUGCAAAAAGAAGUAGUUCUCAGUAGGUACCGCUACCGACCUCAACGGCUCACCCAUUAAAUCUACAAAAAGUAUGCUCAAGGAUAGUAAAGGAAGCUAGAAGAACUCUACAGCUACAUGCCUCUAUACUAUCGCUAACCACUACUAUGUAGAUAUGAAGAUGCACUGCCUGACCCAAUCUCACUAGGGACUGUGAACACACCCGUCCUGCCUGUCGAAGCUAGACCGACCACCACCACGCUGGAUCGUCAGUGGAGAGCGAGUCCAACCAGGACACAACGACAACAACACAAACGCACUAUGCCCGACUCCGGAAUGGCACUCGUGGGUGCUACCCAACCGAAUAUGCAAGUGUGUCUCUGCCGAGCUCAAUCAGGCUCUCACAGGCUAUAAUCAAAACAAAUGGAUCUAACUCGCCUAACAACCAAAGCUCACGUGCCNUCGUCAGUGGAGAGCGAGUCCAACCAGGACACAACGACAACAACACAAACGCACUAUGCCCGACUCCGGAAUGGCACUCGUGGGUGCUACCCAACCGAAUAUGCAAGUGUGUCUCUGCCGAGCUCAAUCAGGCUCUCACAGGCUAUAAUCAAAACAAAUGGAUCUAACUCGCCUAACAACCAAAGCUCACGUGCCCUUGGCACAAUCUGAUGCAAAUACAGAAAUUUGGGUCCACCGUCAACCGCGACGACUCCCGACAGUCCGAAACAGUCUACACACUACUGUAAAAAUAAACUCGACAUCCUAGUACGAGCGUAAACUCAUCCUACACUAAUCUAGAUAUCCACCACAUACAAACUGCGGCGAUACUAACAAACUACAGCUCUUAAAGCUAAAUCUGGUAGUUUUUAGAAAAUUACAGUGUAGAACUUAUAGUUUUCGAUCUCCUAAGUCAAUUCUAUGUCCAACAUGUAAAAUUAAACUACUAGCUUAAUUCCGAUUUCAGAUUUAAACACUAAUCCAUAAAUUCGAGUACUAGCAAGAAGAUAAACGAAUGAUACAUGUCGACAAUGCUGAAACUUAGAAGAUAUUCCGACGAUUUCGGUAAACUCCAAGCCAUCUAAAAAAACUAGUCCAACUACGGCGAGAAGUCAAGAGAAGGGAAAACACGCGCUCGCCAGACCUUCAACGGCCCAACCACGACAUCCACACACUCGAACGACUCCUCGACGCAAUGUCGACGUCGAUCCGAGCUCAAGCCAUAGCCUCCACCAAGCACACAAUUAAAUUAGAGCGAGAGAGAGAAAGGAUAAUUACCCCUUCUCAGAAGAGUUGAGUGGGCUCCUUAAAUUUUACCUUCAUAAAAUUUUCCAAAUUAGCCUUUCGGCCGGAGCGGCGCAAAAGGAUGUUUAUUUUGCAGAAAAGGACGUCAAUAAUAGUCAAAUUAUUUUUUACCUCUUUUUUUAUUUUUUGUUUUUUCCUAAUUUUGUGGCGUUUAAAUCAAUAAUAUUACGAUCUUAUCUACUACGCGCCGAGUGUAGAUCAAAUAUUUGCAGUGGUGGAGUCUAACGGUUGAAAUUCGCUUCGUGUCCGGAUGAACAGCCUGAUUAACUGCUGUGGAGGAAUUUUCUAUAUGCUGUAUCUAUAAGGAAUUAGAGAGAGUGCAAUACCAAAGAGAGAGAGAGAAGUUGUAGAUUCUCUGUAGACCUGGUGCAUAGAUAAUGGCUUUUGUGGUCGUGUUGGCAGUUGAAAUAUGUUUCUAAACAACCGAAACAAUCGGUGCGUAGAAUUUUUCUGUGCAUACGAAAAAUCUCAACUCGGAGAGCUAUGAUAGCUCCAUUGAUAUAGAUAGCACCAAGAGAAUGUACGUGUGAAUUCUCUGUAGACCUGAUUCUCAUAAACAAGUGAUUCUAUCGAUUAUCUAAUAUAUAUAUAUAGAAUCCCUUGUACUCAUAAAUUUUUAAAAGUUGAUUGAUGGGAUGUGUGGUUAGGAUGAUGGUGGUCCACACUUAGAAUGAUAGUGGUCCCCUAGGGUUGAGUGGGUAGUUGGUUGAAUAGUAUGAUCUAACGGAUGGAAAUGAUCAUGGAAUAAAUCUAGGGGCAAAAAAUUUAUGAGUAUAAGGGAACCAAUACUCAUAAAAGUAUAGUAGCUGGACUCAUAUAUAUAUAUAUAGAGUGAGGCUACUAUGCUUCUGGAAGCAUGGAGCCUUCCGUGCUUCCAGGUCGUUUUUGAUGUUGCGACUUUCGAAUCGUCGAUCGGCUCUGUUAAACUUGAUCUAGAGUAUUUGAAGAACUUAGAAAAUAAAUUUUGCAAUUUUUCGAUAUCAUUUGCCUAGUGAACUAAGGGGCUCAAAAUCAACGGCUGAAAAUAAAAAUCUAACAAAACGUGAUAAUAUGACAUUAAAAUUCUAGAUCAAAGAUAUUGAUCUUGUUUUAUAUAGUAUAAAAAAUUUUCUAUCAAAAUUUCACGUGAUUUGGAUAUUCCUACACCAUUAAACUUGCAAACGGCUCACCGCCGCCAUUAAAAUUAUUGAUUUUGAGUCCCUUCGAUCACUAGGCAAAUGAUAUCGAAAAAUUACAAAAUUUAUUUUCUAGAUACUUCAAAUACUCUAGAUCAAGUUUAAUAGAGCCGAUCGACGAUUCAAAAGUUGCAACAUCGAAAACGACCUGAAAGCACGAAAGGCUCUGUGCUUCCAGAAGCAUAGUAGCCUCACUCUAUAUAUAUAUAUAUUAUAUAUAUAUAUAUAUAUAUAUAUUAAUAUAUAUAUAUUAUAUAUAUAUAUAUAAUAUAUAUAUAUAUGCAUUUCAAAUAUUUAUGGUGGUGGAGUUUGGCGGUUGCGAUUUGUUCCGUCUCUGUAGUAUCCUUGGUUUUUGGGUUGCUUGUGGAUCUCAGCAUCUGAGGCUUGGCGACACAUCGGGAGAGUGUCGGAACAAGUCGGAGUCGUUUUGGCACGAAACGGACGCAAAAUGGACUCGAUGCGAGGCGAGAGUGGAGUUUUGACGCUGAAAUCCGCAAAGUGCAGGAUUUCAGUGUUGAGUACCGGUACGGCAUCGGGCUGGUUACAAGUACCCUGUGUGCGAGCUUGCGAGCUGAGAGGCCGAGUACCGGUAACCAAAUCGGAUACCGGUACUCCAGCUGUAAAUUGAGUUGGUGAGGGGUAUGGAGGUUAUUUGGGUUGGUGGUUAUCCACACCACCAACUCUCCCUCGUAAUUAUCCACCUGAGGGAGAGUCCUUUGUUUAAUUAUGUUCCUCUCUCUCUCAAGUGUUAAUUUUGUCCUUGGUGGAGGCCACGACAGCUUGAGCUCGGAUCGACGUCGACGUUGUGUCGGAGAGCCGUUCGAGCGUGUGGACGUUGCGGUUGCGCCGUUGGAGGCCGGACGAGCGCGUGGUUUGCUCUCAUUUCGACUUCUCGCCGUGGUUGUAUUAGCGUUUCGAGGUGGAUUGUAGUUUACUGAAAUCAUUGGAAUAUCUUCUAAGUUUUAGCAUUUGACGACAUGUAUUAUUCGUUUAUCUUCUUGCUAGUACUCAAAUUCAUGGAUUAGUGUUUAAAUCUGAAUUUGGAGUUAAGCUAAUAGUUUAAUUUUACAUGUUGAACUUGGAAUUGACAUAGGAGAAAAUAUAUAGAUCCUGCACUGUCAUUUCUGAAAAUUACCAUAUUUAACUUUAGGAGCUGUGGUUCUAUUGUAUCGUCGCUGUUAGUAUACUAUGGAUACCCAGAUUAGUGUAGGAUGAGUUUACGCUCGUGCUGGGAUGCCGAGUUUAUUUUACAGUAGUGUGUAGACUGUUCUAGAUUGUCGGGUGCUGUCGCGGUUGACGGUGGACUCAGAUUUCUGUUUCUUGUAUAAGAUUGUGCCAAGAGCACGUUAGCUUUGGUUGUUAGACCAGUUAAACUCUUUUUCUUUAAUUGUAGCCUGCGAGAGCCUAAUUAAGCUCGGCAGAGACACGCUUGCAUACUCGGUUGGGUAACGCCCACGAGUGCCACUCCGGAGUCGGGCUUUGUGCGUUCGCGUUGAUGUCGUAGAGUCCGGAUUUGACUUACUCUCCACCAAAGACCCAGCGUGGUGGUGGUUGGUAUAGCUUCGACAGGCGGGGCGGGUGCGUUCAUAGUCCCUAAUGAGAUUGGGUCAGAGAUUACAUCUUGCUUAUAUCUACUAAUAGCUAGUGUUGGUUAGCGAUAGUAUAAGGGCAUGUAGCUGUAGAGUUUUUUUAGCUUCCUUUACUAUCCUUGAGCAUACUUUCUGUAGACUUAGUGGGUGAGCCGUUGAGGUCGGUAGCGGUACCCACUGAGGACUAGUCAUUCUUGUAGUAGUUCUCACACCCAGUUGUUGACCUCUUUUUGCAGAGCCAUCGUUCGCGACUAGUGCUGUUGCUGUUUUGGAUCGUGAAAAGGGAGUCGUGAGCUAGAUCUCUUCCAAUCUUGCUGCAGUAGUAGAGGAGUGCCUCCCACAUGUAGGUUUGGGGUUUUUUUUGUAUAUAUAGUCUUAUUGUCUAGAUGCUCACUGGAGCGAGUGGUGUAGUAGACAUUUUGUAUAUACUGGAACCUUUGAGGUUAUAUAUUACUUUUCUGUUUAGUAGCUCUUACCUUGUGGUUGUAGCUUGUUUUUGUUUAAAGGUACAGCUAUUGCUUCGUAUAUAGGAAAAAAAAUUUUGUAUACGGCAGGUCUGUUGGCGUGCCCGGGGAAACUCGGUAAUCCGAGGUGUGACAGUCUCCAAAUGGACGGUCUAAUUAAUUGCUGCGCACAAAUUUUGUGUGCAUUAGGUCCGCGAAAUUUUAGCUCAGAAAGCUAUGAUAGCUCCGUUGAUUCAGAUAACACCAAGAGAAGGUACGUGCGAAUUCUCUAUGCACCUGGUGCGUAGAAAAUUCUUGUAAACCAGUGAUUCUACUGUAUAUCUAAUUUAUCUAUAUGCCUUUCAAACAUUUAUGGUGGUGGAGUUUGACUGCUGAGAUUUGUUCCGUCUUCAAAUGGACGGUCUGAUUAACCGACACGCACAAAUUUUCUGUGCAUUGAGUCUCCAGAAAAUGAAAUCUCAUCUUAAAGAGGUUUGACUAUUCCACUAAUACAGGCGCAGAUUCUCUACAGAUAUAAUAGAUAUUUGAUAAAGUUUUUCAGCUACAGGGCGGCGCAUCUCAAUCAUCGAGCGAAAGUUUGGUCAUCAUAAGGACAGUCAGAUCAAUGAGUGGAAAGAGAUUUUUUGUGCAUCGGUUCUACAAAGAAUCUACAUCUACAAAAGAUUAAAGCAGUUAGAAGAAGAUAAUUCCCCCUAUUUAUUUUUCCAUUUUAACUUUUUCCCAAAUAUAUUAUAUAUUAUAUAUAAUAUAAUGUAAUAUUCUCUCUAAGCCUACAAAACAGGGGAAAACAGAGUACAUACACAUCUCUCUACACAAGUUCAAAGUAGAGAGAGAAACAAGAGAGAGAGAGAGAGAGAGAGAGAGAGAGAGAGAGAGAGAGAGAUGAGGAGAUCAUCAACCACACUUCUCUUUGCCUUUUUCCUCUCCCUUCUUCUUCUACAGAGGCCCAUUUUUGCAUCUAAAAAGGUACAAUAACAACACCUCCUCUGUUUCUUCUCCUUUUCUUUUUUUCCUUUUGUUUUUCGUUUGGUGCUGCAUCUUCAAUAUAAAUUUUUUUUUCUUUUAAUCUCUCUUUUUUCAUUAAGGAAAAAAUAAAGUUUCUAAUUGUUAUGUUGUAGUCUUAUGUGGUGUACCUUGGAGACCACAUCCAUAGUGCAAAGGAGUCUCCUUUAGAAGAAGAAGAAGCAUACAAAAGAGCAACAGAGUCUCACUAUGAUCUCCUCUCCUCUGUUUUAGGAGAGUAAGUAGUAGCAACACAAAUUUCAUUAUCAUCUCUUUUAAAUACAAAUAAAAUAUCAUGUAUUUAUUUAUAUCUAACCACAAUGCAGCAAGGAGGAGGCCCAAGAUGCCAUAUUUUACUCCUACACAAAACACAUCAAUGGAUUCGCGGCGAUGCUCGAAGAGGAGACGGCGAACGCGAUCGCAAGUACGCAAAAAUAUAUGUAUAUAUAUAUAUAUACAUCAACAUAUCUAUCUAUCUAUCACUUUUAUGAUCAAUGCCUCAAUCUUAUGAUGAUCAUAAUAAUAAUAUUUAAUUUAUAUAUAUAUAUAUAUAUCUAUAUAUAGAGUACCCUGGGGUGGUAUCAGUGUUUCCAAAUAGAGGGCACAAGCUACACACAACAAGAUCAUGGAAAUUCAUGGGGUUGGAGAGAGAUGGUGCAGGAGCAGUUGCAGGGGACUCAUUGUGGACUAGGGCAAGGUUUGGAGAGGACACCAUUAUUGCAAACCUUGAUACUGGUAUUUUUUUUUUUUAAAUUAAUUUAUUUUAUUAUUAUAUUAUUAUUCUAACUUUUUUUUUCUCCAUUUUUUUUAUUGCUUUUUAGAGAUCAUUAUGCAUAAAAAUGCACUAGUUUUAAUUGGUUUGCAAAUUAGCUAGUUAUGUGCAUUUCAUGAUUAUUUUCUUCUUCUUCUUUUUUGGAGGUUACUGUAGAAUUGCACUAAUUUUAAUAGGUUUACAAAUUAUUUUUGUGCAUUCCAUGGUUUUUUUUUCUUUUUUUCUUUUUUUUUGAGGUCAUUAUAGAGUUGCACUAAUUUUAAUAGGUUUACAAAUUAUUCAUGUGUAUUUCAUGAUGUUUUUUUUCUUUUUUUUUUUAGGUCAUUAUAGAGUUGCACUAAUUUUAAUAGGUUUGCAAAUUAUUAUUUAUGUGUAUUUCAUAAUGUUUAUUUUUCUUUUUUUUUUUAGGUCAUUAUAGAGUUGCACUAAUUUUAAUAGAUUUACAAAUUAUUCAUGUGUAUUUCAUGAUGUUUUUUUUUUCUUAUUUUUUGUGGUCACUAUAGAGUUGCACUAAUUUUAAUAGGUUUACAAAUUAUUCAUGUGUAUUUCAUGACUUUUUUUUCUUAUUUUUUGAGGUCAUUAUAGAGUUGUACUAAUUUUAAUAAGUUUACAAAUUAUUCAUGUGUAUUUCAUGAUGUUUUUUUUUCUUAUUUUUUGAGGUCAUUAUAGAGUUGCACUAAGGGGCCGUUUGGUUAGAUGUAAUUAUAAAUGCAGUGUAGUUAGAGAUACAUGUACUUGAAAAUACAGCAGUUAAAACUACAUGAUCUUGUUUGGUUGGAUGUAGUAGAAAGCGCUGUAAGUAUAAAUAAUUUAUUUGGUUGCAUGCAGUUGAGAAAUAAUUUUUAAAAUUUUAUUAUUUUAUAUAUAUGAUGGUGAGAUUACCUCUAAUGUAAAAAAGAAAAAUAAUUUUUGUUUAAAAAUAUUGAGGAGGUAAGCAUACUUUUUAUUUAAAAUUACUCUCUCCAACCGCUGUAGUCGGAACUGCGAUCAAUUUGGGUGUAGUUUGAACUGCUGCAGUUAGACCUCCUCCUACAGUUCCUACUGCUGCAGUUGGAGUUAAAUAUAUCAAACCAAAUACGAAAUUUGCAUUUACAUGUAGUUACAAUUGCAGUGCAGUUGUUGUCACGCCCCGGAUGUCUAGUUCCCCGGGCACGCCGACAAAUCCGCCGUAUACAAAGAAAUUUUCUCUGAAUACGAAGCGACAGCUGUACCUGUAAAUCAAACGCUACUACGAACAGUAGUAGAGAGCUGCUAAAAAAAACAGAAGAUAAACAAACUGAGUUUCAUAUACAUAGUCCAAAUCCAAAAUACAGAGCUACUCGCACUGGCGAGUUAAGUCUACUAUGUACAGAAACUCGAAACAACAUCUACCUGCAGUAGGGGCACCUCUAGCUCAGCACGACGGGUAGGGCUCUAACUCGUGACGCCCUUGCCUCGAUCCUGAUCCGCGGAAGGCGCAGCAGCCGGAACCUGUGGCUCUGCAAAAUAGAGGUAACAACUGGGCGUGAGAACUACUGUAAAAACAAGUAGUCCUCAGUGGGUACCGCCCAAAACCACAUCGGUCCACCCACUAAGUCUACUGAAUGCGGAGCAAGUAGUUUCAGAGAAAGUAGAAAGUAAACUCUACCUGCGUAAUCGACUCACUACACUAUCAUGCUCUAUCACUAACCAACUGUAGUAAAAUGCUCAAACUCUGACUCGAUCAGAUCGCGGACUGUAAAGCAUACGCCGUCCCCGGGAUGUGGAUAAUUACACCCGGUCCUCGCCCACGUUGCGACUAUCAGGCUCUAUUCAGCACUAACUGGUGUCCGGGAGUAGCGAAGUCGCAAACUGGCCAUGAGCGACACCAACGCGAAAAGGCACAAGCGCUGACUCCGCGGAGUGGCACUCGUGGCGCUACCAACCGAGUAUGCAGGUAUCUCUGUUCGAGCUCGUAACAGGCUCUGAAAAGUCCCCAAAGUCAAGUAACCGACUCAAACUGGUCUAACAACCAACACGGUAUAUGUGCCGCUCCGGCACAAAUCUUGCGCCAAAAAGCGAUAGCGGUCCACGCUGCAACUCUGACGCAGCCACUAGUCGGGAACAACCGUGAAUCGAAGUCUGUAAAAAUCCACUCGGCGCGAAUCAGCCACGAGUGUAAAUGUAAUCCUAAACUACCUGGAAGGUACUCGUUCUCGAAUAAUACUGGCAGAGCAGUACAAUUUAAUAACGGCUCUAGGGCUAAAUGCAGGCAGUUUAAAACAGGAGUACAGGUCCAAAUCGACGCAGGUUUUCUACCUUAAUUCAAUUUCAACAGUCGCAACAUGUAUCAACCUACUAUAAUCUUAAUUACCACAAUUUCAUCCAAAUUCAGAUUUGCAAUCUAACAAUAUAAUCCAUGAAUCGAGCUAAAUAGAGUAUCCAAAGGUCUGAAUUUAUACAUUGCCGACGAAUAUGAACUUGGUAGUAAAAAACCGAUGUAACCCACCCUCGACAGCGCACGAAGCACGGCGGCGCGCGUCGAAACGACGAAAAUGCACGUCCUCGCCCGGCCUCCAACAGGCACAACGACGCACGCCACGCUCCAACGAGACGCUCGCAGGCGCGGAGUUACGUCGCCUUCCAAUCUCCAACUAUAGCCUCCACGAGCCUCAACUUCCAACUAGAGAGAGCAGGGGAACAUUACAAAUCACCACGUAUCCCGUCUGUAGCACAACGAUAAGCGAUGUGCAUGGGGGGUGCACCGUCGCAUCCAAGCCACCCCUCGCAUCAUCCACACGACUAAAAAAAUUUUUAAAAAAAAAAAAUAAUAAAUAAACAAGGGUACUACAUCCUCCCUCACUACAAAAGUUUUCUGUCUCGAAACUUUAAAAACAUUACUCAAGACGCAGAAAGGAACGAAGUCGGGGUAGCAACUCUCUCAAUCACCAUGCUCGGGAUCCCAGGUCAGCCUCCCGCCCUCCUCGCUGAUGACUCCACUGACACUUUCACGCUCGCGAAUCGACCUGGGCUGCGCAAUUCUUUCGUCUCACGUGCGCAAGAAGUCGUGCAGACCGGAUCGCUCCUCGUACCUCAGGUCCUCACCAAUAUCGAGUGAGUGAAGUCAAUCACGUGAGAAUAAUCAGAAAAAUAUCUCCAGCGCGAGACAUGGACACCAUCGUAGGGAUGCCAGCAAGUCGCGGGGGCUAGAGCUAUCCGGUACACGGUCCGAAUACGCUUAUACCUCGAAAGGGCAUACAAACCGUGGACUAACCUUUCACGUACUCAAGAACGGCGUAUCCUCUGUUACGGCUGAGACUAUUGAGAAAAACAUAGAUCUCAACUGAAACUUCUAACGUCUGUCUGCCUGUAUCCGGCGUAGCUUCUUUGUCGGCUCUGUGCUUCAGAAAUGGUGUCGUCGGACGACUCUCACCUUUCCUCAGCUUCAAGUAAAAUCUACCGGUCCACAUGUCACUUCCGCUCACCCAAUAUCCAAAACAGAGGGAUCGACAUCUCGCGUCCAUACAACGCCUAAACGGAGCAUCGAAUCAUUGUUGGAUAAGCUGUGUUGAUUACGCAAAACUCAACCAGUCUCACAUGUCGUACCACCAUCUCCAAAAUUCAGGGCACGCAUGGCCCUCAGAUGUCCUCUAGACUGUCUGUACUGGUCCGCUUGACGACCAUCUGCUUGUGGGUGGAACGCGUGCUAAAAAUGCAUUGACUGCCCAAAGCUGUCUGAAGACUCCUCCAAAACUGACGAUACAACCCUGUCGGGUCUCUGUCUGACCCAAUCGAACACUGGACGCCGUGCGCCUGACAUCUCAUCCAAGUAUAGCUGCCGCAAGUCUCUCAUUGGACCAGGUAGUCUGAACGGUAGGAGUGAGCAGAUUGGUCGACGUUUCCACUAUCACCGCAAAUAGCAUUCGUAACUAGCCUGCCGCUCUAGGCCAAUCAACAACGAAAAUCAUAGUGACUGUGUACUUCCCACUUGCCCACUCUGGCACAUGGCAGACUCUGAAGCUAUGCAGCAGUAUCUGUUGCUCGGCUUUCACUUGGCAAGUCAAACACUGAGCCACAUAUCUGCAACUGUCCCUCUUCAUUCCAUUCACCAAAAAACCGUGCCUUAAAGAUCCUUAUACAUUUGGUUCCUACCUGGUCGACGGGUAAUAGAGGAGAACAAUGAGCCUCUCUCAGAAUGUCCUUCUCGGAUCUCAGAAUUCACAGGCACACACGUCGGUCCCAUGACCGUCAAUACUCCGAACUUGGUCAAAGAAAAACCCUCUGCCUUGCCCGCUGUCUAGCUGCCUCUCUAAUCAUCAACAAUAGGUAGUCUCGCACUUGUUUUUCUCGGAUCUAAUCCAACAGAGUGUGGCCCUGCAACUAUAGAUGUAGCCCGCCGGUAGACCCAGGGCGUACUAUCUCGAGGGUCAGCCGCUUGUAGCUCCGAAUAGGGGUUCGUCUGUCUCAGUAAUCCGUCCAAAGCUCAGGCUCCUGCACUGGACUUCACUGCCAAUGCAUCUGCCACCACAUUCGCUCCUGCCGGAUAAUCACUGAAUACUAAUGUCAUAGCUUCAGUAACUCACACGGCGCAUUUCAGUUUCAGCUCCCUCUGUGUGAAAGAUACUGAGACUCUGUUAUGAUCGGUGAAGACCCUCGCAGUGUGCACAAUAAAAUAGAUGCCGCCGAGAGCUUCAAAGCAAAACCACACGGCGCGGCAAGCUCAAGUCAUGCUACGAUAGGUAAUUCUUCUCAAUAAUCUUUACAUGCGGUGAGCAAUAAGCAAUCACCCUACCUGCCUGCAUCAGCGCAACCAAGUCCACUGUGCGAGUUGCCAUCAUUGUAGACACAAAAUCCUUCGCCGCAUAACAAGGCAGGGUAAGGAAGAGAUCUCUCUCUAUUUGNNNNNNNNNNNNNNNNNNNNNNNNNNNNNNNNNNNNNNNNNNNNNNNNNNNNNNNNNNNNNNNNNNNNNNNNNNNNNNNNNNNNNNNNNNNNNNNNNNNNAGUGUCCCAAAUACAGUUAUAGUCUCACACUAUCUACCACUGUCUAUUGGCCUCCAAGGCAACAUCACAUAUUACUAAUAGUGAAAAAUAUGUAUGUCUUAAUAUAUUCUAUAGCUAGGUGUCAAAAUAUCACUAUUAUAUUAACUAUGUCAACAGUUCAUCUCAUAGACUAAAUAACAUAAUAUGAAUAUUGGAGUUAGUCCACCAAUUUUGAUAACACGGUAUCCACCUAUAUCCCAAAUCCAAGGAGUAGAAUGAUCGUCGGAGUAGCGAGGUGAUUUGUUGCUGCUCUCUUAGUCCGUAUGGUAGCCACAACACCCUCGAGCAGCUCGAAAAAUCUCUUAUUGAAAAUCACACAAAAUCGGCUCCUAAAACGCAUAACAAUCGGUUUAUAACUCUCAAUAUCUACAAAAAUUUAUCAAAAGAGUCCAAACGAGAAAAUAAUAAUAUUAUAAUACUAACUCCGAUAUCGAAAUGUCAAGGAAAAAAAAUCACACGUGCGCAUGCUAGGUUGGCUCGUUGCGAAAACCCUAUCUUGCUUCUUCUCCUUUCAUAACCGUACUCCCUCUUUCUCUUGAAUGCUUGCAAGUGAACGAGUGACAUGCAUAAGUUGCCAGAUGCCUAGUUGGAACACAUUACCUAUUGUACAAAAUGCUAACAUAUCCCUCACAAUUUAAGUAUUCUAACUUUAGUCCACCAUAGGCUAAAUCUUGAGUUCCUAAGUCCAUUUUCGCGUUCAUUUCAUGCCAAAAUUUCUCCAACUCAGUUAAACACUAUAAAGAAAAAAAAUACUGACUAACAAUCCAUAGUGCAACUUUUCUUAUUUGCUAAGGUUCAGUAUAUCACAUCCUCCCCCUUUUAAAAAGUUUCAUCCUCAAAGCUUAAAAUAUUCCUCAAGUUGGUUCCUCAAAUGGACAGAGAUAAGAUUCUUGUAUCGCAUUCUCAGGCGACAAAGCUAACCAAUGUGCAAUAGGUCUAGUCACUCUAAUAUCUCAAAAGGCCUAAUCAUAGACUAAGCUUUUCGGGCAUUUCAAACCUCUUCAUCCCCUUGGAUGGCGAGACCUUGAGAAAUAUAUGAUCUCCAAUCUGAAACUCUAAGUCUCGACGUCUUGUGUUAACAUAGCUCUUCUGUCGACUCUGGGUGGUCUGCAAUGGACAAUUCUGACUUUUUCUUAUGCUUUCACUAAAAUAUCUGGUCCUAGGAUUUUUCUCUCACCUACUUCACUCUAAUAUAGUGGUGACCGAUAUUUUCUUCUAAAUAAUGCUUCAAACGGAGCCAUUCUGAUACUUGUUUGAUAACUAUUAUUUUAUGAAAACUCCACCAUUAUCAAAUGUCGAUACCAUCCAACACCUACUGGAGGACACAAUCGUCCUCUUUGACUAUCCAUCAGUCUGUGGGUGAAAAGCUAUAUUAAACUAUAAUUGAGUCCCCAAAGCUGUCUGUAAAACUCUCCAGAAAUGUAUUACAAACAUCAAGUCUCGAUCUAACAUAUAGAAGUAGAAACUCCAUGCAGUCUGACAAUCUCAUCCAAACAUAUCUGAGCAAGUUUCUCUCUAGACCAUGUCACUUGAACUAGUAUGAAGUGAGCAGAUUUAGUCAAUUUGUCUAUUAUCAUCCAGAUCGCAUCAUGUCCGCCCUGAGAUCAUAGUAGUCCAACAACGAAGUCCAAAGUGAUCAUAUCCCAUUUCCAGACAAGGAUUGAAAGAUUUUGAAGCUUGCCAGAAGAAAGUCGAUGCUUUACUUUUACUUGCUGACAAGUUAAAAACUAAGCCACGAAUCUUCCAAUAUCCUCUUCAUUCCUGUCUACCAGUAGUAUGCCUUUAAAUCUUUCUACAUCUUAAUUCCUCCAAGAUGAACGGUACAAGGAGAACUGUGAGCCUCUCUCAAAAUCUCCUCACAGAGUGCUGAAUCUACUGGUACACAUAACCGAUCCUAAAACCAAAGAACUCCCAAAGCAUCAACACUAAACUCCCAUGCUUGACCACUCUCAAUAGCAGUUCAAAUCCUCGUCAGGUGUUGGUCCUCAUUAUGUCUCUCCCUGAUUCUAUCUAUCAGAGUGGGUUGUAAGGCCAAAGAUACAAGUCUCGCAGAGACCCCAAGGGAUACAACCUCAAGCUCAAGUCGCCUUAUCUCCUCUAACAAUGGCGCCUGUCUCGUGAUGCACUGAUUUACAGCUUAAUGCAUCUGCCACUAGUUAGCUUUAUCGGGGUGAUAAAGUAUUGUUAUAUUAUAACCCUUCAGUAAUUCUAAACAUUGGCGUUGUCUCAAAUUCAACUUUUUUUGAGAGAACAAAUACUUGAGUCUUUUGUAAUCGAGGAAGAUUUCACAGUAUUGUUUAUAAAGUUAAUGGUGCUAAAGUUUUAAUGCAAAAAUCACGACAGCUAACUCCAAAUGAUGAGUAGGAUAAUUUUUUUCAUAUUCUUUCAACUGUCUAGAAGCAUAGUGAUGCAGGCCGUGAUGCAGACCGAACCAGACCUGUAUCAUCGUCCGAGUUCCAGGUCUAUCAACGAAGGCGGCGCAAGUUGACACUCGAACCCGCUAUAUGGAUUUGAAGAUUAUUCUUGAUUUACUCUGUUAUUUUAAGAUUUUCUUAUUAGGAAUAUUUGUUAUAUUUUUCUUUUAGAUAAAUCUCUAGUUAAGAUUUUUUUUGGUUAUUUUCCUUUUAGAUAAAUCUCUAGUUGAGAUUUUUUCGGUUAUUCUCGGAUGUAAUUAGGAUAUAAAUAACCUACAAGGUUUUACGAAAAGGGACGAUGAGUAUUGAAUAAAAAUUUUGAACCUUUCUUGCAAAGAUUUUUUGGUGAAAGUUUUUUUCCGGAGGGUUUUCCGGUUCUGGCGAGGUCCAGAGUUUUAAUAUUUUGUUGGAUCUGAGUUCCUCUUAUAGGUUUGACCCGUCCUGCAUCACAUAGGCAAUUAUCUUAUCAUUCUACUCAAUACACAACCCAAUCCACUCCGUGAUGCCUCACUAUAAAUCACAAAUCCCUCAUCGAUAAUGAAAAGGGCAAGGAUAGAAGCUGGCAUGAAUCUACUUUUCAAUUUUUCAAAGCUCCUUUGGCAAUCCUAACUCUAAAUAUAAUUAAUUUCUUUUUGAAUAAGUUGAAUGAGGGGUGUGAAAAGUUUUGCAAAAUCUUUCACAAAUUGAUGAUAAUAACCAGGCAAUCCCAAAUAAUUCUGCACCUCAGAAACACUCAUCGGUAGGCCAAUCUCAAAUUGCUUAAAUUUACUUUGGGUCAACAACAAUCCCAGUAGCUGAAAUCACAUACCCACGAAAAGCAAUUUUUCGUAGCCAGAAGUCACACUUCUUUAGUUUGACAUAAAGUUUCUUCUCUCCCAAAAUCUGUAAUAUAAUUUCAAAUGCUUCUAAUGUUUACCUAUAUUUCGAGAGUAUAUCAAGAUAUCAUCAAUAAACAUUAUCACAAACCUAUCCAAGGGUGGCUGAAAUACCCGAUUCAUCAUAUCCAUAAACGUGGCUGGAGUAUUUGUUAAUCCAAAUAACAUUACUGUAAAUUCAUAAUAGACCCAUAUUGUGUUCUAAAUGCCGUCUUGAAAAUAUUCUCAAAUUAAUUUCAAUUGAUGAUACUCUAACUAUAAAUUUAUCUUGGAGUGCACACAAGGCCCCUGUAGUUGAUUAAAUAUAUCAUCAAUGCGCGAUAAUGGAUACUUGUUCUUAAUAGUCAUCUUGUUUAAUUCUUGAUAAUCUAUAAAUAAUCUCAGUGACCCAUCUUUCUUCUUCACAAAUAAUAUUGACGCUCCCCAAUGUGACACACUGGGUUGAAUAAAUUCUUUUUCCAACAAAUCAUGUAGUUGUGCUUUCAAUUCUAGCAAUUUUGUCAGUCAUCCUUUAAGGUGUCUUUGAGAUUGGCGCAGUUCUUAGGAUUAUGUCAAUAACAAACUCAAUUUUCCUAUAUAGCGGCAUGCUAGACAAUGCAGAGGGGAACACAUCUGGAAACUCUUGGACUAUAGGAAUGUCCUUGAGUACUGGUGGCGCCGUAGGGACUUCCAUACUGCUGCCAAAAGGGUUGCACAUCCACGGUUCAUUAACUAUUUUGCCUUUGAUGUAGAAAUCAUCGUAACAAAUAAAGUACUCUAACAACCCUAUACACAUACUCCUCCUGACCCAGCUUGUGAAAUAUCACUGUCCUAUCCCUACAAUCAAUCAUCGCAUAAUAGUGAGUAAACCAAUCCAUCCCUAAUGCAACGUCAAAGUCCUGCAACUAUCUCACGGUCAAUAUUUCUACCGGCAUAAUUCACAGCCCUAACUACACUGUACACCAUAUGCAACACUCUCCCACAUGCAAAAUAUGAUCAGAAAUAAGAACCUCAUGUACAUAUUGUAAUGUCUCUAUCUUUGAACUAUGAAAUAAUGUGAAUACUUGACUAAUAAAAGAAUGAGAUAUAGCAGUAUCAAAUAAUACUCGAGUUUUAAUGCUUUAAUCAAAAUAAUACAUGCAACCAGUUUGUCGGUUGCUGAUGCAACCUCCACCCGUGCAACGUAGACACGCCUACUCGGCACUUGGGACAGCCUUAUAGUUGAGUUUCGGGUUAAAGCUCGAUCAACAGGAAUAUAUGCUACUGGGGCUUCUGAUGUCUGUCUUGAGGUAGAAGGGGAAGAAGCUAACAAUGGGGCCGAAGUGGUACCACGGGGACACGCUGCCCAAACAUGUCCACCUGCCGACAACGAAGACAUUUGCAAGCUCGUUAAGCAUACAUAUGAGGUAAGUAUGGCCUACCACAAAUCACACAUAUCUCUCAUUAUCAUUGCUGCUGCUGUUGCUGUCCCCUAAACCUCCAUCCCACAAAGGACCCACGACCCUAGACCGAAAUCGUGAAUACUUUGUCGGUCUCCUCGAAUUAGGUUGCUCCCCACUAUUCUCUAUUGGUUUCUUCUCCUCUUUCUCCUUUUCCCAUAUCUCUGUUUACUCCUUCAUCACUGUCGCUUCCCUCUCAACCUAUAAAGCCAUAUCAAUCACCAAAUCUAAAAUCCGGAGAUGCUGUGGCUGUACUGACUGAUAAGGUUUUGGUCGCAACCUCCUCUCAAAUAAAUGUCUUAUGUCGCUCGUCCCAUGCUGCAAAGGGUACACAGUUUAGGAUCCGAACAAACUUCCUUGUAUACUCCUGUACAGACUGAUCUCCCUGUCUUAUCUUAUUUAGAUUAUCUUCAAGUUUUUCCUUUACACUGUCAGGAAAGUAGGUCCCAUAAAACAUCCCUUGAAACUCUUCCUAAGUCAGACUCUCAGAGCUAUAUUCACAGGCCCUCAACCGCCAGACAUGAGCAUUUUUCGCAAGACAAUGUAUUUUCAAGUGUACUAUAUCCCUCUUUGGAAUGUACAGAUCUCAAAAAGCUUUUUUAAAUCUCUUACCCAAGCCUCUGCCACCCACAGCUCUAUACUUUCACUAUUGAACCUGUGUGGAUCAAAUCUCAUAAACUUAGCCAAUCUCGCACGUGCCCUCUCCUACUCUGCUCUGAUACUUCUUGACUACACUCUGUCAUCACCCUAAUCAAUCUCAGUAUCUCUGUAAUAGUCCCUGUUGAAGAUACCAUUGCUCUAGGAACAUCUACUAGAACACCUAAUGGUGGAGCAUCCUAUACUAGCCUCUACUGUGAAGCACUGACUUGUUAUGCCAAUAACUCACAUAAUCUCUCCAUCAUCCCUAUCAUUCCAACCUCUCUCGAAGCUCCUGUAUCACACUAGAACCACCUUGACCCUGCUUCUCUUGUUGUACUGGGGUAGAUCUUGUAGGUGACUGUGAUCGCUACUCCAUCAUGAUCACCUGAAAUCAAAAUAUAGGUCAGUCAUACUAGAUCUCGCAACUCGACAUAAUCAAGCGAAAGUCUAGAAAGACAUCCUUUUUCCUCUGUGUUAUUAAACUGUCUGCAGCCAACAUAAUCAUCCAAAAGGAAAAGACAUAUCUCAUUCGAUCACUCUUCAACCCUCUAAGAAGAGUUUGCAUAAUUCAAUCUAAUGACUUUCGUCACAAAUCACGUCUCUCUUGUCCUAUAUCUUCGAGGUCUGUCCAGCCUAAAGUUUUCUAUGCCACAAAUUCUAGGCUCUAAUACCAACUUAAUAUGUCACGUCCUGGAUUACAGUGGAAGCCCGAGUUACAUCAACAGACAAACCGUAUGCAUAAGGAUACACCCUAUACACACAAAGCAUCAACAACCAAAAAAGUUUAGUAAAAUUUAACAUCAACAGAUAUCAGAGUAGAAUAAAAACUAUAUAGUAUAGCAACACUGUAAAUAUACAACUAUCACUGCACCAAUCCUCAAAAUGGUACAACAUCUUUGGCCACUCCAAGUCUCAAAACAUCGUACAGACUACUAUAUACACUGAUAGGUGAUCCAACUACAUAACAAGAAAGAGUAUGAGAUGCUAGCUAUCCGCUAUCUCCUUAUUUCGAUCAGUCGCUGGUGCUGAAGGCUCUGAUAUAAAACAAUAAUAAUAAGAGCGUGAGAAUUAAAAUCAAUAGUGCCCGGUGGGUAUGGUUGACAAUGUUGAUGGUUUACACCACAAGGUCUAUAAGAGGCAGAAAUAAUAAAUAACUAAGCAGCAUUAAUAAAUAGGUAAGAUAUAAAUAACUGCUGAAAAUAAUUACUCCUAUCAUGCCUCUACAAUAUAACUAAAAUUAUAUCCCCCGCAUCAAUUAGAUACUGAAUAAAGUAAUACAAUAAUACCCAAUUAUGGUGACCGCCUCAACAAUCAGGUCUAACCUGUGCCGCCUCAUGUCCAACACCCACCUAUAGUGGUCCACUAUGAUGCAGGCUACUGUCUGGUCCAUGCCAUAACAAUACCUCAUAAUCUAACCUUCAGAGUGGAAUUCGUGGGUGAUACCCCAACUGAAUAUAGUAUCACUGUCGAGCUCAAAAUAGCAUACAGACUGUAGUCAAAUACGAUAAUCGAACAAAUUAUAAUAAUAAUGCCAUAGUGUCUCAAAUACAAUUAUACUCUUACACUAUCUACCACUGUCUAUUGGCCUCCAGGACAAUAUCACAUAAUACUAACACUGAAAAAUAUACAUGUCUCAUUAUAUUCUAUAGGUAAGUGUCAAAAUACCACUAUUAUUUUAAUUAUGUCAGUAGUUUAUCUUAUAGGUUAGAUAAUAUAAUAUGGACAUAGGGAUUAGUUUGCCAAUUUUGGCGACACAUGACCCACAUAUAUCACAAAUGUAAGAAAUAGAAUGAUCGUCGGAGUCGCAAGGUGAUUCGUUGCUGCUUUCCUAGUCUGUACGGCAGCUGCAACACCCUCGAGCGACUCAAAAAAUCUCUUAUCGAAAAUCAUGUGAAAUCAACUCCUAAAAUGAAUAGAAAUCAAUUUCUAACUCUUAAUUUCUACAAAAAUUCAUCAAAAGGGUCCAAAAAUUCAUCACAAGGAUCCAAAUGAGAAAUUAAUAGUAUUUUGAUACUAACUCCAAUGUCUUUUUUUUUUAGAGAGAUAGGUAGCAUGCUACCCGCUUCGUUUAUUUCAUUUAGAAAUAAACUUAGUUAGAAAUGUGAAUCAACUAGGAUUCGAACUUGGGUCUCGGGUACCAACCACCAAGUCCUUUGCCACUUGCUCUAGGGACGGUCGGUUUACUAACUACAAUGUCGAAACGGUAAAAAAACAUCACAUGUGCGCGCGCUUGGUAGUUGGCUUGUUGCGAAAACCCAAGCUCGCUGCUUCUCCUUUCUUAACUGUACUCUCUAUGUCAAAUGCUUGCAAGUAAAGGAGGUGAUCAUGUAUAAGAAUCCAGAUGCCUAGUUGGAAUCCACUACCUAUUGUACAAAAUGCCAAUAGGUCCCUCACAAUUCAAGUAUUUUAAUUUUAGUCCACCACGAGUUAAAUUUUGAACUUCCGAGUCUAUUUUCGCGUCCAUUUCGCGCCAAAGUGUCUCCAACGUAGUCAAGCACUGUACAAAAAAUAUGCUAACUAACUGCAGUCUUUGUUUAUUUGUUAAGAUCCAGUAAAUCACAUUAUAUUUGUCUUACAUUAUUUUGGGAGGAUAUUAAAAUCUUUUAUUUUUGUUUAUUAUUUUAAAUUUUUAUUUUUUGAGUGAGAUUUCUCAUUUUUCGAGAAAGAGAUGUAUGCAAAUAUUAUAUGUAGUUUCAUUUUUUAAGACAUUUAAUAUAUAUACUUCAUAUUAUUUUGAAUGAGGGGCAAUUUGGCCACAUUUCUAAAACAAUGUCCCAAAUCUAUAAGUUCCAAAAACAUGGCCCAACUUUGCGGAAUUGCAAAACUAGUUGAUUUUUUAUUACAAAAGGCUAAUAUAUUUCUCUAUAUAUUACCUAGUGCGCAACCUUCAUUAGUUUAUUAGAUAAAACUAUAUUUUUUCUUCUAUAAAACAACCAUUGUAUUCUUCAAUGUAAAUUUUUUUAAGUAUAUUAACACCAUUUUUAUUUCUAAUAUUUUUAGACUAAGCUUUUAAUUUGUUAUUCUACACUAACACUAAAUCUUAAAUUGUAAAUUUAUUUAGAAAUUUAUUAUUUUCAAGGGGAUAAUAGUGCUAAUGGUCAAAAUUUAUGAUCAACAACUAACGAUGGUCGACCUGCAUGAAUAAAUCUUUAUAUUUUUUAGCAUUAGAGGAAUAUAUUAAUAAUAAACAAUAUCGAUUUACAAGAAUAAAUUUGCAUUUUUAGAAUUUUGUAGAAAGUUAUAUAAAAUUUUUCUCGAUUAAAUAAUACUACUACACUCUGCAGAGAGAGAGGUGGUCUUCUGUGUAGCAACUAUAUCUCAUCAUCUUUUCACAAGCUAAUCAAACCUCUCCUUUUGAGAGAUUAGUCAACAAAAAUAUUUCUUUAGAAAAUCAUGAUAGAUUGAGAACCACAGGGCUUCGUUUGGUUCGGAUAUAAAUAAGAACUAGCUUAUACCAGUGAUGGGUACAAGUUCUCUCUUUCUGUCAUGACCCCCUUCUAAAUUCUCUCUCUUUCUCUUUCUCUCUCUCUUGACAAGAUUUACAGGAUUUAUAACUCUGCAUAUAUACUUGUGAAAAAUGCCCUAAAAUAUAGCUAGGUAAAAUAAACAAAGGGUGCGUUUGGUUCGAGUUAUCCUGACAGGAUUACAGGCAAUCCUGCCAGGAUAACUGUGUUUGGUUAAUCCGCUAUGUAAUCUGGUCGUUAAUGUAGCAUUACAAAUCGAGCAGGAUUACAUCAAAAAUAUUAACGGGAGGGGGGUCGUGUAUCUUGCAUUACUGAAACCCGUUAAUACUACAUAUUAUGUAAAAUGACAAUUAUACCCUCCAACAACCCCAAAUCUAAUUAACAGUAUUAUUUUCAUCUCUCUCUCGCCUUCGUCCCGGCCCUCUCUCUCGCACGCCGCUUUCUCUCGCUCUCUCUCGACGUCUCUCUCUCUUUCUCUCUCUCGCGCACGAACACCUAUCAUCUUCUAUUGCGUCAUCCUCCCAAAUAAUUAUCACGAUCUCCUUCUCUCCAUUCGUCAUUUCCUCAAAAAACAAUAUUCAAAUGACUACAACAUAGGCAAUUUUGGAAAAAACUAUACUUUUAUGUCAGGAUUACUAAAUUUUAUAAACUGAACCAAACAUAUUAAUGCUAUAAACACUGUAAUCUAGUAUUACAUUACUGUAUUAAACCAAACGCUCUAAUGCAGCAUUAGUAGUAAUCUCACGCCGAAAUCCAACAUAUCUGGAUAUGUCGAGAUACUUUGUAAUAUUACAUAACUCGAACCAAACGAGCCCAAAGAGAGUCCUUACAAAGAUCAUUAAUUAGUCUCAUAUCCUGAUUUUAUUUCCCCUAGCGUUUACAAUAAUAGAGUCAAGGAAAGGGACAGGUGCAUGUCAGAUUAUGAAGCUAUCAUCCUUGGUUGUAACGUAAAGCUAUGAAGCUACCAUCCUUGGUUGUAUUCAAAACAAGUGCAAAGUGGGAAAGACAAGAACCACACUAGACCACAAGUUGUCCACCAAUUUCCUACCCUUAAUUAGAGUCCAAAUGGGAGAAAUUAUUCAAUGCUCCUGGUGCAUCAUGCACCGCACCUUUAAAGUCUGAUCGCAGAGACCUCAAAAUUAAAAUCUAAUUCAUUUGAUGUGUUCCACGGCACUUAAAAGGAUUAUAUACUAAAAAUGGUUGACUAUAUAUUUCUAUUAUUUGAAGUUUUGGGUCAGAAAUUAAUUAAUUAAUUAGUCGAUCACUACUAAGCAAGUUAUGAUUUAUAAUUUUAUAAAUGUAACAAUACAGUGAUCCGUUUGUGGAGGAAGCAAUGUCGCAGCGCCUCCCCGAUGGAUAUCUGAAACCCGAUUAAAGAGGAAAAAAAGAAAAGAACACAAUAUUUGUAUGUGGAAUAGUCUGUAUAUUAAUUCUCUCUAAAACUGGAAUGGUUUACAGGAGCUAGUAGGGCCCCCUAGCUAUUUAUAGCCUUCCGGCUUACAAGAAGAUAAGAACAAAAUAUUUUAAAAAUAACAACUUUAUUCUUAUUCUAACCGAAGUAGUUGAAACCACCUCGAUCUUAUCCUAAUCGAAUUAGUUGGAACCGUUUCGAUUCAUAUCUUAACCGAAUUAGUUGGAACCUCCUUGACCCAUAUCCUAACCGAAGUAGUUGGAACGGCCUCCGCCUUAUCUACAACGAUUGAGAAUUAUCCGGAUGGUUUGAUCGUCCCGGAUCAUGGCUCCCUAAUUUUGAGAGGAACCAUCACCUGCUGGAUCUAGAACUGCAAGUGAGGAAACUGAGUUUUUCCAGUUUCCCUUGUGAACCACUUAGCGGCACUUGCUUUUGACCUUUCCGUCCAUCACGGAAGGAUUCACGUUCACCUUUGCAUGUCGUCGUGAUAGCAUAUCAGCCAGUUUGUUGUAAGCGCCUUUCUUGUACUUGAUCACCAGAUUGAACUGCUGCAAGUACUUCAUCCAUUUCGUGCGACGCGUCUGUUGCAAUUUUGAUUAUAUUUGGAGGUACUGAAGCGGACGGUGGUCUGUAUGCACCACUGUCUCUUUUCUUAGGAGAUAGGACGGUGGUCUGUAUGCACCACUGUCUCUUUUCUUAGGAGAUAGACCUGCCAAUACUUCACCGUCUGGUGUAGUGCCAAGAGUUCCUUGUUAUAGGUCGGGUAGUUCUUUUGAGCUCCUUGGAACAUCUCAGAGUAAUAUGCAAUAGGUCGACCAUUUGCAUCAAGACAGCCCCAAUGGCGUAUCCCGACGCAUCCGCCUCCAACUCAAAGGGUCGUUGCAGAUUUGGUAGCGCAAGAACAGGCGCCUCGCAUAUCUUUCAUUGCAAAAGUCGGAACAUGUUCUCAUGUUUCGAACUCCAUUCGAACUUUUGGUUGGCCUUCAUUAGUGCAUGUAGAGGGGCAGCAAGGAGAGAAAAGUGUUGAAUAAACUUCCGGACAUAUUGGCAAGCGCCUAUGAAGCUCCGCACCUCCGUCACAUUUUUAGGCCUAGGCCACAACUUGAUAACCCUGACCUUAUCGGGGUCGAUCUAAAGCUCGCCGCCGCCCACCACAAACCCGAGAUACAACAGGCUUUGCUUGCCGUACUCACACAUUUUAGGGUUUAAGCGGAGUUGGUGUUCCUCGAGUAGCAUGAAGACCUUCUUGACAUGCGUCAGAUGCUCCUCCCACAAUCGACUGUAGGUGAGGAUGUCGUCGAGGUAGACGAUCACGAAAUCAUGGAGGAAGGGGCGUAGAACAUCGUUCAUUAGUCGCAUAAAAGUGGCUGGUGCAUUGCAAAGGCCGAAUGGCAUGACGAGCCAUUCAAACAAGCCUUGUUGAGUCUUGAACGCGGUCUUCCAGGUGUCAUCCUCUCGGAUUCAGACCUGAUGAUAGCCAGACUUCAGGUUUAGUUUGGUGAAGUAGCGAGCAUGCUUCAGUUGGUCCAAGAGAACAUCGAUCCGCGGUAAGGGGUAUUGGUUCUUGAUGGUGAUUUUGUUGAGAGCGUGGUAGUCGAUAAACAUUCGCCACCCGCCGUCUUUCUUUGGUACCAACAAGAUCGGGGAGCCACAGGGGGAGCUACUCGGUUUGAUAGCACCACUCUCGAGUAACUCAGUCACCUGUCGCUUUAUCUCCUCAUUCUCCACCACCGAGUUUGAUACAUGCCGAGAUUCGGUAACGGAGCGUCGCUGAUCAAUUGGAUCUCAUGUUCCACGACUGGCUUUGGUGGCAGUCCCUGUACUUCUUGAAAUAAAUCUCGAUGCUCGCCGAUCAGUUUGGCUACAUCAUCACUAUUUUUCUUGCAUGCUAGGCUUAAUAUCUUGCUAUUUGCCUCUUAAGCUAUAAUUGGCUGAAUUACAGUAAGGCAAACUUUUGACAGGCAUUGAUCAUCCUCUUAGCCUGGCAAGCGGUUACCAGAUCUACAGUUGUUGAUAAUGGCUCUGUAGUGAACAAAAUUUUUUGUCCAUCCUUAAUAAAUUGGCAUUGCUGAGGACGACGAAAGAAUGUAGCAUCACGGUCCCACAGGUAGAGACUGCCGAAGAUGAGGUUGCAAAUGUUCAACGGCACAACCUCGCACAGCAUUUCGUUGAUGUAGACGCCGGUCACCGCAAACUUUACCUUACACUAGCGAUCGAUCUUCAUCUCGAUGUUGCUGUUAAUCCACCCUAAUGGAUAUGGGUGUGGGUGUGGUGUAGUCGACAAACCUAGCCUUUGAACUAGGUUCUCCAAGAUCAAGUUCUUUUGGCUGCCGGGAUCGAUAAUGGCAUCGAUCACCUCAUUUUUGACUUGAACUCGGAAAGUGAACAACUCCUCUCUCUUAUCAGUCAGAUAUGAUGGACACCGGCUUGUCUCCUUCGGCAUAGCUAGCUAUCAGAGACAAGCUAGUGUCCGCUUGAUCAAUCCGUCCGAUUAAGGUAGGAGCAUCACUUGCCGAUCCUGCCGUUGUCGUUGUACGUUUACCAUGAUCGUCCUUCUUCUUUGGUCUUAUCUCUGGAUGGAGCUUCCAGCAUCGAUCCUUGACAUGUCCUGUGACUUUACAAUGAUCACAGUACAAAUCAGGAUCAGAGGACCCCUCUUUUUAGAGCCCUUCCUUUUGAACUUUUUUGAGCCCUCAACAGACUCUCUAGAUGGCUUCUCCUCGUGAGAUAGUUUGUUCUUUCAUUCAAUCGCCAUGGCUGUUUGACUCGCCGACGCGUUGGUGCGCUCGGAUUAACGUUACGAAAAGCCGAUGUAAAGUUAUGGCCAAAUAAGCCUAAUUUGGCUUCGUUAACUCGCAGGUAGCGAACCGGGUGUCUAAAAAUUCUAAGAAAAUCGUCGGAGCACCUAAGUAAGCCUAGAAGGUGGGUGGUGCUAUCCAAACUCGUUGAAUUUCCUUCUAUGCCUAAUGUGUCAUUCAAUUGAGCAUAUGUUAUAUGCAUCGUUGCAUGAAUCGUAGGGUAUAUGUAAUGAGAAUAAUGUAAUGUUGCAUGUUGUGAAUACAACUUGCCUAAUGAGAUGGUUGAGAACCCCUGUGAAUGUUUAACCCUAUAUGUAUGCAUGAGAUAAAAUGUGAGCACCCAACUGAGACAAAAGAACAAAGUGACACAAUGAGCAUAGAUCGAGUGGCAUUCGAAAGUAUAGCGAUGGUGCCAUUUGAGGCACUAUAUGGAUGUAAGUGUCGUUUUCCUAGUCAUUGGAGCGACGUGGGGGAGAGAACGGCUCUUGGCCCUGACGUAGUGCGAGAGGCGGAGGAGAAAGUCCGCCUUGCCCGUCAACGGUUAGCGACGGCGCAAUCUCGGCAAAAGAGUUAUGCCGACAAGCGAAGAAAAGAUUUAGAGUUCGCGGUUGGAGACCGCGUAUUUUUGAGAGUAUCGCCGAUACGAGGGGUAAAGCGGUUUUGGGUCCGCGGGAAGCUAAGUCCCUGUUAUGUCGGACCAUUUGAGAUAUUGGAGCGUGUGGGUGCGGUAGCGUACAAGCUCGCACUACCACCGAGACUCGCGGGAGUUCACAAUGUUUUCCAUGUGUCAAAUCUCCGAAAGUAUAUUCGCAACUCGACACAUGUAUUGGAGUACGAGCCCGUGGAGUUACGUGAGGAUAUGUCUUACGAGGAGUACCCGGUGUGCAUCCUCGAUUGAGAAGAAAGAAAACUGCGGAGUCGCAGAAUUCCAUAUGUGAAGGUCCAAUGAAGCAACCAUGCGGUGGCGAGAAGCCACUUAGGAGCUUGAGGAAACUAUGCGGAGAGAGUAUCCGCAUCUAUUUGAGUCGACAAGUUAAGGUAUGUAUAAUUUCGCGGACGAAAUUAUUUUAAGGGGUGGAGAAUGUAAUAUACCGAAAAUUCGAAAAAUAAAUAUCGAACUUUAGUUAAAUUGACCAAAGUGCGAGGUUGGUACACUUCGAAAAGUCCGAAGAUGUUAAAAUGAUCAAAAGUGCAUUGUGGGAGAUUUCCAAGAGCUAAAGGAUCAAAAAUUUGCAAACUGCAGUUUUGAGCUCUCGGGGACCGGUCCCUGGUGGGAGAGACCAGUCCCCGAAUGCGUGAAAAUUGAGAAGGCUGAAAAAUUUGCUAAGUCCCUGAGAUCAGGCUCUCGGGAACCGGUCCCUGCUGGGGAGAUCGGUCCCCGAGAGACCGGUCCCCCAGAGAGAGACCGGUCGCAUUGUGCGGGAGCCCUCGCUGCCCGCAGGGAGGAGCUACGGGAAUCGGUCCCUGGUCGGGGAGACCGGUCCCCGCACACGAAAUCUGCCCAGUUUGGGCAGUUUAAUAAAGUGAAAGUUAAGGGGCUUAUUUGCAAUUAUGCAUUAUAUGGGUUAUAUUGAGGGCUAAGAGGGCUUGUUCCUCUCAUUCUCUCCUUCACACUCUCUCUCUUCUCUCUCUUUCUCUCUCUAGAAGACAAGAAGGAGAAGAAAAGACAAGGAAAAGAAAGAAAAGAAAAAGGAAAAGAGGAAGAAGAAAAGGAGAAAGAAGGUGAAAAAGGAGCUAAGGAGUGAAGCUAUCUCCUCUUCUUCCCCUUCGGAGCAACAUAGGAGCAAGCUUAGAGGUAAGCUUGAACCUUAUUUAUGGUAAAACCCUAGAAUGUGAACUAGUUGACCUAAAAAUGGUUUUAGUUGAACCUAAUAAGUGUUUCAAGCUUUAUUUUGCUUGUUAAUAAGAUCAACACUAUGGGUUGGGUGUGGGUGGUGAAGCUUGAAGGAGAGCUUCAACCCCUCUCAUAGUAGAAUCCAAACUAGGGUUUGGAUUGAGCCAAAGAUGGUUUUUGUGGAGUCUUUAGAGUAGAAUGAAGCUUCUUUUGCUUCCCAAUGAGAUCAAACCCUAGGUUUGAUGUAUGCUAUAGAGCUAGGGCACCCAAAUUGGGGCUUUUGCUUGCGAGGGUUCUAAAAUAUAAUUGACCCUCUAGAAACCUAAUUGGGGAUAUUUCCGACGCGUUGGUGCGCUCGGAUUAACGUUACGAAAGUUAUGGCCAAAUAAGCCUAAUUUGGCUUCGUUAACUCGCAGGUAGCGAACCGGGUGUCUAAAAAUCCCAAGAAAAUUGUCGGAACACCUAAGUAAGCCUACAAGGUGGGUAGUGCUAUCCAAGCUCGUUGAACUUCCUUCUAUGCCUAAUGUGUGAUUCAAUUGAGCAUAUGUUAUAUACAUCGUUGCAUGCAUCGUAGGGUAUAUGUAAUGAGAAUAAUGUAAUGUUGCAUGUUGUGAAUACAACUUGCCUAAUGAGAUGGUUGAGAACCCCUGUGAAUGUUUAACCCUAUAUGUAUGCAUGAGAUAAAAUGUGAGCACCCAACUGAGACAAAAGAACAAAGUGACACAAUGAGCAUAGAUCGAGUGGCAUUCGAAAGUAUAGCGAUGGUGCCAUUUGAGGCACUAUAUGGAUGUAAGUGUCGUUUUCCUAGUCAUUGGAGCGACGUGGGGGAGAGAACGGCUCUUGGCCCUGACGUAGUGCGAGAGGCGGAGGAGAAAGUCCGCCUUGCCCGUCAACGGUUAGCGACGGCGCAAUCUCGGCAAAAGAGUUAUGCCGACAAGCGAAGAAAAGAUUUAGAGUUCGCGGUUGGAGACCGCGUAUUUUUGAGAGUAUCGCCGAUACGAGGGGUAAAGCGGUUUUGGGUCCGCGGGAAGCUAAGUCCCUGUUAUGUCGGACCAUUUGAGAUAUUGGAGCGUGUGGGUGCGGUAGCGUACAAGCUCGCACUACCACCGAGACUCGCGGGAGUUCACAAUGUUUUCCAUGUGUCAAAUCUCCGAAAGUAUAUUCGCAACUCGACACAUGUAUUGGAGUACGAGCCCGUGGAGUUACGUGAGGAUAUGUCUUACGAGGAGUACCCGGUGUGCAUCCUCGAUUGAGAAGAAAGAAAACUGCGGAGUCGCAGAAUUCCAUAUGUGAAGGUCCAAUGAAGCAACCAUGCGGUGGCGAGAAGCCACUUAGGAGCUUGAGGAAACUAUGCGGAGAGAGUAUCCGCAUCUAUUUGAGUCGACAAGUUAAGGUAUGUAUAAUUUCGCGGACGAAAUUAUUUUAAGGGGUGGAGAAUGUAAUAUACCGAAAAUUCGAAAAAUAAAUAUCGAACUUUAGUUAAAUUGACCAAAGUGCGAGGUUGGUACACUUCGAAAAGUCCGAAGAUGUUAAAAUGAUCAAAAGUGCAUUGUGGGAGAUUUCCANAAAGAACAAAGAACUUGCAUACUUGCAUGAUUUAUAUUGAGCAUAUUUAUUGCUAUUUAUUCAGGCAUAUUAGCAUCAUGAUUAUAGUUUGGUUACUAUUCUGCUUAUCCUUUCUAUUAUGCCUGAGUUAGUCCUAGUGGGAAAGUCGGUGAUGUUGGGGCCAAACCCACUGGAAACUUCGUUGUAGUUCUCACCCCACAUUCCACAGAGCCGGGGCCGAGCGAGCCGGCGAGCGACCGCGGUAAAGGUAUCGCACCUUAGUCAGAGGCCGCCCGAGUUGGGUUACUUACAUUUUGUAGUAGCAGUCCCUUUUAUCAUCUUUUGUAUUUGAUGAUUUAAGAUGUUAAUGUGAAAAAUAAGGAAAGAAAAGAAUGUAAUGUUUAUUUUGAGCAAAUGUGAUGUAAAAAGAAAUGAUGCAAGCAAUGUAAAGAAUUAUGAAUGUACAAGUUGGUUAAAUGCAAUGUAUGUGAUCAAAAGAGAAUCAUAGUACUUGUGUAGAUGUUUAGUUCCUUUCUCUCACUCAUGGCUAUUGCUUACCCUCGUAUAAGACGUUUGUGUAUGUUUCCGCUAGUGCACUUCUUGACUGAAAUAGUACAUGUGAUGAGCCUUGGGCGGACAGGAGAAACUCUGUCCGUUCGGCGACUAUUUGACGUGCUCGGGCCGGCCCAAAUUGGUAUCGGUCCCGAGGCGUGACAGAUAUCGUGGUAUCAGAGGCAAGAGUGAAAGGAUAGGAAUGGACCUAGAAAUCCUUAGGAUUGGAAACCUUAAGGAUCUAGGAAACGUGAAUGACGUGGAAUUAAAGUUAGUGAAAGCAUGUGAUUGGGUUAAGUUGGGACGUCUCUAACGUGAUUAGAGGCUAAGUUUAAUCUUCAUUUGUUUCCUACUCAUUGUUUUGUGUCGGGCGGCCGAUGACAUGAUGCUUGGGGCGAGAACAAAUGCAUAAGUUGCUUUCGCCAAAUUGGGUAUGGUCAAGUAAUGUUAGUUAUGUAGCUAAUGCGAGUUGCUUCUUUUCAGGAAGCAAUGGCACCUCGUGGUCGACUGCAGACAAGGUCGAUGCCUGAGCACCGAGUUCCUGCGGGGAGGUUGUAGAGCUUACCGAUUCUAGUAUGAAAGUGGGAGAAGAUCACUAUGGACUUCGUGAUGGGAUUGCCCUACUCACAGGCCGGGCAUGACGCUAUUUGGGUGAUCGUAGAUAGGUUGACGAAAUCGGCACAUUUCAUACCUAUCCACACUACUUGGACCGGUGAGAGACUCGUACAGGUAUAUUUGGAUGAGAUAGUGCGACUGCAUGGGGUACCUACUUCUAUAGUAACAGAUCAAGAUCCCCGUUUCGUGUCUCAUUUUUGGAGGAGUCUACAGGAUGCUUUCGGUACGUGCUUGGACUUCAGUACCGCUUUUCACCCACAGAGUGACGGUCAGUUAGAGCGCACCAUACAGACUCUUGAGGAUAUGCUCCGAGCUUGCGUAAUAGACUUCCGGGGAGGAUGGUCGCAGCAUCUACCGAUAACAGAGUUUGCUUAUAAUAAUAGUUAUCAAGCAAGCAUCAAGAUGGCACCGUUCGAGGCACUCUAUGGACGGAAGUAUAGAUCAUCACUCCACUGGAGUGAAGUAGCCGAGAGAGUGGCUUUAGGCCCUGAUGUGCUCUAGGAAGCGGAGGACAAAGUUCGCAUUGCCCGGAAGAGGCUGUUGACAGCCUAGAAUAGGCAAAAGAGUUAUGCUGACAAGCGUUGACGGAACUUGCAGUUUCAGAUUGGAGAUCACGUCUUCUUGAAAGUCUCGCCGACCCGAGGGAUUAGAAGGUUUGGAAUUCGGGGCAAGUUAAGGCCCCGAUUCAUUGGACCAUAUGAGAUUUUGGAACGUAUAGGCCCGAUAGCGUAUCGACUUGCUCUACCACCGAACCUAUCGGGUGUAUACAACGUCUUUCAUGUGUCGGUCCUUCGGAAGUACAUCCAUGAUCUGGCUCAUGUGCUUGAUGCGAUGCCAUUAGAGCCGAGGGAGGAUUUGAGUUUCGAGGAGCAGCCUGUGAGGAUCUUAGCUCGUGAGGUGAAGAGGCUGCGAAACCGCGAGAUCCCCUACGUGAAGGUUCUUUGGAGCAACCACGAGGAGCGCGAGGCCACGUGGGAGUUGGAGAGCGCACUAUAGGAGCGCUAUCCCUAUCUUUUUCAGAUGGAGACUUGAGGUACUUUGCUUUUCGAGUUUCGCAAAUGAAACUCUUUUUUAGGAGGGGUGAAUGUAACACACUGAAAUUUCGCAAAUUGUAAGGUUCGAGUGUUUAGGUUUGGUGUUCCAAGCUUUUCCCACACUUGGAGGAGGGUCGUAAACUGUUUUCCGACCAAAAAGUUCGAAAUCUGAAUUUCUGGACAAGUCCUCAGAUUUUUACUCUCAGGGAUCAAUCCUUGGUGGGAGAGACCGGUCCCCCACGACGAAGCAACCGGUCCCUGGCUGGGGAGACCGGUUCCCGAGAGCUGGUUUUGCGGGAGGGUCCCGAGGGACCGGUCCCAGCUGGGAGAGACCGGUCCCUCUGGGCGAAAACUGCCCAGUUCGGGCUGAUGCAUAGGAUGAAAAGUAAAGGGACUUUUCUGGAUUUUGUUAUAAUAGAGGGCCUAUAUGGCCAUUUCACUUCUCUCUCUCCCUCAUUUCACACUCUCUCUUGCAUCUUAGAGAGAGAAGGAGAAGAAGGAGGAAAAGGAGAAGAAGGUAAAAGAAGAAGAGCUUGUUUGAGGACUUGGAGCUUCACCCUCUCCCUCUCUUCUUCCUAUUGGUGGCUUGGAGCUUGUGCUUGGUGCUUGUGGAGGAUCAAUCUUCAACCCUAGAACACUUGGAGCUUGGAUUGGAGCUUCUAAAGAUGUUAGUUGCUUAUUCCUCCCCUCUAGGCCUAGUUUUGGUGGAUUUUAGGAGAUGAAACCCUAAAUUUGGAUUUUAGGGUUUAUUUUGGGGCUUUUUGGUUUGAGGCUUUUGGGGCUAAUCUAAUGGGAUUAGAAUCUUGGUUUAGAUUGCUUUGGAAGGGAUUUGACUUCCAUUUGAGCUUUGAUGAGGGAUUUCUUCACUAUAGGUGAGAUUUUGGCCCAUUUGUCUUGUUGGUUAUUGAUUGAGCUAGUAGUUGUUCGUUUACUUCUUGUAGCUCACUUUUUGAUGCUUCUAGGGUGUUAGGAGCUUAGUGGACAUCUUCGUUGGAGCAAACGAAGGGUUGCGCGAAGUUCGGUGGGUUUGACCUAGCCUAGCAUAUGAGAAAUUCUCAUAUCUAAUAUUUUAUGCUUCGUAAAGUAAAAAUUCAUGCAUUUCCAUGAUAAAUGUAUUUAUUGGAGAUUUUAGAAUGCUUAACAUGCCUAUGUUGUGUGUAAUGAAUUUUUGGGCCUCUAUGUAGUAGAGAACUAGCAUCUGGAACCUGUACAUGAGACCGGCAUUCCAUGUAAGGCUUGGGAUCGCGUAUCUAUAUUGAAAUUGGAAAUUAUAUCAUGCCCUUGGAUUUACGUUUAAAUGAGAAGCUACUUUAUGCUCUAGAGAGGCUUGGGAAACUCGCACUACUUGAGAAUAAUUGGGCUAAUGUCAUUAAGCGGCAUUGAGCUCGGGUCAUGUUUGAACCUAGUGUUAAAGUCAUGUUUGGAACAUAGAAUAUGAAAUGUGCUUAACUUAUAGCAAUGCUUAAGUGUCAUAAAGAGGCACUAAGCAAGGUGAGUGUUGGGACAUCACUUUGAGACAUAGAACUAGACCGUUGGGUUGCUAGUGGCUUUUACCAUGUUAGAGACAUGAUGAUUGGUUACUUGAGACGAUGACUUUGCUUGCUUGCCAUUUGUGCUCAUUCGCAUAUGCUUGUGAGGGUCGCUCCCUACAAGCCGGCACUCCGGAGUUGGCCUACGCGACUUAUGCUCGCCCGUGCGGUAUAGAGAAGCCUACGGGGUCGGGAGUGAUAGACUCAUUUCCAGAGUGAAAAUGCUGAAGCUACCACCGACACUUAGGCGGUGCUAGCCGGACUACAAUCGUGUAGGUCCUAAGACAAGAUUGAGCAUGGACAUAAACUCUUAAAUAUGAAUCACUACUACAUAAAUCAUAGUAGUUGGAUCACUUGGCAUAUUUAUAGUGUGGCUUUGAGAUUUCUGGACAUAUAGUAUACUUGAUAGAAUUGCUUUGCAUCUUAGUAUACUUGGCAGUUAUGAUGAACAUAUUCCCCUUGUAUUGGCAUAUUCACUCAUGAUAGUAUUGAUACACAUCAUGUUUACAUGUGGCGUAGUAGCAUAGCAUUUCAUACAUGCUUUCAAUUCAGCAGCUUGUUAUUGCUUAAUAUUAUCAUUACUUACUCCUUUUCUUUGGGCCUAGUGGUGCAUUGCGCUGAGGUCAGUAAUUGCCCACUGGAAACUAUAAAUUAUAGUUUUCACGCCCUCUGUUUCAUGUUUUUAUUUCAGAGCCUUCCACUCCGGGUGAGGCUAGGGACCGCGAAAAGGGAAUCGCCACGAGCUAGCUUGUGAGCGAGGGACGUUCGAUAGGUGGUCCACCUCUUCUUUGUUUUCUUUUUGGGAGAGGAUGAGAGUUGUACCUUGUAUAGAGACCACCCUUUUUGUAGUAUUUUUGUGAUGACUCUUGUACUGACUUUAUCUUUUCGUUUAGUAGUUUACUUUCCCCUUUCUCUACUUGUCGUUAGUUGUUAGCUGUUAGUAGCUUUGAUAUCUCUAGUGACUUUAUUUCUUCUUGCUUCUAUAUCUCUUUUGUUGUAGACGCCUUAUAUGUGCAGGCAUAUGGCGGGUCUGGGCACGCAUCGGGCGGGCCUAUGCCGGGUCCCGAGGCGUGAUAUUAAGUUGUCAAACAGAAACAAAACAAGAAACAUGAAAUAAGUUAUUGUGAAGGGAAACUUGAACUAAAAUAUUCAUGUAUUUUCAAUAGUCAACAUUAUGUUCUUAUAUAAACCACCAAACCCAUACAUAAGAGUGCUUUAUGAAGUGACCUUUCAAUUUAUAUAUAUUUUUUAGAUCAUAACUACCAAUUAGUUAUCGAUAUCUCUUUGAACGUUAACCGAUAUAUAGGAGUUAAAUUUAAAUAUUUAUAAUGUAAUAGUCAAUUUUGAUGGGCUCAUACUCAAAGGAACGCUAAUAAAAUGUUAGGCAUUACUUAAAAGUUAAUGGUUAACUACUGGUGACAUCAGUAUGAAAUCAUAAAUAUUUAAUUAUUAUUUUAUUUUUUUAUAUAAACAAUAUGUUUAUAUUAAUAUUUUAAUAUUAUGCUUAAUUAUAAAAUACUGAUUUUAGACCAAAUUAAGUAGAUAUAACUUUUUAAGAUUCACUUUUUAUAAGACUAAUAUGUGUUAGUAAAUAACAAAACUGAUUUUACGCCGUUGGAUUUUAAUAUGACUUUAUCAAAAAUAUCUGAUCGGUUUGAUUAAAAUCGGAUGUAACACACUGGACCUUCGCGAAUUGCAAGGUUGGAGCGUUUGAUAUGUGCUCCGAGCUCUUCCAUGCUUGGUGGAGGGUCGUAGACUGUAUUCUGUCCUAGUAGUUCGAAUUCUGAGUUUUGGCUACGUCCUGAGAGUUUAACUCUCGGGGAUUGGUCCCUGGUGGGAGAGACCAGUCCCUAGUAGCACGGGUUGCGGCAGUCGGCCGAGGCAACCGGUCCCCUGGCUAGGGAGACCGGUUCCCGAAUGCGCAGAUUGCGGGAGGGUCCUGAGGGACCGGUCCUUGGUGGGAGAGACCGGUCCCUCUGCCCGAAAUCAGCCCAGUCUGGACUAUGUGAGAGAGGUGAAGUGGAGGGGUUUUGCUGCAAUUGUUACAUCUCUUAGUGUAUGUAGAGGGGGCAGGGCUCUCUCCCUCUCUCAUUUCCCUCACUCCCUUUCCUUUCUUUCUUUCUUUUUCUCUCAAGAAGAAGAAAAAGAAGAAGAGGAAGAGGAUCAAGCUUGGAGGCCUUUGGACAUCUCCUUCUCCCUCUCUUCCCACCUUGCUGAUGCUUGAAGGCUUGGACUUGGGGCUUGUUGGAGAGGAGAUCAUCGCUCUUGGGGCUUGGUUUGGAGCUUCUUAAGAGGUUAGUUGCUCCCUUCUCCUCUCUAGACCUAGAUUUGGUGGUUUUUGGGAGAUAAAACCCUAGAAUGGAAAAUCUAGGGUUUAUUUGUGGCUUUUUGAUUUGAAGCUUUUAGAGCUAAUCUAAUUGGAUUAGAACCUUGGUUUAGGUUGCUUCGGAAGGGAUUUAGCUCCCAUUUGAGCUUUGUAGGGGGAUUUCUACACUAUAGGUGAGGCUUUGGCCUCUUUUGCCUAGAUGGUUAAUGUUUACUCUUGUGGUUGUUCGUUAGCUUCGUGUAGCUCAUUUUUUGAUGCUUCUAGGGUGCUAGGAGGCUAAUGGACACCCCCGUUGGAGCAAACGAAGGGUUGCGUAAGUUUCGGUGGGUUUGACCUAGCCAAAAAUAGGAAAAAUUUUCAUUAUUGGUGAUUUAUGUAUCGUAAAGUGAAAAAUCAUGCAUUUUCAUGCUAGAUGUAUUUAUUAUGAAUUUUAAAAUGCUUAACAUGCCUAUGUUAUGUAUAAUGAAUUUUCGGACCUCUAUGUAGUAGAGAGCUUGUACGUGGGACUUGUGCAUGAGUCUUGGCAUUCUACUUGAGACUUGGAACCUUGUUCCCUUAGCGAAAACGGAAAUUGCAUCACGCCCUUGAACAUUAUGAAAUGAGAUAUGAGCGAUUACCUUAAGCCAUAGAGAGGCUUGGGACUGGUACUAUUUGUGAACGAUUGAGCUAAUGUCAUAAAGGGGCAUUGAGCUCGGGCUAUGAAUGAACCUCGUAUUAAAGCCAUAAAGUGUCCUAGAAUGUGAAAUGUACUUGGGUUAUAGAAAUGUUUAAGUGUCAUAAAGAGGCACUAAGCACAGUGUAUGUUGGAAUUUCGCUCGAGACAUAGAACUGGAUCGUUGGGUGGCUAGUGACUAAUGCCAUGGUAGAGACAUGACGAUUGGGUACUUGAGCUAUUGAUUUUGCUUGCUUGUCAUUUGUGCUCAUUCGCACAUGCUUGUGAGGGUCGCUCCCUACAAGCCGGCACUCCGGAGUUGGCCUACGUGACUUAUGCUCGCUUGUGCGGUAUCGAGGAACCUACGGGGUCGGGAGGGAUAAACUCAUUUCCAAAGUGGGAAUGCUGGAGCUACCAUCGACACUUAGGCGGCACAAGCUGGACUACUCGUGUAGGUCCUAGAACAAGAUUUAACUUUGACACCAAAUCCUAAAAUGUGAAUCACUACUAGAUAGAUUAUAGUAGCUGGGUUACUUGACAUGCUUAUAAAGUGGCUCGGAAAUAUUGGGACACGCAGUAUACUUGAUAGUGUUACUCAUUGCAUCAUAGUAUACUUGGUUGCCGUGAAGAACAUAUUCAUCUUAUAUUAGCAUAUUCAAUCAUGAUAGCAUUGAUAUACAUCAUGUUUACUUGUGGCUUAGUAGUAUAGCAAUUCAUAUAUGCAUUCAAUUCAGCAGUUUACUAUUGUUUCCUCUUUUAUGCUUACUUUAUUUUGGGCCUAGUGGUGCAUUGUGCUGAGGUCAGUAAUUGCCCACUGGGAACUAUAAAUUAUAGUUCUCACGCCCUCUAUUCAUAUUUCUUUUUAGAGCCUUCCACUCCGGGCGAGGCUAGGGACUGUGGAAAGGGUAUCGCGUCGAGCUAGCUGGUUGGUGAGGGACGAUCGAUAGAUGAUCUACCUCUCUUUUAUUUUUUUUGGAAGAGGUUGAGAGUUGUACCCAUAUAGAGACCACCCCAUUUUGUAGUUCUUUGAGAUGAUUUGUAUCACUUUAUGUUUACCUUUAGUGAAUUGCUUUCCUUUUCUUUACUUGUCUUUAAUUUUUAGCUAUUAGUUGCUCUGAUAUUUUUAGUGGUUUUAUCUCUUCUCGCUUUUACACCUCUAUUGUUGUAGACGGCUUAUAUGUGCAGGCAUAUGGGGGGUCUAGGCACGUACCGGGCGGGUCUAUGCCGGGUCCAGGGGCGUGACAUCGGACCGGUUCACCGGUUAGAUAAUUGAACCCCCAGUUUGAGCAUCAAAGUGAUUUUUUAACUUAUCCAAUUCAAAGGGUUGAACUAAAUCCUUUUAUAGACUAAUUUACAGGAAUGUCGGUUGGACUCCGGUUAAAACUACACCUAUACUAAGGCCAACUAGAAGUUAAGGAGUAGUAUUUAAUGGGUAUUUUGGGUGUAUGGUAGUGAGGAAAACUUAGAAGUGGGUAAAUAAAUAAAUUUAAAUUAUUGACAAAAAGAAGGACCAUGACUUCAUGUGGUCAUUUGGUGUAUGGACAAAUUGGCAAUUAAUAAAAGUGAUUUUAAAAAUUAUUUAAUUAAGCCAAAGAAUGCUUUACCUAUCACUUUGCUCUCUCUCUCUCUCUCUCUCUCUCUUAUGUGUCUCUUUCUCUUAAAUGUUAGUGGCCAUAUGGAACACCACCCACAUAUCAUAUCCUUCUUUGCGCACACAUAAACCUACCAAAUCCAAUACACAACACUCAUGCACUUGCCCUUUAUUAUUUUUCUCCUUUUUUACGCCUUCCCCCCUCUCUCUCUCUCUCUCUCUCUCUCUCUCUGGCUGCUUUGGGAUACUGGAAUAGCACUCCCAAUUACUGGUUCCUGACUCUCUCUCUCUCUCUCUCUCUCUCUCUCUCUCUAGAGGCCAAAGAGGAACCCUAAAGCUGUGAUCUUUGACAAUUAGGUACACACACAGAUCCUUUCUCCCCACUUUUUUACUGGUUUUUACUUUUAUCAAGAAUCUGUGUGUUGCAUCUCCUCUCUUUCUUCUUCUUCUUCUUCUUCUUCUUCUUCCCCCAUUUUUGGAAGCUUGGAUCUGAAUUAGGGUUUUGAUGGUGAGGUGAUUUCCUGAGGGUGGCAUUGCGGAUGAUUCCUGGGGAUCUCCUCUUCUCUCGCAUUAAUGAUGGGUUUUGCUAAUUGGGUUGUCGAUUUGAUUGCUGUUUUUUGUGGAAAGGUAACAAAGGUUGGAUCUUGAUGAGACUGGUUUGAUCCCCUGUGAGUUUAUAUUGGCGAUCUACUUCUUGGUUGCUUUUGUUCUUGCAAGUUUUGGGUUAAAAUCGUGUGCAUUUGUUCAUAUUCGGGAUUUUUAUCAAUUGAUGUGGAAAAAUUGCAUGCUUUGUAGGGAUUCUUUCAAACAAUAUCUGAUUUUUAUGUUGUUUUGUGCUGAUCUAGCAAAUUACUUUCUGUCUUCUAUUAAUUUUAGUUAAUUUUGAUCUAUUAAGAUGUGAUGUGUAUGGUACAUCAUCUUAUGAAUUUGGUUUGGUCGGAAACCGAUCUCUCCGGCGUUAUUUCGUCUAGUUCUUGUAGUUGAGCAUUUUGAUGCCUCUUCUCGAUGCAUAUAAACCUAAAAGUGGCAGAUUCAGAUAUAAAAGUUUCUUUUUAAACUCGACAUACUGCUUGGUUUCAGCUUUAAUCGCGACCUCUGAAUCCGCAGGCUCUACAGUUUCUUCUAGUUGCGUUGUUUAUAAUUUUUCUUCUUGGAAAAAGAGAAGAAGAAAGUAACAUGAUAAAACUCAGCUUCUUGAACCUGUCAGAUAUCUCUAAUCUAUUGCUGAGCAGUGUACUUCACAUUUUGAUUUCCUUCUCAUUUGUUAUCGAGCAGUUUUGUGCUUUCGUCGCAGACAUCUCAUGUCCAUGGUAGGGUGAUGGGGGAAGUGAAGUUUUAUGCGUCAGAUAAGAGGGUUCUCCGUAGAAUACAUUCAACACAAUCGAUCUUGCAUUAUCAAGAGUUGUUGUGAACGUCAAACUCUUUUCCUUAAUUGAUGGCUUCUGACUCUUUGCCCGAAAUUACCUCGGAGGAUCAGUACAAUAGCCCCACCAGUAGUGAAGUAACUGAACCAGCUUCUACCGACUCUUCACUUCCACAGACUUCUGUGCCAAGCAAAUCAGAAACCACCUCAUCGACCGAUUCGCUAAAAUCUUCGCUCCUAAAUACAGAAAAACGACCAAGUAGAGAAGCAGUGCAAGAUCAAAAUGGUCAUUCAAAACAUAGUAACUCAGACCCAUCUUCUCCAAAAGGCGAUUUUGUUGGCUCAAGUGAACCCCCAAGCGUAGAAUGCAAUAAAGACCGAGAGAAGAAGAAUUCUGAGCAUGGUAGCGUCAAAAACAGCUCGGCUUCUGCUAAAGUUAGUGAUGGUACCAGCAGUUUGGAGAAGACUAGUGAGAGCGGUAAAAUAAGCGACCGUGCCGAUUUCGUCGAGAGCGGAAAGAGUAGUAUGUGCAGGGCCAGUUCUAGCAGCAAUGUGAGUGAUGAAAGCUCUUGUAGCACCAUAAGCAGCAAUAUAAGCAAACCCCACAAAGCAAAUGAUUCAAGAUGGGAAGCUAUUCAGGCGAUUAGGGCUAGAGAUGGUGUUCUUGGUCUGAGCCAUUUUAGGUUACUUAAGAGGCUUGGAUGUGGUGAUAUUGGCAGUGUGUAUCUAUCCGAAUUGAGUGGAACAAAGUGUUACUUUGCAAUGAAAGUUAUGGACAAGGGAAAUCUGGCGAGCCGUAAGAAGCUGUUUAGAGCACAAACGGAGAGGGAGAUUUUGCAAUGCCUCGAUCAUCCGUUUCUUCCGACGUUGUACACACACUUUGAGACGGAGAAGUUUUCUUGCGUGGUGAUGGAGUUUUGCCCUGGAGGAGAUUUGCAUACACUUCGGCAGAGGCAGCCUGGGAAGUACUUUUCAGAACAAGCUGUCAAGUAUGGACCUUGAUCUUUUCCUUGUUUCCUGUUAAAGAUAUUAGUGGGUUUUCAAGUCUUCAUGUCUUUUAUUUUCUAUUGAAAUAUUUUCCCAAAACUUAGCACAUUUGAAUUGUUGUCUUUGGUAUUUAUGGUACAGAGUAAUUUUAAAACAUAGAUAAUGUUCUUUAUGCUCAUGCAGUUUAUUUUAGCUCGUAAUUGUUUGAAAAUGGAAUUAUCAUAUGAUUGCCUCCUUAGUUUUACUGAGGAAAAAAAAAAUUCUUAGUGUUAGUAGAAGCCAUGGAACUUAUCAUUAGAUUGAAAACUGAGAAUUGAAAAGAUUGGUUGAUAAAUAAUGAACAAGAUUCUUGAGAAAUCGUAAUAACUUAUUGCUAGAAUAGAACUUCUAUUUAACUACUUUGAUUCUCUGCCAUGGUGAAGAGCAUAUGCCAUCUUGACUAUUUAAUUGUAUUAGCUUGCUCAUUGGUUGAUUAGAAUCCUGUUAAAGUGAGCUGUUACUAGUUUUUCUAUAUUUGCAUGUACCUGCUAUUGGCUUCUGCUGUUGUCUUUUUUGUUCAACCAGGUGAGCUUGAUUUUGUGAUGACUCAUUUGUAUUGGUCAGAAAGAUUUUUUUUUCCUUUUUAUGUAUGUGGUUUGUUACCGGCGAUGACUUGAAUAGCAUCUGCCAUUUAGUUGGUUUAAUUCAGUUACUCCACUUAUAUAAGUUUAUUACUGAAAAAGUAUGAUCAGAUUCACCCUUAGACCUUCUUGCAACUUCAGAUUGUUAAUUCCUUUAUGGCAUCUAAAUGAACAACAAUAGUUAUACUUUUUUUACUUUGGCAUUAGAGCAAUGAUACCUAGCUGUUCGAUCAUGUCUUUUGAUCUUUAGGUUACAUAGUGGCUUCUAAGAUUGAUCUUUAAAGAACACUUAAAAUGUUUUAGUCUUUCAGGCAUGGAUGGGGUGCGCAAUGUACAUCCAUGCGGGCUGCUGAUAUAUAGGAUUCCCAUCGCUGUAUGAUGGGGAUCAAAUCAUCUUCAUCGAAGUCUCAGCAGGUUUCAUUAUUUACAGGGAAUUCCACGCAAUGGCACAAACACAUAAAUCAUUUAAAAAACUUAUAAUUUGAGUAUUCUUCACUCCAAUUUCAACUCAGUUAAGCUUGAUAUCAAUUUUUGGAUCUUCUAAUUAUCACGACCAAUUAAAGUUAUUGUCACUAUAUGCUAAUUUAUUAACCAUUAUGUAUCAAAUUGCUAAAAGACAGAGGAAUCCAACAACAUUUAACUAAUAUACUAGGUAACUAAAUAACUAUAUUCAAUUACAUUCGCUGCCAUUUACUAAUUUUUAAGGACAUCAAAACUAAUCAGCAUUAGAUAAAUAACCAAGUACAUAGACACAUGUACUUUAAAUAUGAGAACCUUGAGAGGGGAAGGGGUAGUUGCCAUUCCAUGAAAGAUAUCACCCAACAAUCAAUUUGGUUUCAUCAUAGGAGAACUUGGUGUUAUUCAAGUUUUCAACAUUAUGAAUUAAGGCCAGAAUCAUGUCAUAUCAGUUGAUUUAUGUUGCAAACUUGGAGGGGAUAGUGUUUUCUCAUUUUCUUUUCUUUUCCUUUUGAUGAAUGGUCCAAAACGGGCAAAUUUCAUCGGUAGAUGAUUAAGGUAACCUUGUCUUAUAUUUGGGAGAGAAGCAAAAAUGAUAUGGCAAAUGCGCCAUACUUGUAGAAAUGUACAGAAUUGGAAGGAAAGGUAUGGUGCCAGCUACAUUGUCAGGAGAGGAUUGUAGGUACGGGUGGCAAAAUAUGGCCCUCCGGUUGACUGAUUCGGUCUGAUCCAGAAAGUAAUCGGGUACGAACAUACAAUCGUGCUGAAAAAUUGGAUUCAGCCAAAAUUUUUUGUCUGAAUAAAAAAUCGGGUCUGGGUUCAGUCCAAUAAAUCUGGACAAACAGGGUCAUAAUACCCAGAAGUCUAAUAGACUCAUAUAGAGAUUUUUCUUUUAGUCAUCUCCUAUCUCCGAGGAGAAAAUUGAGUAUGUGAUACUCAAAGAAUCUCUCUUUCCAACUUUUAGAAGUAUAGCAGGCAACUUCUCAUCUUCUUUCCAUCUUUUCAAAAUUUUUCUAUUAUUUCCCACUUUUAAACUCAUGAUUCCUUUCUUCAAUGUUUAAAACGGACUCGGUUUAAAACCGGAUCAAACUGGGUUUAGUUUCAUACGAAGUAACAGCCUAAAAUUGGGCCUGGUUUUAAACAGGCAAUCUUGUCUGAAUUAUGGAUCCGGGUCAGAUUAGGACAUAAUAGAUGCUCAUUGUUCUUACCCAUUGUCCUACCUGAUUUUGACCUGGACCUGAAUUUUUGCCACCCCUAAUUAUUAUAGAGAAUUAUGACUUGCUUUCAGUAUAGAAGUUCACUUUCUCUCUAUAGUUGUAGGGAUUUGUCAUUGUACGGUGCUUUUAAAAAAUUGUAUGAAACAUUUGUUUGACAUUGGGAACAAAUUGCUCUCUAAAUCAAAAUCUCAGGUCUUGUUUGAAAUUGGUUACUUAAUAGCUCAAAUACUUGGACCUCUUUGGUACAAGCAAAUAUUUUUGCUAAUUUAUAGAUGUGAUUAACAGUAAAAGCCAAACUUCCAAGUUGGUCCACUAUGUUUUGCGAGUUAUCUAAAUUUUGGACUAAAUUUUGUACUUUUUUCCUGGAAAAUAGUCAUAUAACCUACUGACAUGAUUUGUUAAAUCAAAAUCAGCCUAAGAUUGAGUAUAUAUUUGUCCACUAGGGAGGGGAUCUGCAACAGCUAAUCUUUACUGUAGGGAAUAUCAUUAGUUACCAUCAGAAAUAACAGUUCAUAAGAACAUGUAAAAUAACUACUGUGUAAAAGUCACAAUACUAAACACAUGAUUACUAGAAUUGAUGAAUAUAGUUAUACAGUUAUCAAAAGUUAUAAGAAGAGGUCAGAAAUGGUGUAAACCAAUGUAUCGACUUACAUGAAAUUUGGUUAGUAACGAACUAAUCUUAGGUAACAUUUUACAUUUAGGGAUUUCAUUGACUAGUUUAUGUGUAAGGUUAGCUAUGGUACGUCAUCUAGGAGAUAAUUCUUUGGAGAUAGGAGGCUUUCUGUCUCAUGGAAUGCAAGUUCAACACUUAAUGUUUUGCUGGUCUGAAAGAGUCGUAGAUCUUUGGACAUUAUGUAUAUAGUACAAAUAUGUCACAUGUCCAGACUCGCGCAUUAGUACCAAGAUGGCUAGGAAUAUUCUCAUGAACAACUGUAAUGGCUGAUAGUGCAUUCAAAGAUUAUUGUGCUGGCGUUGCCAUUUCGUAUGGAUGAUUUUUCAGUUGUACAAGAGCAGUCUUAUGAUGAGAUUGGCAAAUUUUGGAGCAUUUGUUUUACUUUGAUUUGAAUUUUAAACUUUUCAAGAUCAACAAAUUGUAUCAUCCUAUGAAUUUUAUCUCUUUGAACUUCUCAUGAUAUUUUUACCUUAAUUAGUUCACCAAAAGAAAAAGUUAUGCUGUCUUUUGCCUUAUGAUGAGAUUUAUGCCCUUUGUGACAAAAUAUUCUCGAUUCCAUUUUUUCUAUAUGUUUCAUGCUAUUAUUUAUUCCUUUGAUAGAUCAUGUUUAGAAUAUGCUGUGAAUAUUUUCUUGCUACUUUAGUCAUGUUCUUCUUGCUUCAUCUCAUUUUAGCAACAAUUGUAGUGUCUUUUUCUACCCUGUGUAGUUAGCCGUGUGUCAACGAUUAGAACUAGUCCCAUGUCUCCAUAUGGUGUUAAUUAUGUAUAUGCUGAAACAAAAGAUUUAAAUGCCGUGGCACGGGGGCAUGCUGAAAACUUGCUAUCAUGAUAUAGCAAGGUGUGUGUCAUGUCAUGCUGAUGCAAGCCGGUCACAAAAAAUACCUAUGUGCCAACACACAGUGGCAUGAAAUAUUUCUUUCGCGCCAAUAUGUUCUAAUAGCUUAUUAUAUUUUUUUAUCAAAUCUUUUGCACUUUAUUGAGGUAACUACUUGCUAAGUUCAAAGGAAAAAGGGUUUUGGCUGUGCUAUCGGUGUGGGUGCCGUAUCGUGUCAAUAUCUUGUCAGCACAAUACGAUAUGUUGGGCACAACCUGUGUUGAUGGGCAUUUAAAUCGUUGGGCUGAAAUGAUAUUUGCAACAACCCGAUCUGCUAGAACUAAUAACUUGUUGGGCCAAAACCACUGGUCCAAAAUGCUUAUGCGUAGUAACCUAGUUACUAGUUUUAGUCUGUUUGUCAUAUAUAAGCCCUAGGCAUUUUCCCACAUUAUUCGAUGUCGGACUAUUGGGUUGUCGCAUGCUCUCCCUGUUUUAGGGGUUGACAUCUUUGUUAGUCCAAUCACACACAUUGCUUAAGAUUACCAAACGAUAUGAGGCCCACUUUGCACUUCCGGCUGAUGAACUGGCUUUGAUAGCAACUAUAACGAUCCGGCACACCAGCAAUAAUAAUUCGUUGAGCUCAAAUCACUGGCGCAAAAUGCUUUAGCCCCAUUAUUAUUCUAGUGUGCUCGUCAUAUAUAAGCCCCUUACACUUUCCUACAUUAUCCGAUGUGACACUAUUGGGGUGCCACGAUAUUAAUUGUUGAUUGGUUGGCCUUUUAUGUAGAAAAGGGCUUGUAACCAAGAACGCAGUAAACAAUGGAUAAGCACUUCAGUAGUAGGCAUGACGGAAGGGGCUUGAGUGGUGUGCCUCUCUGCAUUGCAACAUUUCAAAUCCACAACCCAUCCUGGCUGUCUUAUAGUGCGCCCAGAACUUAAUAUGUAGUUAGUUUCUUGAAAAUGACCUCGUUUGAGUUCGUCUGUGACCUUACAAGUCUAUUUGGGGAAAGAUUGUUUGACAAAUAAGUUCUAUCAUAUCUUUUACUAGUUUUGUUCUAUUCUUCCAUUCCUGCUAAAACUCCUUUCUUCCAUGAGAUCUCAUUAUUGCUGCAUUAUGUUGUUUCUUUGAUCAUCCCAUAUCACCUCAAUCAAUUUUCCUGCAAGUCUCUUUGGUUGCCAUAUGUCACGGUGUCAGACAAAAAACUUUUAAGGCUAUCUUCUUCCAUUCCUUGUCUCAGCAUCCUUGGCCGUAUUAUUUAUUGUUUUAAUAUGUUGUUUCUUGCUCUUUAAAAUUCUGAUCCAUCAGCCUAAGGGGCAUAUGAAAGCAACGUAGUUUCCUGUUUCAGCUAUCUGAGCUGAAUUAUAUUAGCAAUUUGAUUGAAUCUCUUCCACCUUCAACUAAUGAUCUCAGGUAGCAGAUUGACUUCCUCUUAGUUAUUUUGAUCCGUCAAGGAUACCUCUGUUUUAUCCCUCUAUACAGAAUUGCAUUCCAUAUGCUAAGUGUUAAGCCACUUAUCUUAAUACCCUUAGAUUUCAAGUUACUGCAUAAUGCUUAAAACUGUCUUCAAUCCAAUUUUGGAUUCAUGAAUUAAAACCAUGCUACUAAUAAAUAAGAUACAUAAUGGUAUAUUUUAGUUUUGUCUGUGUAUCUCAUUAAGAUCUCAAUUCCAAAAUAAGCUUCUUCUGUGGUGCCUUUUUAACCCUAAAAAGGAAAAUGAGAAAGUAAAAGAGAAAAAAGAUGCUAUCCGCAAUACCUGAAUUCCAUUUUCAUGUUUUGGAAUUUCCUAUUCUACAGCAGCUCUGUUGCUUCUAUUACUUUCAAUUGGGUUUCUAUGUUGUCAGACAUUACUGUUGUGGUUUUUUCUCUUGCGCCUGUAAGCCUUAUCAGCUUCCAAACACACUGAUUGCAUUAGUUCAUUUCUUAAGGAAGGGAAUCUCUGCAUGAUUUUGUUAUUUUCAAUUAUCUAAAACAGGGUCCUACAGAUAUCUAAUGAAGUAACUAGUGAUGGCAAGCAACUAAGGCAUGAGGGAAUUACAAACAUCUUUGAAGUCAUCAAUUUCCCAAAUAUGGUUUCAUAGAGCAGAGCCCUAGGAUGCCAAGUGUCACGGACAAAACUUUUUCUUCGUAAAAGCCCGUGCGGCGCCCCCUUCUUGCUCGAAGAUGGGCAAGCCUUCCCCAAGUCCAAAUACGGACAAGCCUUCGAAACUUAACAGCGGAAUACCAAUCCAAGCAUUUGCCAAGCUUGCUCCUGCGCGAGACUGACAGCUCAACCAAUCGCCUGCAAUCGAACCCCUCGUCGGACUCCACGAGUUCCCCAACGAGCAACCCCAAUACUGAGGCUGGCCACCAAGCAAGGUCACUUCUCCACCAUUGUGCCUCAUGCACCCGACAGCAUCCACGGCCAUACCGCCCACUCGCGGCCUGCUCGCUCGGUCCAAUGACACACGUCAAAGCAGCCACCCAAGUGUGCGCCACAAGCUCGUCUGUCUUCCAACGCCAGCGACCAGCGCGACACCCCGCACGCCCAUGCUCCGCACAUUCGUGCUUCACAUACGACCCGUACGACACACGUGCCCUCAACGCUCCUGGCAAGGAAGCCAACAAGCCCACACCGUGCUCUUCGACUGUCCACACGACCUCGCAUUGCCAUGGCGCUCCGCGCCCUCGAUUUCCAUAGUUUCGCCACAUAAGGCCCCAUACAAACGAGCCGGCCACACACCGCGUCGCAACCCAUCUAACCCCUCCACGGCUCGACCACCUCUGGCCGCAGACUAAUGGUCCGAUCCCUCAAGGUUCACCAUACGGAUACCGAUGCUGUUUGCCUCACUGGGUUUCGUCCCUCUCGAGUCUCCAAGACCUACGCGCCUCGCGAGUCUCCUUCGACGUGCCUCCUUUUUGGCGAUCCUACAGAGAUCCAUCUCCUUAAGUCUUCGCAGGCACCGCGNCAACAAGCCCACACCGUGCUCUUCGACUGUCCACACGACCUCGCAUUGCCAUGGCGCUCCGCGCCCUCGAUUUCCAUAGUUUCGCCACAUAAGGCCCCAUACAAACGAGCCGGCCACACACCGCGUCGCAACCCAUCUAACCCCUCCACGGCUCGACCACCUCUGGCCGCAGACUAAUGGUCCGAUCCCGCGUGCUCCCCCACAGAGAUCCGAGACGGCAUAAGGUAGUGCAAGCGAACCUAGGAGCAAAGCCUCCCGGGUGCUUCCCGCUCCACAAUGUCUUCGACCUCUGUCUCAGACAUUGCCCUAGGCCCGUGACCCUUCAACCAUCCGUUGCACAGUCACACGAAACACUAGGCUUGGCUACUCCGCUAGCCAAGGGACGACCCAUGUCCUAUGAGUCGGCGGGGGAGUCGGGGCCACUCCAGCGGUGUCCACCCCUCCUCCUAUAUACCAUGCAAGACAUCCAGCCCUUUGGCACCCCGGGGGUACAAAGGUGCCCACCGAGGAGUACGUUUUGAAACCCCGCAUGCGGUACCAAAAUCCUUGCCAUGGCAUGGGCCAUUGCUAGAGAAUUGCCUCCGUAGACUUGACAGCGGCUCCAACCUGACGGAACGCUUCAACUCCGCAACUCCAUAGCUUCGUCAACUCAAUGACUACCAAAUAUGGCUCCCAAAGAGCAUCACGGUCGAGCCCUAACGAUUGACCCGUGACACAAGGCUCUGAAGGUUCUUUUUGCUGUAUCGAUCACCUUGAACAUCUCGAAAUCAUGUAGGAGGUGCAUGUAGGCUAAGAUCAAAAGAUGUGUGCAUUAUAGUGCAUGUUCUUUUCUCUAAUUUAGUUAGUAGUACUACCCAAAAAUUUCCCUCAACACAGAAAUUGCGUGGACUAAAGAGAAAGAAACAUUUUCCUUUUAUUUUUUUUUCUCUCCCUGAUGCAUGGAUUAUCUGAUGAACUGAUUGAAUCUGAAUUUAAUUAACACAUUCUUCAAGGACAUGUUACUAAUAUCACAGUAAAAUAAAGAACUAGAUUCUGUUACUAUUAAUCCCUUUGAUUACUAAGCUAUGCUAGCCUCUGCGUUGAAUUUCCUUAAUCAGUAAACAGAUCUAUAUGUUUUUUCUUUACAACAACUGUAUUCUAGUAUUUUUGGCUUGCAACAAAGGAAAUUGUUUCUGAACUGCUGAUUGCAAAUUUUGUCAUCACUGUAUAUUGUACUUUGUAUCAGAUCGUGUAUAAGCAGUCAAAUUCAUCCAGAUUCCUGUUGAGAACUUUAAUGGUCUAGAGAAAAGUAAGCUUAUAAUUCUUCUUUUUUUCUCGGUGGUCAAGUUUUGUCAAUACAUUGCAUGCGAAGAGAGCUAAUGUUAGGUUGUAAUUCAUAUGUUGAUUCAGCAUCAAUAAAAUCGACUAUUACUGUCGAUUUGUAGCAAAAGUUGAAACUGUGUAGUACUGCUGAUUAGACUUGACUAGAGUUUGCUAAAACACAUCUUCGCAAUGUAAUGUGUUCAAUUCAGAAAUAUAUGUAUGUUUAUUUAAGAAUUCUAGAUUUUUCUUGAGCUUAUUUGUAACUACUACUCUUAACACUAGAGAUACAUUACAAACGAAGCAAUGUUAGGUGGAGAGAUUGCAGUUGUUCCUGUUUACUACUGUAAAGUUUCUUUAUCUGUUAGGUGCUUUAGUUCCUUAACAGCUAUUACUUCAUUUUGCAAGCAGAAAGCAUAAUAAGAAAUUUAUAGAGUGAUUCAUGUUCUUCGGUGUGAUGCUCUUUUACAAAUUGCAGGUUCUAUGUAGCAGAGGUUCUUCUCUCCUUGGAAUACCUGCACAUGCUCGGUAUCAUCUACCGCGACCUCAAACCCGAGAAUGUCCUUGUGCGCGAGGACGGCCACAUCAUGCUGUCCGACUUUGAUCUCUCCCUUCGAUGCACCUUCAGCCCUACCCUCGUCAAAUCCUCCAACCCUGACCAGAGAAACAACAACAAUUCUAUGUACUGUGCCCAACCUGCCGCCUGCAUCGAGCCAUCCUGCAUUAUCCAACCAUCCUGUUCAGUCCCAACAACGUGCUUCUCCCCUCGCCUCUUCUCGUCCAAGUCCAAGAAAGACCGGAAGCCGAAGCCCAAGACUGAUAUAGGAAACCAAGUCAGCCCGCUCCCAGAGCUCAUCGCGGAGCCGACUGAUGCCCGGUCCAUGUCAUUCGUCGGGACCCAUGAGUACUUGGCGCCGGAGAUCAUCAAAGGGGAAGGGCAUGGAAGUGCCGUGGAUUGGUGGACCUUUGGGAUUUUUCUCUAUGAGCUUUUAUUUGGAAAAACUCCCUUCAAAGGGUCGGGCAAUCGAGCCACAUUGUUUAAUGUGGUGGGCCAGCCCCUGCGGUACCCUGAAUCGCCAGUGGUGAGCUUCGCUGCAAGGGAUCUGAUAAAAGGUUUGCUCGUGAAGGAGCCGCAGCAUCGCCUUGCCUACAAGCGUGGGGCCACAGAGAUAAAGCAGCAUCCGUUCUUCGAGGGCGUGAACUGGGCCUUGAUACGGUGCGCGACCCCGCCGGAGAUCCCAAGGCCCGUCGAAAUCAACCGGCCUAUAGGGCCUGUUGCAUCGACGAGCCAAAAGGCCACAUUAACUGUGGAGAAAGGCAACGAUAACUACCUGGAAUUCGAUUUCUUUUAGGGGAUUUGCAAUAUAUAUAUAUAUAUAUAUAUAUAUAUAUAUUGUAUUUGGGGGAAUUGUAGAGUUUCUUGUUAUUAUUUUCAUAAUGCUAAUGGGUCCCAUAUAUAGAUUGUGACAUCUGUUCGUAGAUCUACCUUUUCUAUGUUUUCUUUUUAAUUUUUUUUUUCCCCCCGAACUUUGUCUUCUUGGAUUCGAUGUCUGUAAUCAGUGAACUCUGAAUUAUCAUUUUCCUUAUUUAUGAUGGUUUUCUAUCUUCUGCAAGUCUGUAAUCAGUGAACUCUGAAUUAUCGUUUUCCUUAUUUUUGAUGGUCAUCUGUCUUCUGCCUUCUGUGGUGUCAAAAAAUCAUAAGUUUGAUUCACUGUAGGAUUUUGAAGGAUUUUGUGGUCCGCUGGUCGGAUUUUCUUCCCAUUCUGGGAUACUUCUACUUCCUGAUUUGAUUUUGAGAAAAACAGGUAGUUUGUGAUCAUAUUUUGUAAAAAAAAAAGAGGAAAAAAGAAGAUCCUUAUAGCUCUGUAUUUUGUGUUUGUAUUGUCCUUUGCAGGUAUAAGUAGUACUAGCCAGCACUGUGCAACUGAAUAUUUUUGGAAUUUUAUAUUAAUUCUGUCGUAAGGGAGUGUUUUUUAAGUAAACAGCUUUAGCUUGGUACUUUUUUGAACAGAUUUACUUGAAAUGUAUUUCUGUAAAAGCUCCAAUUGAGCCUAACAAUUUUUUCUACUUGUAUAGUUUAUUUCCUAAGCCCAGUAUUUAAGAUAACAGGUGGCAACUUUGCCCUUCACCUCCAGACUCGGAUCUAUUUCCUUCUCUAGUCUCUUCGGAAAUAAAAAUUUCCUAUCUAGCCAACUUUUAAAAAAUAUUCUUAACCUAGCAUCAUUUUUAUAGAUUAGGAAAAAAGAGAUAAAUUAAUAUCUUUUUAAUAUAUAUUAAUAUGUUAAGUGGGUGGAGAUUAAUUUUUUCUCUCUCCUCUCCUAUUUCCCGAGAUUCCUUCUCACUCUCUUUCUCUCUCCUCCCCAACCCCAAACAACUCCUACCCUCUUCUCCUCCCUCUCUCCUCUCUUCUCCUCUUUGGGAGGGACCCCUCCCCCUUAGCCGCAGUAAGGGGUUGGGUAAUCCCCCAGCUCGCCGUUCGGAAAGCCAGCCCUUUCGUGUUCGCUUGAAAUGAGCUUCGAGAUUCGAAUCCGCCUUCGUUUUAGUAAUACGAUUUCGAAAUAUGAAGGCCCUUGAAAAUUUUUUUCGGCCCUCGUUUAUAAACAAGCCGAACAACGAGCUGGGUUUAGCUCGCUCGUGUUUCGGCCUCGAUAACCAGCUCCGAAUGGCAUAUAUUUUUAAUUUAAUUUUUAUAAUAAUUUUAAUUUUUAAUUUAAAUUUUUUAUAUACUAUAUACAUAAAUUAAUUUAUAUAUAUAUAAAUAUAAUAUAUAUAUAAAUAUUUUUAUUAAUUAAAUUUUAAGUAAAAUAAAAAUAUAAUUGGAGCUUCAAAUUUUAAAAAGAAACCCCAUUUUAUAUAAUAAAUUUUUUUGUUCAAACUGUUAGAUCAAAAUCUAAUGAUAAGAAAAUUUUUUAUAAAUUUAUAUAUAUUAUCUAGUCUUUUUUUUUAACUAAAAUUUUUGUUUCUUGGCUAAGCUCGUAAGCUAAGCCUCCGUGUUCCCCGGCUUGUUUUAAUUAAUGAGUCCGAAACAGAAGCCUGAAAUUUUUCGGCUCGAUACUUUAACGAGCCAACUCGUGUUCGGCUCGGUUACACCCCUACCUAGCAGCACCCUUUCUUCUCUCUCCCCACCAACACACAGAUGUGUGUACACACACUCCCCCCCCAACUCUCUCUCCCUCAUCAAUAUUUAAUAAUAAUUAAAUUUUAUUAUAAUAUUAAUAAAAAAUUAUUUAUUAAUAAUAAUAAAUAGUAUUAUUACUAAAUUAUAAUUUUUUAUUAUUACUACUAUUAUUAUUACUAGUACUUAAUUUGACUAUAUAUAUAUGACAUUAUUAAACAUCCGAUAAAAAUACACACUCAAAAUAUAAUAUGAUUAUAUAUUACAUAAAAAUAAAGGUGAUAUAACUAUACAUUAGAUAUGAUAUAAAGUUGAUUAUAGUUGACAUAUGACUUGACUACACAUGUGAUAUGAUAUAAGAAUUAUAUGAAUAUACAUUAUAUAAAAAUAAAGGUGAUAUAACUACACAUUAGAUAUGAUAUAAAGUUGACUACAUUUAUAUAAAAUUUGACUUGACUACACACUGAUUUAAUUAUAGAACUGACAUGACUAUAUUUAAUAUAAAGUUGAUUAUUUUAAAAUUAAUUAUAGAACCGACAUGACUAUAUUUGAUAUAAAGUUGAUUAUUUUGAGAUAACAUUUGAUUUGACUACACAUUUGAUAUGAAAUAAGAAUAAUACGAUUAUACAUUACGCAAAAAUAAAAGUGAUACAACAAUACAUUAGAUAUGAUAUAAAGUUGACUAUACUUAAUAUAAAAUUUGAUUUGACUACACACUGGAUUUGAUCGUAGAACUGACAUGACUAUAUUUGAUAUAAAGUUGAUUAUUUUGAAAUAAUAUUUGACUUAGACUACACAUUUGAUAUGAAAUAAGAAUAAUACGACUAUAAAUUAUGCAAAAAUAAAAGUGAUAUAACUAUACAUUAGAUAUGAUGUAAAGUUGACUAUACCUGAUAUAAAAUUUAGCUUGAUUGCAUACUGGAUUUAAUCAUAGAACUGACAUGACUAUAAUUGGUAUAAAGUUGAUUAUUUUGAGAUAACAUUUGACUUAACUACAUAUUUGAUAUGAAAUAAGAAUAAUACGACUAUACAUUAUUCAAAAAUAAAAGUGAUAUAACUAUACAUUAGAUAUGAUAUAAAGUUGACUAUACUUGAUAUAAAAUUUAACUUGACUACACACUGGAUUUAAUCAUAGUUGACUAUACUUGAUAUAAAGUUUGAUUUGACUACACACUGGAUUUGAUCGUAGAACUGACAUGACUAUAUUUGAUAUAACGUUGAAUAUUUUGAAAUAACAUUUGACUUAGACUAUACAUUUGAUAUAAAAUAAGAAUAAUACAACUAUACAUUAUGUAAAAAUAAAAGUGAUAUAACUAUACAUUAUAUAUGAUAUAAAGUUAACUAUACCUGAUAUAAAAUAUAACUUGACUGCACACUUGAUUUAAUCAUAGAACUAACAUGACUAUAUUUGAUAUAAAGUUGAUUAUUUUGAAAUAACAUUUGACUUGAUUAUACAUUUGAUAUGAAAUAAGAAUAAUACGACUAUACAUUAUGCAAAAAUAAAAGUGAUAUAACUAUACAUUAGAUAUGAUAUAAAGUUGACUAUACUUGAUAUAAAAUUUAACUUGACUAUACACUGGAUUUAAUUAUAGAAUGACAUGACUAUAUUUGAUAUAAAGUUGAUUAUUUUGAAAAAACAUUUGACUUGACUACACAUUUGAUAUGAAAUAAGGAUAAUACGACUAUACAUUAUGCAAAAAUAAAAGUGAUAUAACUAUACAUUAGAUAUGAUAUAAAGUUGACUAUACUUGAUAUAAAAUUUGACUUGACUAGACACUUGAUUUGAUCAUAGAACUGACAUGAUUAUAUUUACAUAAAGUUGACUACACUUGAUAUAAAUUUAAAUUGACUACACAAUUGACAUGAUUGUAGAGCUGAUAUGGCUAUACAUUGCAUAAAACUCUAGAAAUACUAUGACUAUAACUUAUUUUAAUAUUUAAAAAAUUAAACUUCGCUAUAAAUAGUUGAACUUUGUUAAUUCCAACCUCACUCUCAUUCUUCCCUUCUUGAUACACUAUAGAUCGAUAUACUCAUUUCUCUUCCACUUCUCUAAUUUUCAUUACAUAUCUUAUUUAUAUAAUCUAAAGGGUUUCAAAAGUACUAUUUGCUCUAGAUUAGAUUCGUGAAGACCAUUUGUGCUUUUCAGAAAUUUCCUAAGAAGAUCUUUUCUACACAUUUGGUAUUAUUUUGUUGGUAUGUUUUUUAAUUUCAUAAUUUAUUUUUAAAUAAAUUAUGCUAAUUUUUGGGUACAAUUUAUCUUAUAUCGAUUUAUUUCAAAAUAGAAAAUUUUCAUAUGGCGCAUCUACCAAUUCCAAUCUUCUUAUAUUUUGAUGGAAAUAUUGUGCAUGGUCCCGAAGGAGUUGAUUAUAGUGGUCCUGAUCCAAAAACUAUUUGGAUUUCUCGUGCUUCAAGUUUUAAUGCAUUAAAAUAUGGAAUUUAUAUAUAGGCAAUCCGAAUGGGAUCAAGAUUGUUUUAAUAUAAAAAUUAAUGGGAGAUAUCAGGUUGGUGGGAGAAAUAGACUUUAUUUCAUGCUCAUUCCUAUCAUCGAUGACUCUUCUUUGCAUGGCUUUAUUGUAACGAUUCAAACAAAACAUGCGUGCAGGAGUGCUGUCCAACUAUAUCUUGAGAAAAUUAGCAAGACGCACUGAGGUAGGAAAGGAAAUAUUUAAACAUGUUUUUUGGGCAUUUGGCGCAUCAAUUGAAGGUUUUAAAUAUUGUAGACCGGUGAUUAGUUGUGAGGACUGAGAUUUUUGCGGGGCAGAUAAAUCCUUUGUUGAUGAUGUUUUUGUGUGAAAUUUAAUUACAUAAACAUUCGUCAAGUUUCAGAAGAAAACGAUUUAGGAUGGCACUACUAUAGGUACAAGAUUUAGUGGCGACAAAUGUCGCCACCAUUGCCAAAAUUGUCGUCACGAAAAACGUUUUGGCAGAGACAAUUUGUCGCUGCAUGCCGCCGCCUAAAACCCCGUCAGUAAAACUAUUUGGUGGCAACAAUUUGUCGCCACGAAAAGUUAGAUAAUUAGCGGCGACAUACGGUCGCCACGAAAAGUUAGAUAAUUAGCGGCGACAUGGUGUCGCCGCUAAAACCCCGUCGAACCCGGACCGGAAUAUUUGGUGGCGACAAUUUGUCGCCGCUAAAAGUUAGAUAAUUAGGGGCGACAUACUGUCGCCGCGAAGUUUUAUGGUGGCGACUAUUGUCGCCACCAUUUUUCUGAUAUAAAAUUAAGUUUUUUUAAAAAAUAAUUGAUAGUAAUAGAUAUUAUUGAUUUAGUAUAAAUUGCUAAAAAAUAACCUAUAGUUAUAAAAAUUUCUCAUUCUUAAAUUUUAACCUUUAAUUUCAAUUUAAUCCUCUCAAAACCAAAUUAAACCCAAGCACUAUGGCUCAAACACCUUUUAACCAAUAUAUAUUAGAUAUACCUACACUUGAAAAACAUACCUACACUAGAGAUGAACCUCAAUUUGAACAAGUAAUGAUCCAAGAAAAGAAAACGUCGAUACUAUUGCCGAAAGGAAUAGCAUGUAUUGGCAACAUUAUGAUAACUUCUUCCUAAACUACACCUCUUUCAGCAUCAUUCACGUAAUGCACUUUGUCAAAAUAUAACCUGUUCACUUAAUACAAACUAAGAUCAAAAGAGCAAAUUCCUUCACUUUUAAAGUCUUAAAAGCUACUGGGCUAACAGCAGAAAUUCCAGUAAUAGUCAAAUAACAUACCCAUUCAAUGUUGCGAAUAAUAUCAGCACCUCGGUAAAGCAUCAACCUUAAAGUGAAUACUAACUCCGGUUUUCCGGAGAGGCCAAUUAGUGGAGAUGGUUUCUGGUGCGUAUUGGACUCCGUUCAUAGUGAUCCAAUAGCUCGUUUUCGAUGGUUCGACUAUCCUGGACCCAAUGGAACUGGCAGAAUUGGGUUUUAAUGCACGGUUUUCAAGAAAAAGGGGGUUUAAUGGAUUUACACAUAUAUAUAUAUAUAUAUGUGUGGUUUUGGGAGAAAUUGGAGGGUGGAUGGGUUUCAUCGCAAAUUGUCGAUCAUACCGGGUGAAACAAAAUUGUGAAUUCGUUGCCCCAAUCGUGCUGAACGCGCUAGCGCGAUCCAAUCGAAAAUCUGACUGACAAAUCUCCAGGAAUCGCAUAAAGUUCGCUGAGGGGCCGAAAUUGGCAAAACAGAAAAUCUACGAAAAAGCCCAAUAUUUUAUGUACCGUUUCGUGCGAUUUUGAACGUCGAGGUGCGUACGUGCGAAAUACACGCGCUGGGAGGGACAUGGCUGAAAACAUUCAUCUUUGGAGGACUCCUCUGCAAAACGACACCUAGUAUAUAAGUAGGUGUUAGGGUUUCAUGCACCCUAGUAGCCACCUAGCUGAGCUGGCCCUCUAGCCAUCACCAGCACCCCCUCCCGCCCUAGCCGAGCUCACACCCCGGCUGCCAACGAGCGACUGCGGCAGUCGAAAAAGUCAGGUUUGCUUCUCCUCCACAAUCCUCUCCACCAAACCACCUCCUCAUCUCUGCCGUGGACCACCCAGGAUCAUCCACAGCCUUGGGCCCCCUCCCUCGGCCGUGGCCUGACCUCCGGCGCUGUCCCCGCCGACCCCCGCCGUCUGCACGCACCGUUGUCACCGCCUGGGCGACCCGCGGCCAGCUAAGGUCUGCUCGGGCCGAGCGCCGCCGCAGCCCUCCUGGGACCCUCCGCAUGCCGUCGUCGCCGUCCCUGCGAGUCACCGACCGCCGCCUAGCUCCCUGCGGCCGCCCAGACUCAGCGCGGGCCGAGCCUGGGUCUGCACCGUCCCUGCGCGCCGCCGCCACCCUCGGUCGGCGGCGUCGCCCUCCCUCGGCCUCCGACGUCAGGUCACCGUCGCCCCGGCGCUCCCCUAGCCGUCGCUCGACCGCCGUUGCUCCUUGAGCUCAAGCUGAGCCACACGGGCUCGUGCCGCUCCAUCGCGCCACCGGUCGCCUCCCGUCGCCGGACAGCGCGUGCCCAGGCCCCCUCCGACCGGCCGCAACCUCCCCCUGCCGGCGCGGCCGCUGUCCGGCGACGCCCCUCCCCCUACUGGUUCUGGUAAGCUUAAAUUAGUGAUUUCUGCACACUGUUUCGGGUUUCGGUCGCUAUUCCGGCGAUCCGAGGGUACCCGGACACUCCCGGAAGUGAGCAUGAUGAUCCCUGAUUUGUGCCGAACAUUGUGCUCACCUCUUUUGGGGUCAGCGAAGCCCCAAUUUGCGUGCUAAGCACUGUUUAGGCACUGUGUGCGCUGUUCGCUGAAGUUCGCGUCGCUCCUGAGCUCUCCACAGUGGUCGGCCAAGCUCCGAAGCGCGAGCACGGCCUCCGGCACAUCAAGACCUGUCAGCGGGUGUCUCGGCUAGGCUCGAAUGUCUUCGGUUUGUGCUGUCGAGCUGUAAAACCCUAUAAAAUCACAUAAAAUGAUGUGAUUUUAUGUAGUCGGAGGGGCUUAUUUGCAAAUACAUUUCGUGGCUGCUGUGGGCAGUGUGUGCAGGCAGCGGGUGACCUCUGGACUGGUUGUCCAAGGUCCCAGGCCUUUUCGAAAAUCGGAUGUAGAUUUUCGAUGCGUUUUUGCGAUGAAAUCCGCUGACGGAAUGCGAUUUCGGUUCGAAAUUCUUCCGACGAUGCCUCACGGUAUAUUAUGUUGUCGCUGAGACUUGUUGGCUUGUCACCCACAUCGUUUCUAGGGUUUGAAAAUGACGGGUGAGCGACGGUGGGUUCCGGUGUCGAAAUUGACACUUUCGGGAACUGGAAUCGGAAUAAUUAUCCGACGAUAAUUGUUUCGAUGUGAGGAUAUGUGUUUACUGCCAAGUCACACAAAUUAUUGUGUUCAGUGGCAGCAGGUAACUCGUGGCACGAGUCGGUGAGUUCUGGGACAGUUCGUGGGUUCCGGCGGAGUCCCGGUGCAAUUUUCGGGACUUCAUGCGAGUUACGGUAAUCGAUUUUGGAAAAUCGAUUCUCGUGGGGUUUACUGGUGGGGAUUGUGAGUUAGUGGUUCAUAUUCGUGGGUUGGAUUCUAACCUGGUGGACCCUUCGUAGGUCCAGUUGAUGUUCUUCCACAGUCGGGAGACCAGUGCUACGUACAUACAGGUGGGUACUUCGACCCGAAGUCGGUACAGUGGUGUACGCUCGGUGACAUAUUCUUACCCCUUUUUUCUGUUAUUAUCCUGUAUAUACGUUAUGUUGAGCCUAGCACCUUUGUUAUUCCUGGUAUGCUCUACUUGGUUGUUUUCAUGUCUAGCAUCAUGAGUAGGAGUAGAGCAGGUUUAUGAUUACAUGUGACAUUCGUGACCUAGUCGGUCAGUUUUUGUAUCUCGUACUGUGACUGGCCUAUUCAGUCGAUUCACUGCAUCUGUUAUUGUGAUCUACUUGGUCGGUUAGACUACUUGGUGACCUUCACGGUCAGUAUACCCUGAGGGGUUGGAUUGUCGGCUAGUUGCCGAUGUUUGGCUAUUGAGCAUAUCAGCAUUGAUCGCCACUGCUAGUAGGCAAUUCACGAACACCAACGGUCUGAUCCACCGCAAGAGGGUGUUCUUUUCCGGAAAAGUGGUUGGGAAUGCCAACCCGUGAGUCCAAGAGUUUAUGUUGGGGUUAUAUACUUUCACACCUAAGAGCUUAUGCUGGGGUCAUUUAUAGAUUAGAGCAAGUGUGGCACAGGCUUGAGGUGUGUAAAUCAACAUGGCAGAUUUCUAAUUGGACUAGUCGUCCAGUUGAUACAUGCAUAUAGUAGCAGUAGUGAUUUAUAUAUAUGUCCCAUUUCUUUGUUUAUUAUUGUUACUGUAUUACCGUUAUCUAUAGCUUUGUUUAUCCUCCUUGACUGAUGAGUACCCCUCGCCCUUGUCGGCUUGCGGUACCUUUUUGGGAAGGCCCCUUACUUUACCUCUGGGGGUAGGAAAAUCAUGAUCGGGAUAGCGGACGCAAAGCUAUUGAACUUGGGUAUGGUCUUUUGUUGAUAUGGAUCACCCCUUCUUCUUGCGCCAAAGAUCUUACCAUUUCCGAAGGAACUGGAGCUACAUUUCUUUUCAAUUUCCAUUCAAGAGUUCCUAUGUGUUUCCACGCCCUUUUUUUGAGACCUCGAAAAAUGAAAUGGACAAAUUCCUUUUCUUAGGAACACAUACAAGAAAAAGGAUAAUGUAACCCUACCAUUAACUACUUCAUUUUCAUUUAUGAAUUUCAUAGUAAUAGAAAUACAUGUCCUAGCGAGACAGAAUUUGUAACUUGCUAUCUCUUUUGACUUUGGAAUAAAUUCUCUUUAUCAAUAUACUGUUUCUUCUACACAUCCGCCUACAAUCCAUAAUAAAGAAUAAUUAGGAUUCUGAAAAAAAAAGAAAAAAUCAAUGGUUCACUCACAGGAGAACCCACUCUUUCCCGCAUUAGGCACUAAUUCAUUUUUAACGUCUAAUUAGAUCGGGUAAUCAUUCCAAUUAAGAACAUAAGCUCGUUGCUUUUUAUUUUACCAAAAUUGGAGCCAUAGAGCUCUAUCCAUUUAUUCACUAGACCCAAUUUGUCCCCUUCCUAAAAUCAAAACAAUCUUUUGGAACUGUAACGAUCCGGUAAGGAUAAACUCAAAGUUCUACUUUAACUUUGACUUUCAUUUCAAAUUAAAUAAAUUAAUAAAAUCAAAAUUAAAUAAAAUANGGUUUUUACGAUCCGAUAAAGAAUCAAACUUAUUUAAACGUGGAAGGGGAGACAUGUGUACAUGUUCUCACCCCCCACCCUCUUUCAGGUGACGUCGCAGGUCCGAGUGGGGACGAUUCGUGAGGCAUGCAGCUUAGCAUUCGAUAUAGUUAUCGGCCCGUCGUUUAGUUAAAUUCUCAAACUCGUCUUUUAAAUAAUAAUUGACUUAGUAUUUAUGGUUCAGUGGUUUCCUUUAUUUGAAUAAUUGAGAUUUUGUGAAUGUAAUAAAGGAUUUAUGGAUUUCUUACGAAAUAGAAAUGGUUUUCUACCCCUCGUGGUAGCGCGUUUUUAAAGAAAAAAGUUUCCGGGUGGGAAACGGUUUUAAAAAGAUUUCUUGGUUUCAUGACUUAGUGUUUCAAAAUGGGUUUCCGGGUAGGAAACAUUUUAAACUAAUAGAUGUGGAUAUAUGAAUAUUUGUGAUGAAAUGAAUGUGGAUGUGAAUGGUGAAUGUAUAUGGAUAUGCAUAUGUGUGUGGUUGUAUCUUGUACUUGUGCGAACCGUGCAAAUAUAGGGGAGACUCUGUCUGUGUGAACAGUGGACUCCCUGUAUUUGUGACGGAUUUGGCAUACCCUGAGGGUCAAGGUUUUCAAAAAAAAAAAAAAAAUUGGGCACUUCCGCAUUGGGUUCUUAACUCAAAAAGGGACCCCGGGGCGUGACAUUAGUAUAGACGGCACAUUUUUAUAUCGAAAAUAUAAACGCACAAU